rnacentral:lncRNA from 1 species
AUCGAUAAGGUUGGUUAGCAAAUUUGGAGUCCUUAUCCUAGUUAAGAGCACUAGGAAUCCUUCAAGAGAAUAGCAAGUUGAUUCUUGGAAGUUUGAGGGCUUAUGCAAGGUGAUCAAAGAGGUUCUUAAGAAGGGUUUUAGUUGGAAUGACUUCUGGUCAUGACAAUUGCUGCCUUCAAUUCGCUCAAGAUCCAUGGUGGAAAAGAUUUCCAAACCCUAAGUCAUUUUGGGCCUGGUGGAGGCACGUCGUGAGAGAUGAGAGCGGGGAGGAGUUCCAAACCCUAACUCUAUCUUAUAUAUGUCACAAUCAUAUUGAGCUCGAUGGCUCCGAGCAUGUUUCUAGAGGUGGGCCGCCCACCUUUGUAAACGAAUUACAGAGAUAGAUGUUUUUGGACUGCCUCCUUAAGUAGAGCUACCACCACCGAAAAUUAGGAUCUUUUUGGGAGGCACUAAGAAUUUCUAACCACCUCCAUUAAUAAAAUCCCUUAUCUCCUAAAAUAUUUUAUGUAGUAGUGCAAGUCUAAAAGAUAAAAGCUUGAACAGAAAAUUCAAAAUCCUUAGUCUCAAAUUGGAGUUUUGUCAAUUUUCCUCCAAAUGGGGAUUUCUAUGUGCUCGUGGGAAAUCUGCCUAAGGCAGCUAUGUUUAUUCGUGAGCCCCUAUAGCACCUAAAGAUCAUUCAACGAUGUCCCAAAUACCUGAGCACAAAUAACUUCGAGAAAAUAACCUCAAGAAAUGGUAUUUUUAGAAGCAAAUUAGCUCGCCAACUGCCUCUAAGAGCAACUCCAACACUACCCUAAACUUCACUUGGCAAAUCUUGGAUUUUGCCAAGUGUAAAGCUCAAAUGCCAAGUGAAAAAAAGAGGCUUCUCCAACAGUUAGCUAUUUUUUUGGCAAAUUUGGACUAUCUUGUGAUUCCUGAAAAAAUCAGAGGGACUUUUAUGCAAAAGUUGCAAUCUAUUUAAGGCAUGCGUGCAUGCUGAAUGUGUGGGUCCCACCGCGUAGGCAGGAUGCCAAGCGCUCCCAACGCUCCUAAAUUUGAGCCAGUUGGCCCUCUUUUUGCCAAGCAUCCUAUUUUGUCAAGUGCAUAUAGGGUAGUGUUGGAGGAGCUUUUUCCAUGUUUUGCCAAAAAUUAGGAUUUGCCAAGUGCAUAUAGGGUAGAGUUGGAGUUGCUCUAAUAAAAUAGCAUACAUUUCUAGAGGCGGCUGGAGUUGUCUCUAAAAAAUUGAUUUUUAGAGACGAGUUGACUCAAAAACAAUUUUUAAAGACAGAUUUUUAUAAAGUAGCCUCUACCCAAAAAUUGAGACGUCUCUAAAAAUGGACUAUGACUGUAGACCUGUAGCUGGAGCAGGCUUGGUAUUUGUAGUUUAGAAGUUGCAGCGGCAGCGAGAGUUGGUGUGGCUUGUACCAUACUCCUAUUAAGUAAAGGAAAAUUGAUAGUAGUAUACAGCCUAAUGAGACAUAGACCAAUCUAUUUCAUUUUUGUACUCAUUAGAUAAUCGUUUAAUCAUUUCGCAAAAAGAAAAAAAUGGAUAGACACACUUAAUAAUACACAGAGUGAUGAAACAAUAUAACAUAAGCACAGGAUAAAAUAUGAGUACAUUUAUUGUCCUUAGCACAGACUGAUACACUAUAAUUAUAAUCACUCUCUCCGGUACAAAUUAAGCAGCAACAGGGACACAGUUCACAUCACAAAUCAUCUGAUUAAUUUGGUAUAAGAUUAUUGUAAGGUUUGGCCAUGAUCCAAAGCAUGGACUUCUUUCUUAACGUUAUCCCAAAGAUCUCUGCCAUAUCAAAUUCUUCCAACUUGACGCCAUCAGGUAGAGUCCAAUCAAAAUGGUAAAGAAGGCUAACAAGAGCCAGCUCUAGAUUGGCCAAACCAAGCGUUAUGCCAGGGCAUAUUCUCCUACCUGACCCAAAGGGAGUGAACUCGAAGUCAUUACCUCUAAAAUCGACACUACUAUUUUCAAAUCUUUCUGGCCUAAAUUCCUCUGCAUCAUGCCACAAUUUUUUGUCCCUUGCUAUUGCCCAAGCAUUCACGAACACCUUGGUUCCCUUUGGAACAUCGUAACCCAUAACCUGACAUGAUUCACGACCUUCUCGAGGGAGCAACAGUGGUACUGGAGCAUGCAACCGUAAAGUCUCCUUGAUCACCAGCUGUAGGUAUCUCAAUUUGAUCAAAUCACCUUCAGUUAUCUUGUCUUGUCCUUUGAAGGCCUCCCUCACCUCUGAUUGGGCCUUAUGCAUGACUUGUGGAUUCCUAACAAGCUCUGACAUUGCCCAUACUAGAACAGUUGAUGAUGUUUCACUCCCAGCAGAGAAAAUAUCCUACAAUACAAUGUUAUAGUUACAAUUUGUAAAAGGGGACAUUCACAUUUUAAUUCUCAUGAGAAUGUAAUCAGUAAACAUAAGAAUGUAAAAAAAGAAUGUAGGUCAUAAAUUAUAUUCUUGUUCACAUUUUUAUUGAGUGCCAAUCGUGCAGAAUUAAUUAAAUUCUUUUUUAUCAUUUUAGUAAAUAAGAAUUCAAUUUAUAACCUAAAUUCUUAUUUUAUAAAAUACAAAAGAGUUCUAACUAAAAUGAAAUAAGUACAUAUAAGAUUUUCAACUUAACUUGAGGAUUAAGAAACUACAUCAACUAACAAAAUCAAAAUUUAAAAUCAAGAUCAAAUAUGUCAGGUGACAUGGCUAGCAAUAAGAGAUACCAUAACUUAAGCUAUGGUUUUAACUAAAUGUGUAUUGAAGACAAAUGGACGUGCCACGCACAGAGAAAGAGAAAUUAUAAAUAUGGAUAAAAAAUAUAAGGAAUAAUUGAUAAGUUGAUCUCACCGGUAAAGAAAGAAAUAUCUAUAUUGUGUCAAAAAAAAGAAUAAAAAUAAUAGCACAAGGAUAAUUAAUUUGUUUAGUUGUAGGUACUAAACAUGGACUACGAUACCAAAACUUAUUUAGUGUAAUAAAAUUCCAUUUGCCUAAUGCUAAACUAGAAAUAAAUUAGAGACCAUUAAUAAUGGAGAGGUUUUGUAGGAGUGUGGUGUUAGAUAACUAGAAGAUAUCUCGCGCAUUGCUACGAGAAUCGCAAAGAACUUGCUUGGAAUGAAAUUAAAAGAAGAUAAUGUGAAUAGCUUGCAACUAAGGGUCCAUUUGGUAGGAUUUCUCCACCGGCUUCAGUUUGUUUGAAGCCAUUUUCUGCCACACGGUAUAAAAUAAAACGGCUUUGCUAGUGAAACUCCUUAAAACCAGCUUUAUAAGAGCGGAUCUCACCCAAAUAACCGUGCUGACAAUCUCGUUGGUGAGAGCGAACUGCAGGCCACCAUCCCUCUGCAGCCUCAGGAGAACACCCAGAAGGUCCUCCUCGUCUCGCUCUGGCGCCGUCGCCAUGGCUUCAGCUUCACGCUCAUGAAUGAUGCUCCGGAUGAUCCGGUACAUGUUCCUCUGGCACCUCCUCGCGUCCCUCGCGGCGGCGCUGAACCGGCGUACCAGCUGCGAGGACGGGUACAGGUCCGCCAGGUUGAACCCACCAAACAGCCGCACCACUUCGUCUAGCUCAUGCAUGUACUCAUCCCGGUACUUGCACCGGUCGCCGACGACCGUGCGCGCGGCGACGUCGUUUACCAUGCGGCAGAUCCCGUCGCUGAGGUUGACGGGCCGCUGGCCGUCGGCAGACUCCCUGGAGACGGAGCGGAGGAGGUUCGCCACCUCCUCUUCCCGGAUGUUCCGGAACGUGAGCACGCGGCGCUGGCUGAAGAGCUCCACCAUACACAGCUUCCGGAGCUCCCGCCAGUGGGCGUUGUAGGCGGAGAAGAUGAUGUCCUUGCCGCCGCAGCUAAUGAUCUCCAUGGUGACGCUCAGGUUGCGGUCGCAGAAGGUGAGGUCGUGCGUCCUCAUCACCUCCCUGGCGGCCUCGGCGGAGGAGACCACCAGCGUGGGCACGGCGCCGAAGCGGAGCAUCAUGAGGGGCCCGUAGGUUCCGGACAUCUCGCGCAGCGCCCGGUGAGGCAGGUCGCUGAAGCGCGACAGGAGGAGGUGGUGCAGGCUGCCGAUGAGCGGCAGCUGCCAUGGCCCUGGUGGCAGGCGAAGCGCUGGUGAUGGCUUCGUGCGUGAGGACGUGACGUAGCUCCGGAUGAGCCUGAGGAGGAGGAGGGCGAGGAGGACGACGAAGGCUAGAAACUGGAUUCUCAUCAUGUCCAUAUUUUUGCCGGGGAUGGGACAAGUUUGCAGCCAACUGCGUCUCGACAACAUCGAUGACACGUAUUUAUACUAGGGGCUUGCUACCUGAAUUCUAGUUAUAUAUAUUUAUAAUACUAAUAAAAGUGUCCUUGCAACAAGUAAAAAGGUAUAAUGUUAUCCAUAGUUUUUUAUCUUGAAAAUAAUAAUUUUUCAUUUACAUCAUUAUAUUUUUAUUGCACUCAACAUGAUGCUAAAAAAGCAUAUCAUCACACUAUAAAAAAACAAGUUUUUAGGGUUUCUUCCUCUAUAAUAACCGUUCGAUUUGUACGCCGUGCUAUAUGAGUCCUACGUCAUGUAUGAUCUUACUUUUUUGUAUAACAACCGUUCGAUCUAGAUGUCAUGCUAUAUGAGCCCUCCAUCAUCUAUGAUCUUACAUGUAAGAUUUAAGACCCAUAUUCAAUCUCACAGUAAUGCUACCCAUCAUAAGUCAUAUCCUUCUCUCUUGUGUACUGUCGACUCCCUGAUUUUGACUCGACAUAUUUUUCUUCUAUUUAGUAAUCAAUUGCUUCUUCAUCGUGUAACUUUUGCUAAAGUCGAGACCAAUAGCACACAAUUAAUCAAUAGGAGUACAAACCAAUAACGGUAAAAUUAUUAAGAUAGAAUCAUACUCAUGUAUUCUAACGGAAAAAAUAAUAACUUGAUAGUCACUUGCCCUCCAUAUACAAUGGUCAUUUGCACCGACACGGAAGCUAGCAUUGCUUGAUUUGGCUAGUGUUGAUAUACGAGGCGGACACACAUGGCUACCUUUGCGUGCAUCUUCUUGGCUUCGACAUACUGGUCGUGUGUUUUUUUCUUUUGCUAUUUUCUAGCUAUUUAACAAUUAGUUGUUACUAUCAGCGUAAUUUGUGUAAUUUUUUAUUUGUUUUUCUGAAUUUUAUAUAUUAGUUAUUUAAAAGGAAUGAUUUUAAAUAAAGUUUAUAUUUUAUAAUAAAAGACGUUUCUUCUUUACAUACCGUUUUCAAAUUAUGGCCUGCUUUUUGAUUUUUGGCCUUUUUCUUCUUAUAGCUGUUGCAUGCCCAAUUGCCCAUGGUAAAUCCCAGCGUGUUGCCUGUUGGUUAUGCAAAGUUGUAGGUAGGCUACGCGUUGUCCUUUUCCCAAUUUGAUUUUUUUUACCGUUCGGAGCACGGUUCAGAGGUGUAGAUAGAUAGAGAUAAUUUCCAAACUGAAGAGGGUCGACUUUAAAAACCAUAAUUCGAGUAGAGAUUGGAGUUGAAGGAAAAAUAUUACGGAUCGAAGCCUAUACGGACUGGAUAGGCGAAAAAAAGAUGUCUGCUGGACUGAAAUUUUCAUAAUUAUAUAUUAGAAGAAAGAUUGUAGAUUUCGUUCAUUUUAAUUUUCUAGACAUAAUUUAUAAUUUUCGGUACCGAGAAUAAAAAUUUGUUAGACAAAAUUAUAAAUCUGACAAAUGUAUUUGAUCAAAGUUAAUAUUGUUUGACUCCUGAUAAAUGAGAAUAAGCAUUCUUUUAGGCACGGACAAAGAAAUUUAUCCACAAACAUGCGUGAAGAUGUGCUGUACAUACUAUGUACCCGUACUCCGUGAUGUACAAAACUAGGACCAGCAGAGGCUAAUUGUCUCUAUAGCAGCAGGCUACAAUAAUUUGUCUCCGUGGUCCAAAACGUGGGAAGCCUGUUAAGUGGUUGUUUGGUUCACAUAUUUGUUCACUUGUCUAAGUUGUAUUUUUUCUAACAGCCAACAGUGUUUUUCUUUCAUAAUAAAUCAGCGAAGAAUAUUUUCAACUAUAACUUUUCAGAUCAGCGAACAUGCUAGUCUCAUUUACUUUCAUUUAGUCAUUUUUUAUCUAAACACUAUAACUAAAUGAGGUUAAAUGGACUUUAGUCAUCUCUAGCAAUUCUGGAAUAACUAAAUAAGACUAAACUAUUUAGAAGGGACUAAAGUUUAGCAGCCCGAAAAACACCCGUGAUGUCCAUCCAUCCAUUAUAUAAGUUGUUGCUAGGCAGCUAGGGUCUUAGUAUUUUCGUUUUAUUUUAGUAAUUAGUAUCUAAUUAUGGAAUCUCUAGAUUUAAAAGAUCCAUCUCAUAAUUUAUAGAUAACUUGUACAAUUAGUUUUUUUAUCUAUAUCUAAUGUUGUAUGCAUGUGUCCAAGAUUUGAUGUGAUAGAUGAAAAGUUUUUAGGUGAAACUAAACAAGGCCCAGGUAUAACUAGGGACGGGAUAGAUAUGCAGCCAACUACGUGACGACAAAAUCUCGAGGAGCUGACACAGAUAUAUGGACUAGAUAGAUUUUAAUAAUAUAAUAGUACGUAUCAAUAAUGUAGGAAAUAAUGGUAUACUAUACUAGUUCAUAGGAUUCAACUGAAUAUUUUUGACAACAACGUCGUAUUGUGUUUGAUACUUCCACGCAACUACAGGUUAUUAGUGGCGUCGGUCCACGAAUGUGUACGUGCACGCCGCCUUUCGUUCAAGAUAUACUAUAUGUUAAUUCUGUAUUUGUUUGUAUAUAUAUAUACGCUUAAUUAUAAGACAGCGAUAGGCAACGGAAUAUAUAUAUACACACACGAAGAAAAAUCGCUGGAGUAAAGAUAGAAGCUUGUGUAGAUAUUCUCGCUAUGGAGUAGUAGUUCCAAUCAUAUAUAUAUUGUGCCGCUGUGAGAAGUAGCCAAUCACCAAACAGGAGUGCUCAGCUCACUGAUGGCACGUCGUCUAUCCGUAGAGGCGUAGACGGGUGCAUGAGUGCAAAUGGACAUGCAUGGUUUCGAGGACUUCCCAACACACCCACAGGGCCACAGCCCACAGGUGAUGUUUGUCUCCAUGUUUCCCUCCUAUUUCCGCUGCUAUUAAUUCUCGUUGCUACGUGUUUGUUUCAGCAGCAGCGGAGCCAUUCGCACAAGGGUCGAAUCCGGAUACCGGAAACGUCGUUACCGCCCACUCCAGGCCUUAUCGGUUUAGGGCAUGUACAAUCUAGAUAGGGUCCGUCUCUAAGACCAGUCGCAAUGUAUAGUUUCAUGGUAGUUACCAAGACUAUAAACUAGGUAACCGAGUCAUAUGAGUUUUAUGAGGAUGAAAACUCCUCUCUCAUCUGAUGAGACUGCUUCAUUUAAUGACCCUGUCAAGUCAGCAAUUUUGCUUAUGUGGCACCUUAUUUAAUGUGCAUGAUACUCUCAUGAAACAUGCAUUGAGAUUGACCUAAGUAUCUCGAAUCUAUGAUACAGACAGAUAUAAAGACAGAUUAUACAAUCCAUACUUGGGGGUUCUAAGGCAUUUAAUAAUUUGCAUGUAGCUAAGAUCAACUAUGGAUAUCAACUUGUAUACCACUGUGUGGCCGUUUGAUAGAAGACAAGUUCAAGUAUAAAUAAGAUGAACAUAAUUAUAAUAUUUUAAAACCACUAAUAUAAUAUAUAUUAUAUAUAAAGAUGAACAUAAUUACAUAAGCACACUCAAAGAGGUCAGUCCACCUAAUAAUCUUGUGCCAUGGAUCCUUGCAUUGCUUUAGAUUCCUUUUCCUACGGGGUGGAGCUGUCUUGUUGUAUGAUUGAACAACAUCAGACCAAUAUUGGUUGCCACCUAUAUUAGCUCCACAGGUCGAAACUGUUGAAUGUUCUAUCCAAGAGCUCAUGCAUCAAGCUGACAUCCUCAUUCUUUUUCCAAGGAAUUUGCUUCUCAGUCCUAGCAUUUUCAUCAUCAGUGUCAACUAGUUCAGGCUACUGCUUGUCCACUCUCUCUACUUCUACUGGUAAAAUUUCUUCAUGGUUGUGAACAGGUGCACCAACCUAAAAAUUGUGUGGCUGGUUUCCAAAGUAACUCAUAAACCCACCAGGUGGGCAUGGGUCGUCUUUAUCCCUGCAGGAAACAUAACAUCACUAAAAUGACUCUAUACAACAUUACUUUAAUUUGCACUAUCUGCUUCUCAUUCACACUAACAAAUAUCAAAUAGUUUAUAAGAAACAGAGCAUUAGUUUCAUUCUCAAACAUUUGCAACAAACAUCAUAGACCUUCAAAAGGAUCUAUGACACUACAUGCAGGGAAUAAAAUAUGUCAUUUGUCAACCAUGAUGAUCUGACCAGGAUGAACACACAUGCAGCCCAUAGCCACCCUCCUGCUAUUCUUCCCCAAAUAAGAUGAAACAAAUUGCAAUAUAUACAACUUAGCACAUUCAGCAGCUACCAAAGCUCUGUUCACAUUCAGAUACAGCUAGCAAGUUCACGCAGGUUCACAUUCAGAUAAUAACUAGCAAAGCUCUAUUCACUAACAGAUAAGAUAGAAUUUCACUAACAGAUAGGAGCAAGUCCAGAUCAAUUCACAGGUCAGGUGAUUAACAAGAUGGAUCCCAAGCUGCUGAGCGCACAAACGAAGGAGAAGCUGGAUCAACGUUGGUCGAAUUCCACCAAGCAGUAGAUGGUGAAGUGGGGAAUGGAAACCCACCGAAGACGAUGGAACCGUCGCAGCACUGGGGAAGGCACCUCCACUAGAUGUACCAAUGGAGAUAGGAGGUGUUGCCAUGCUGUUGCUGAGGGAACAGGAGAUGGGGGUACCCCGGUGCCACCACCGCUGAUCCACUUCCGCGACCUAGGGUUCAGCCCAGGGCAUCCGCGCCCAACGAUGAGCCUCCACCACGACUGAGGUUGUAGUUCGACGCCGUCGAGAUGGCUCCGCGACCGAAGGUGUGCACCGGGAACACCGCUAUCGCUGUCGCCGCAGUUGACGCAACAAUGGGGGUGUCCUUGCUCUUCUUGUUUGUGGAAGCUAGUUUGCACUUCCUCGCUGAGGUGCUAAACAUCGCAGCCACCAAAGGUUGGGGUGCCCGAUUGAGAAAGAAAGCUAGAGUGUUGUGGCUGCUUCACCGGUGAAAUAGGGAUGAGGCAGAGACGGAUUUGGCGGGACUGCUCCCUCCCAUGCGCGCCAAAACUUCAUUAGCAUGCACGCGAGUGCCCCAGAUCCGCGCGCCGUCGAGACAAGGGGACGACUCCUACAAUGCUGCUCGGCUGGUCUCCUUUGCAUCGGUGCAUGGGACGGCUCCGUCGCUUCACGAGACGACGGAAUAGUCGUCUUCAGGCCACAACGGCACAACAGAUUUUUUUUGUAAAAGUACCCACGAAAGGACGGGGUGAAGAGUUUUUAUAAAAGUACCCACGAAAGGACGGGGUGAAGAGCCCCGUUGUACAUACCCUUAUUACGCAACUCACGUGAGAAUGGAUAAAGGAUAUCUUAGGUUGGAUCCUAUGAACUAAUAAGUAUAAUUGAAAGUUUAGUCUUUAAAGAUCUAAACAAAUGAACUAGUUAGUGAGCUAACAACUAGCGAAAGCCUCAACUAAUUGUUACUUCACUAGCAUAUAGAGCCCAACUAGUUGGGCUAAUCACUAAUUCUAGUUCAUCCAAACAGCUCCUUAACCAACCAAACAAAUUGUCGUUUUUCAUUUCAGGCAACAGGUAGGGGCGGCACCCAUUUUCAUUUGCAGUACAGCCCCGAACUAAACAGAGAAAGAGAGACACACAUUUGGCGGCCAAAAAAUCUGGGUUUUGAUCUAUCAUUUUGCAUAAUAAAACUAAACAUCAUGCAAAAAUUUUUAGCAAAAAAAAUUAUUCUUCAUUUUGGAUUUUGGUCUCAGGAGGCCAAAAGCCCAAAAGAGUUACAAGAGACCAUAAUAAGAGCAAUAAAUUCUGUAUUCUAGACAAAACUAAAUAUAACCUUAAAAAUGUUAGUAUUUAGUAUUUUAUCAUUUCAAGGUAGUCGGCAUUUUGCAUUUUGCAUUUUAUGGGAAAUUAAACACCCCCUAGCACAACCAAAUCGUCAACUCCCAACACUGCAGGCUUGAUGGAGCAUCAUUACCACGCUUCGGUUGAAGCUAAGAGCUGCAAAGCAUUUGCCAGUGCCAUUACCACCACCAUUUCAUGUUGCAUGGCUUGACCGGUCGUAAGAGUCCCAUGCACGUCGCAACUCGCACAGGCAUUGCUCUUGCUCGCGGUGCCAUGAUUGCGCCUUUCACAAACUCAUAGUUGAUCAAUUGGAGCACUUGCGAUUAUUGAAUCAUUAUUGUACUACCAUUUAGUAUGAGAUUUGAAAUUUACUUAAUUUAAUUGGAUAAAUAACAGGCCAUAUCUAAUUAAUUAAGUCCAAGAGCUAACAAUUCCAGGCUGUAAUUAAUUGUGCGAGAUGAUGUGUUCCUAGUCCACGAUGACCUUGAGAAGGACAUUGAGGAAGACGAAGGCUGCAAACGAGAUCCUAGUUUCCAUAUCUGCCAGGGAUGGGAUUUCGGUGAGCUAGCUUAAAUAUAGAGUAUUAUGGCAUCUAGAAAUUAACAAUAAUACAGCAAUGCUUUACAGCACUCAAGUGUUUUACAGCAAUUCAACACUCAAUUCCUUUCUGUUCUCUUCCUCUCCCUCUCUUCUUCUCUAACUCUGGCAAGCUUAGAUGAGACUGUGGGAGGCAGGUCGGCCAAAUGGUGGAAACGGCAGGAGGACGACGGUUAGAGUUCCAGCGGUGUAGGAGGCGGUCGAACUAGGUCAGGGCGAGGGCAUCUAUGGCCAUACGACGGUGAGGGGAGGAGAAGAAGAAGGUUGUUGUGGGCGUAAUAGGGUCUCAUCGGAGCUCAAGACCCUACUGCACUGAGGCGGGGCAGUGGACGACGGUAGGGCAUCGGGAGGAGGAAGAGGACGAUGAAGAAAAAAUCAAGUGUUCUCGAGAGCCAAAACACUCAAGCGACAGAUGAUAGAUCCUAAUAUAGAAAUGCAACAAUGUAUCCAAAGUAUGGAGGCACUGCUGUGUUUGUUAUUCCCAUCCUAGAGGUAAUCUUUGGUGUCCACAGGGAGAUAUUUAUUUUGUUCGUGCCUCUCGAGCCUCACCAUAUCAAUUCUAAUUAUGUUUCCGUCUAAUGCUCCGUAUAUAUAAUACGCUAAUAAGAUAGUGAAAUAGACGAAACUGAUCGACACAUUAGGUUUUUUUUACAACAAAUAUUUUUCAUUUGAGCAGCAGGACGCUGCAAUCAGUCUAACAGACUGAAGGUUUACAUCUAUCAGAUGCAUCAGGAAUGGGCACUGAUAGGUAAGGCUCUGAUGAGAGCAUACAUGAUGGAAGAAAGAUUCAACAGGAACAAUAACUGAGAAAGCCUGUCUAUCUAAAGCAUAUGUUGUAUUAUUUAUGUUCCUAUUGAUUUUGAAGAUCAUGGCAUGACAUUGAUCACCUGUGUUCCUGAACAUCUGGGUGAAAAAGGUUUUAUCCUCCAGUCUACAGGAUGUUCUUGGUCAUCUUCAUGUAGGAAUUGUACUAGCUGCUGGUUAUUAGUGAGAAAGGUGGUGUCAGUGAAGUUGAGUCGUUCACUAACAACUGCUGCUAGAGCAAGUGCUACAACUUCCGCCAUGAGGACUGAGUGGACUUCCAAGGCUUGUGCUGUGAUGUAGAUGGUUUGUGUGGUUGUACCUAUGGAUUGACAAAAAAUCCCAAGUCCUAUAGCUAUAUACUGCCUGGUUGGUUGGUCAUACCUUAAGGAGGCAUCAAUGAAGCAUCUGACUCCUUGGAUGAGCUCCAAUAUAGAGAUGAAGUAUUUGUCUGUCUAAGGUGAAGCUCUUGCAUUAGAUGUGAUAAUACCUGGUGAAGUCGGGGUGGCUUGAUUUGUGAGCAUCAUUUUCUAGGGGGUUUGUGCUUGUUGUUCCUCCAUAGGGUGUGAGGUGCAGGUUCCUCCUGUUGGUGCUGCAUGUGAUCAGGUGCAGGCGUCUCCAUCUGUUGAGGUGUGUGGCUGUGAUCCUACGAAGUAAUAGCAAUGGCAGUUUGCGUACCUUGUGCAGUCAUUUGUGGGGGUUGAGGUGGGAUAAGUAGAGUGUCGGUUUGGUGGCUGCUAAUGUGGGCUACGACCACAUGGUGUACCUGCCAUGGAGUCCAAGUUUUUCUGUGAAAUCAAAUAUCAUUCCUAGCUUUCCACAAAUACCAGAAAGUGAUUAGUAAUUUGUUGAAUACAGUAGAUGGGAUGGCGGCGGGGAUGAAGCUUGGUAGGAUUAGUUGCACGCCAUUAGUAUCUUGAGGUAAAUUGUCAGUGCAAAGAAGGGGAUUUGAUGAGAAUACUGUUGUGGGAGGUGAUAGUGGAAGAAUAGGUGGGCAUCAUCCUCCACCACGCCAUAGGAACAUAGUGCUUGUCUAUGUGGGGGAGUAUCUCGCUGCUUGUUUUGUUGUAGCUAGGGCUCUUUUGAUGAGUCUCCAAGUGAAGGAUUUAACUAGAGAUGGUGGCUCCUUACUAUUCCAUUCUCUCUGCAUAAUGGAGUUAGCAUGGGGUCCACCUCAAGAUGUCAUGACCAUCACUAUGAAUAGUUGGUGUUACAGUUAUGACCUGUACAUCCUAAGCAUCAAAGAUGUUAGUGAUGAGGUGAACAUUCGUGUUAUGGGAAUUUGGUUGCUAAAGAUUAGAGAAAUGGUUGGCAUUGGAGAUUGAGUAGCUAGCAGGAUCAUGUGGUCAUGGAUAGAGUUCCGAAUGGGCACCAAGGGGUGGACCAUAUAGAACUGUUACUUGAAUGGAUCUAGUAGACAGAGUUGGAGCGAAGUUUAGUUUUGACCUACAAAAUAGAAGACCAGAAGAUUGAUCUAGGACCAGUGGUGUUGGCUUUCCAAAAGGAGGUGUUGUGGAACUAUUUAGCCUUAAGGACAGAGGUGAGCAUGGGGUUUUUAUUAGUAGCAAUGUUUGCCAAGACCCCCAUUCUUCUUGGGCUAGCAAAUGUCUUCCCAAGACAUGAACGCAAUGGGAGAUGUAGGGUUGUCUUUCUAGACUCUAGUGCACCAAAAUUUCCUGAUUAUAGUGUUGAUUUUACCUAUCAUAGUAUUAGAAAAUAGCACAGUACACAUGUAGUAUACAGGGACCAAAGCUAGGACAGAUUUGAUGUAAGUCAGUCUCCCUGCAUGAUUAAGCUUGUUAGCUUUCACAGUAGUUAACUUAGCUCUAAAUUUUUUAAGAAUAAACUCAUAAACCUUAUUCCGAUCAUUACGAUUAAAAUAAUCAGGUGGCCCAAGGUGCAUGCUAUUAGGAAGGAGGUCAGGGGUAGGAAAGAUGUUCCUGAUAUCAUUUCUAGUGGUCAAAGGCACCUUUUUACUAAAAAGGAUUGAGGACUUCUAAAGAUUGGGAGUUUGCCUAGAGAGGUGGCAAAAGUCUUGUAAAAUGUCCCAGAUUUUGGUGGCUUCAAUGAUGGAGGCCUCGCCACAUAAGAUUAGAUCAUCAACAAAGAGAAGAGAGUGAAUGGGAGGGCAACUAGGACCAAGGGAAAUGCCCAAAAAAUUGGAGUAAUGAGUUCAGUUUGAAGGUGAAUGGAUAGCUCAUUGGUGGCCACAACAAAAAGACAAUGAGAGAGGGGGCAGCCCGGGCGAAUACCAUGAUGGGGAGUGAAGGAGGUGGAAGGCUCUCCAUUGAUAAGGAUGGAGAAAGUAGUAGUGGAAAUACAAGCUUGAAUGAGGUUGGUGAAAUUGGAGGGCAGCCCAAGACGAUUUAGAGAGUCCCAAUUCAGACAAUCAAACGUUUGGCCAGGUCAAGCUUGAGAUAAAAAAGCUUGCUGGUUCCAGUUUUUUAGGUUGGAAGAGAUGUGCCUGUGUUUUGAUGAAUGCAACUUAAGAUUAUUGAGUCAAUCGACAGCAACUUUGGCGUUUAGUAGAACACAGCAUGGUGCCAAGAUGAUACUACGAUGUCAGCAAAAACUUGUGGGAUCCACCAUUUAGUAAACGAUUAAAGAAAUUUUGAUUUCUUUUUUGUCGUUUCUGCACACCUCCAUGCCUACCAUACGUGUACUGUGUUGUUUUCAGUGGCGGAGGCAGCUGGCAAGGUUCGGCCUCCGCCGUACCUAAAAUGUAUAGAAAACACUAGUAUAUUAUGUGUAUAUACGGUUAUACACGUGAAAUAUACAUGGCUUAGCCUCUGCCACUGUGCACGAAUAGAUUUUGUUUGUGGGCUGGUAUCUCGUGGGCUUACACGACUACGAGCCCGUUCGCUUCUUAGCUGUACUUUUUUUCAGUGAUUUUUUUUUGACCAGCGAAUAGGCUCUAUGUCAAAAGCCCACGACACUAUCCAUAGAAGGAAGCAGCUCAUUGGUCUUCCUGCCUUCCUGGCUGGUCGACUACUCCAGGUUUUAGUGGCCGACUUGUUUAGUUUCAAUUUUUUUUAGCAAAAUAGAUACUGUAGCACUUUUGUUUGUAUUUAACAAAUAUUAUUCAAUUAUAGACUAACUAGGCUCAAGAGAUCUGUCUCGCAAAUUAUAGACAAACUGUAUAAUUAGUUAUUUAUUUUAUUUAUAUUUAGUGUUUCAUGCAUGCAGUGGCGGAGGCAGGAUUUUUGCUUGGGAUAUGCCAAACAAAAAGUUUUCAUAUACAAAUCGGUAAAAUCUAUUUAGCAAUUCGGUAGAAUUUUAUAAAAAAAAUGUCUAACAAUUCGGUACACAACUGUUAAGGCCUUGUUUAGUUCCAAAAUGGACAUUGUAGUAUUUUCGUUUGUAUUUAAUAAAUAUUAUCCAAUCAUAGACUAACUAGGCUCAAAAGAUUUGUUUCGCAAAUUACAUGCAAAUUGUGCAAUUAUUUUUUAUUUAUAUUUAAUACUUCAUAUAUGUGCCGCAAGAUUCGAUGUGACAAAGAAACUUUCAAAAUUUUGCUAAUUUUUUGGGACGUAAACAAGGCCUAAAUGGCAUAAGUCGUGCGUCCAUGGUGUGUUUGAAAGGAGCGUCCGAGAGCAGGUGCGAGACGAAUACCGAGGUCUUGUUUAGUUCUUCUAUGGUCUCCAAUGGGAGGGUUAGCUGAUCCACAUUAGUUAACCACUACUCCACAUUGGGCAAAGUGAUUUUGUUAACGCACGUAGCCACGGUAAAUCAUAAUUAAAGAGCCAUCGUGAUCAACUUUCAUUAUGUGAGCUUGAACAAAAUGAUCAACAUCAAGAGUUGGCCUACAAAUAAUUGUAGAGCUUUGCUAAAUUUCCACACCCUUUCUCCCACUCCAAAAAGCCAAAGUGCUCAAUCCUUAAGCAAAUCAUUCCACCAGGAGAACAAAAGCAAUGUUGUGGUGAUCAACAUCAAGGUAUAUCUGUAGAGCUUUGCUUUUACCGGUUAACGUGCAAUAUGAGUGCACAAUUAUGUUUAGGAUAGAUUUAUUAAGCUAAUAUUGUUAUCUAGUGCCACUAGGUGGGGACUAACAAUACACAUGUGUUAGACUCAGUGACAUGGUGAGGAAGCAAGUGAAAACCUUUGAAAAUGCAAACUCAGUGCUAAAGGUGUUAUUGUUCCGUCUGCCACAUUUGGGAGAUAUCAUAUUUGAAAAAGGGUUUAAGAGAGGGGCUUGGUGAGAUGGUUUGAAUAGUCACUAGAUAAGUCCGGUGGUCAUCAGAGCUUAGGCACACCCACUUUACUAGUCUAGUCAUCAGGCUGUCUCACUCUGUAGUGGGCCACCAAAAAUAUCCAUGCCUCUAGGUCCGAGCACUAAAGUUUAGGCUCCUUCACUUUGGGAGAGAAGGGGACGCUGGACACGAGGCAACAAUCGGCAAUGGCUGCAAAGCACACAAAGUUUAGAAGGAUAAAGGAAGACGACUAGAGGAGGUUAAAUAGUCAUUUCUAUAACUAAAUCAUGAAUCCUAGGCAAAUAAAUAACAUUAAUAAACUAUUUGUCACUUCCCACUAUAACAGCAGAAAUAAAACAACAGAGAUAAUCUAUUUUCAUAACAAUACAAUAAAAGGUACAUGACUCAUUAUUUCCAUGAUGAUUCCAUCCCUACCUGCGAGCGUGGAAAGCCUAAAAAGCCUCUCUCCACGGCCUUCCUAAAAAAAGCCCACCUGGCCACCUGUAGUUCAAUAUAAGCUACUGGAGAAGCUAGGCGUUUGGUCCAUCUCGAACCGCUUUUAAAGCUAAACAGCCCAAUAACCCAUUUCAAACAAGGUCGAAGCCCAAUGAGGCAGGUGGCCCAAAACCUGACCCGAUUCUCUCCCAAUUCUUUUUCCUCGUGUUGGAAUCGGAAUUGGAAUUGGAAUUUGUACGUAGUGGCGGCGAUAUCUGGUUCAGAGUGGGUGUUGAUUCGUGGAGAGCAGCUGGUCGGGCCCAUCCGCGCAGUUGGCUUGGCUUGGCCGCUGCCGCCCGUGCUCGCACCGGCCGCCCCACCUCCAUCUUCCCAUGGUGGUGGUAUCAUCCCCCCCCUUUCCUCUUCCUCCUCCCCACGUGCAACCACCUAACCCCUCUCCCACCGCCCUCCUCGCCUAGCCCGCCGCCACAGCGGCCGUCGACGAGCGCCAUGCCCGCCGCGGCGUCCACCUCCGCGACCUCGCUGCUGCUGGGCGGCGGCAGGCUCCCGCGGCUCCAGCUCCAGUCCCUCCGCGCCCCCGCCAAGCCCCCCUUCCGCCGCCCGGCCUCGUCCCCGUCCACACCGCUCCCCAGAUGCCGCGCCAGCGCGAGCCCCCGCCCUCUGGGCCCCGUCUCCGCCUCCGCCCUCGCGCUGCCCGUGUCGGUGACGGCCGCUCCCCCACCGCAGGUGGAGGAUGGUGGCUGGGUGGGAGGCGCGGCCGCGGCCGCGGCCGUGAGGAGAGUAGCUGUGGCGGUGGCGUGCGGGGCGCUCGCGGCGGCGUGGUGCCGCCGGGCGAUGGCUGUGGGGGCGGCCACGGCGGCGGGAGCGGGAGCGGGGGCCGGGGCCGGGGCGACGGGGGCGGUGGAAGCUGCCGCGGGGAUUGGAGGGAUGGCGCUGCACGGGGGCUGGCCGAGAGUGCUGCAGAUUCUGCAGCUGCUCAGGGAGCAGGGCCUGGUUCUGGCCGCGCUGCUCGGCCUCUCUGCGUUCUUCUCCAUGGCAGAAACUUCUAUCACGACGCUUUGGCCUUGGAAGGUGCGUUCAGCAAGUCUACGGAGACCCAUUUUCUUAAACUCCUGUUGUUGCCAUAGUAAUUACUGUACGUACGCGAAAUGAACUAUGCUUCCAGUUUUGCAAUCGGUUUGGUUCACUGAGCUACGAGGUAGGAUAUUGGGAGAUUUUUGGAUACUUAGAUGAGCAGAUUGGUAUUGGUGUAGUGUUGCUGCUAAGAGGGGAUGCUGAGAUGGGGUGAGUGUCUUAUGGGUACGUCCUUGUAUCAACUACUAUACUCAUUCUAAAUGGGUUUAUGCAAUGAGUAUUUGUAUGAACAAAGCAAACGGAUACGCACUAGCUUAGGCUGUUGGGUUGGGCUGUGGCAUGUGUGGGUCGAGGAUGUGGCGGUUGUCAUGCACAUCCUGCUUCAGCAGUGAUGUGAUAAUUUUGUCUCGCUUGCUGAUGACAUAAUCCACAGCACAAGUUUGUAUUUGAGAAGUGAUGUCACUGCUGGGAGUGUUGCUGAAAGACAUGGGGAAAGCAUUAUUGCUCCUUCCUUUUUUUUGUAGGAUAGAGGGCUGAGCAGCAGGCAUAACUGAUUGACAAGCUGACAACAGCAAGGUGCUUCAGAUAUAAUGACAGUGUGCACAUGCGCUUUAGUGACAUGUUGUGCUAGUGAUCUGUAGGAGAAUUAGGCAGGGAAUCUAUGCAAGGAAAGUUUUUAUUAUUUUGAAACUGGAACUAAUGACACUGGUAUUGGAUUACCGGUCUUACUGACUUUAUAUAUAAUCUCCCUUCACACCUAAUCUCAUCAACUGGAUAGGUAUUUCUGGUUCAGAAUAUUUAUAGCUUUGAACAGAACAUUGGUGCUCUUGUAACUAUCAUUAAAGGGGUCCUGCCUCUUUGUUCAUGUUUAUCAACAUUUAAAUUCAAUUCUAAUUCUUCAAAGACUACAACAAGGUGAUCAAUGUAAAUUGAUGGCUGGAUUCGGUUAAUCACAUGUUGAACUUGCAUUUUAUUUUUAGUAGAGGUUUAUUUGCAAGCACAGGAAUAAUGAAGCCCUAGGUUUAGUGCAUUUUUUCCCUCCAGAGUUGAGCCUAAGGAUUCAAGUUCACUGACACUUAUCAUUGUGGGUUCAAGCAUUUGCACACAUAUUAGCAUAUUGAAAUGGCUAAAGUAUUAGAGGUUGGUGCUAGAGUCUUUCCAUAACAGCGCACUUGGGACUGAAGUUUGAUUCAUGCAAAAUUUUUCAAUUGAAUCAUGCUUGAUGUUCAAAAACUAGCAAGAAUCAUAGAAAUAGCAACACUGUAUUGUGUAAUAGGUUGCAUACCUUUUCCCCCUUUGCAUUUGUUUAUUUUUCUAACGUUGUUUGGAAAUUGCCACAUCAAGGCCUAAUUUUCUAGUGAUCUGCCUAGCGCCCAAUAGCUAGCUAGCCUCUCUACUCAAGCAUUGAGGCAUCACCCCCUUCUACCCACCUAGGGCAUUUUCAGAUCAGUGUUUUGAAACUUUGCUUCGUAGUGGUACUCUUUUCUUAUUGUAACUGACUGUAUGCUGAGAGCGAAUAUCUAUAUGCUGAGACUUUGCUGAUUUCUUUUUUCCUUUGCAUUAGGUUCGUGAACUAGCUGAGAAGGAACCUGAGAAUGGUGUUUUCAAAAUGCUCCGAAAUGACGUCACUCGUUUCCUGACAACUAUUCUCAUUGGCACAACGUAAUCCAUGGCAUUUCUAAGUUGUGCAUCACUCAUUGCAAUUUUGUUUUACUAACCCUAAACCCUAAUCUCGGGCAUAAUUUGUAUGAAAUAGUGUGGUCAACAUUGGCGCAACAGCAAUUGUUACUGAGGCAGCAACAGCAAUGUUUGGUGAAGCAGGUGUUAGUGCAGCAACAGGUGUCAUGACAGUAUGUCUCCUGUCUCAUACUGGCCUUCUGCUCUUGUGUAAGUGUUCUUUAAUCUAACUAUGGAGCACCAUUUUUUAGGUUGCCAUCUUACUUCUUACAGAGAUCACUCCCAAAAGUGUUGCAGUCCAUAAUGCCACCGAGGUCGCUAGGUUUGUGGUAAGGUGAGAGAUAUCAAGUAUAACUUAGUUUCAAACAUGUUUAUUUUGAGUACUGAACAUUGUGCAUUUGUUGCGAUAUAUCAGACCGGUCGCAUGGCUUUCGCUGAUCCUCUAUCCAGUUGGGCGGAUUGCUACUUUUCUGUCUAUGGGAAUGCUAAAGAUUCUAGGCCUGAAAGGGAGAAGGUAAGACUGUAAGAGUAUGUAUAAUACUCUAGUUCUUGAUCAACUAGAAGAUAAAUUCUUUGAAAAUAUGCCAACUCAAUAAGCUCAUGUUAGUCAUAGAUUAUAUCCCCCAUUAGUUAUGAUAUGCUUUCAAGAAGGAUACACAAACAAUAAAUUAAUUCAUGCCACAAGAACCACACAGAACUCUUUUUUAAGAGCAUAUGGCUUGCUCUGCGUAGUGGAUAUAACCAGGGAAGCACAAGGAUUGAGUUUCUAGGUGUGUGUGGGUUCUGCUCAGGUGGGCAACUCUAGCUUCAUCCAUCUGUAUCUUUUUCUUGAUGAAAUGGCAUGCAGCUCUUUUGCGUCAUUCGAGAAAAAAUAACCAGGGAAGCACACUGAUUGAGUUCCUGGUUCCUGCCAAAUAAAAUCUCACCUGUUUUCUUUUAAAAAUGGAUUAAACUUGUAUAUUACUAGAAUUCAAGUACAAAUGAGAUGGUACAACAUGGACUAGAUUAGACUAGUUUGAGUAUGUGUUGAGUCUAGUUUAUAGGGUGAUAGUUGUACUUUCUAAAAUUUCUAUAAUUAGUAAAUAGUGCAGUGACUAUAUUUUUAAUCAAUAGAUGACCGUUGACACUAUUCCAAGAAUUGCAUAUCAUCUGUUAUUGUUCAUGAAGGAUCUAAUUCUAGUUUGAAUUUGCUAGAAACUUAUUGAUUGCUUUCUGUAUAAUUUAGUUUACAAAUUGAAUUUAGUAUCUGAUAUUGUAAUACAAUACACAUUUGUAUGUUAUUUUUUGCAUUUUUUUUACAAAAUCCAGUACUCAAGUACAUUGAUUUGCUAUGUCUUUUAGUUACUACAUUUGUAUAUGUUUAACCAAUAUACAAUUGAGAUUCCUAUAUAGAUAAGAUUUAGUUUUUCUUUUUCAUAACUCUUGACAUUUCUGGAGAUCUACUUCUGAAUCUUGUGCAUCAUAUACACUUCUUUCCUCAGUGAACCAUAUGUUACUGAAGAUGAACUGAAGUUAAUGUUACGAGGAGCAGAGUUGAGUGGUGCAAUUGCAGAAGAUGAACAGGUUAGACAAUCUAGUAUAUGGAGAUGCCCAUAUAUUGUGCUGCAUAUUUCCUUCUUUAUUCUUUAUGUUUCUGUGUACCUCACAGCAAGAUUUUGUUAUCCAGUGCAAUCUAGGCAAAGCCUUUACUUACAAUUUUUAUAUCAUAUAGAAAGCUGACUACUUACAUAAAUAAAGAGUGAAUUAAUGAAAUUUCAGGAAAAUAGUAACUAACGUUUUUGCAUGAUUUUAACUGCUAAUUUAAUGUUUGUACACCAUCUCAUCACAUAUAUCCAGAAUUUGAAAAGCAGUAUGGCCCCAAAGGUUUGAGUUAGAUUAUACUGUUGCAGACUAGGAUUUUGCCUCUUGAUAGUUUACUAGCACACUUUGGCUACUUCUUUGUUUUCUUGAAAACGCAGGAGAGCUGCACUUCAUUAUAUUAAGAGGAUAAAGGGCAAGAGCCCGAACAACCCCACAAACACCAUACACACACCACACACAUCACACACUCACGCCCCAACAGAAAUGUUACAUUCGCGCCCGUAAGAAAACACACAACGCGACCACUACUAGGCUAAACAUUUCUAACUAUCGGGGAGGAGGGCAGUCAAGAAUGAUAGCUCUCGAGCUGCUGCCAUAGACCAUAAACGGCGCUCCUCGCCUGCUAUGAUCAGAGCGCCAGCAAGGUUUGGAGCUGCUCCAUCAAAGACACACCCAUUGCGAUGGUUCCAUAUAGUCCAAGCUCCGAGCAUAACAAGAGAAUUAAUUCCUUGCCUUGUCAGCCCAUCAGCAGUGCUGCUAGCCUUCUCCCACCAAGCAUGGAAGGAUAAUUCUGUAAGCUGAGGGGACAAAAGCCUGAUUGAACCAAAAUUCUCUUGUGAACACACAAUGGACAAGUAGAUGGUCGAUAGUCUCCUUUUCAUGGUCACAAAGGAGGCAAUUCUCCGGAUGAGGUAACCCUCGGCGUGCUAGACGAUCAGCUGUCCAGCACUUAUUGUGCGACCAGCCACAUAAAGAAACGGCAUUUGGGCAGCACCCAUGAUUUCCAAAUCUUUUCCCAUGGUCCAAAAAGAGUAGAUCCGAAAAAGAAGCCUUCAUAUGCCGAUUUAGCCAAGUAUUGUCCAUUAGAGGAGAGCCUCCAUAGGUGCUGCAGCUGAAAAUCCAGAAGUAGAUCCCACCAUAAGUGAAAGUAGUCAACAAACCCACCAACUGUGAGCGCUCCUUGUAUGUCCAAAAUCCAAGCCCGGUUAGUAAGGGCAUCCUGGACAGUAUGCUGCUUAACCCUCCUUUUAGGAGUAGCCACAAAAAGUCGAGGGGCAAGAUCUGCAAUGCAUUGCCCAUUGAUCCGAUCUGUCCAGAAAAGAGUGUUUGCACCAUCCAAUUUCAGAAGUUACUGCCACUGAGUAGAAGGCUCUUACUUGCUUCGGCACAUGGAAUGGUAGAGCAGCCCAAGGACAAUGAGGUUCUGUUUUCUGCAGCCAAACCCAUCUCGUGCGCAAGGACCAGCCAAGGGUUUUUAAAUCUGAAAUUCCCAGGCCUCCAAGCUCUGGUGGGCCACAGACUUUGACCCAAGCCACAAGACAAUGACCACCUUUUUGCAUAUUUUCGACCCCUCCAAAGAAAGCCACGCCAAAUUUUAUUUACCACUUUGAUAGCCAUGGAGGAAAGUCGAAAGCAAUAGCUAAGUAAAUGAGCAUUCUCAGUGAGAACUGAUUGUACUUGAACCCUUCUUCCAGCCCUUGUCAUUAGGUCUGCCUUCCAGCCAGGAAGUUGAUCUGCAGUACGAUCAAUAAUAGGCUGCACUUGUUUCUUUAGGGAGAGGGGCAGACCUAAGUAUUUGCAUGGGAAAUCCGAGAGGGGCACACCUAGCUAGUUUCUUUGGCUACUGUUAUCCUUUAGGUAUUUUGCAGAACCUUUCCAUAGCAAUCCCAUUAAUCUUUAGGAAGCGAUCCCAUUUGUUAAAGCCCCUGCAGGCAACUUUCAAGUUCAUUAUUCUCGAUCACAGGUAGUCAUUCUGCAUAUUUUUCCCUCAGAAUCAUCAUAAGAAUUGGGUUAAGUGGAUAGGUCAGACUAUAGCAUGGAAAUACAUAAGUACUGAUAGGUUGUUGAAACUAUCUAAGACUACAGAUUUAUCGUGUCAAUUUGUCACAAAUAACAGAUUUUAGCUGAUGAAAUCAGUACUUCUGCAGUACAUAGAAAUACUAAAUGUGUAGUUUUAGUUUUGCAAAAACAAGGACACUAAAUUUAUAAUUCUGUGAUAAAACUUCUUAAAUCUGUAGUUUUGUGAUAGCAUAGCCCACUCACACAUAUACAAAAAAAAAGAAAAAGAAAAAAAGGAACCAUAUAGUUAUUUAUGUGCUUAGAUUCUAGGCCCUAGAACUAGAACCUAUAGCUGUGUUACACUAUUAUGAAUUCCUAGUCCGUGCCUGCUUGUGCAGGACACUUUUCUACUUGAUCAGCUAAAGUCAGCACCUGAGUCUUUUAACAGGAUAUGAUCGAGAAUGUCCUGGAAAUUAAAGAUACACAGGUGAGGGAAGUAAUGACGCCUUUGGUGGACGUAGUUGCAAUUGAUGCUAUUGCAACACUUAUUGAUUUCAAAAACUUGUGGGAAACUCAUCAGUACUCUAGGUAUUGUCAACUAUUAUUGUCGCGUGUAUUUUCAAGUCUUAUCACUGACAUCUGCUGCUAUUUGUUAUUUCCAGAGUUCCUGUAUUUGAGGAGCGCAUAGAUAAUAUUGUUGGAAUUGCAUAUGCAAUGGACAUGCUUGAAUAUGUUGAAGAGGUAUGUCUCUUGUUUACCAUUUAAUGUAAAACUUAAUCACAGUGAGUCUUAUUUGCUCCACAUGAUGCUUCUCUAAAGGGAAAGUAAAAGGUGUAUUUUUCUUUUGAAGGUUGAGAAGCUGAAUGAAAUCACUGUUAAGAAAAUCGCACAUAUGCCUACAUACUUUGUUCCAGGUAAUUUUUAGUAACAUUGUUGGAUACAAGUAUCAUGAUGAACUAAAAGAAGGCAUCUGUCAGUAGUUAUAGGGUUGGAUGUUUUUCCACAACAAUUAAUCAUUUCUGCCACAUGUUUUCUCCCAUCUAUGCAUCAUGGAUGUAACAUAUGAUACUGUUUCAUCUGGCAGAUUCAAUGUCUGUUUGGAACCUAUUAAGAGAGUUCCGGAUCAGGCAGGUUCAUAUGGCAGUGGUCCUUAAUGAAUAUGGUGGAACUAUUGGUGUAUGUCCCUAUGAAACCCAUUUUUUAUACUUUACAAACUGGACACAGUUUAGUACUUGUUAAUAUUCUUGUUAUGCUUUCAUCCAAGGCUAGUUGCUCAAUUGAGACCAUUUUGACUUAUGGCACACAACGAGGUUCAACAUUGUUUACUCCAAUCAAUUUUUAGUUGUAACUUCCAAGCAUGCUAGUUAGUUUGCUAAUAAUUGAUGAAUGCUAGUCAGUACAUGGUGACAUUUUGAUGGCCAUUUAUUGGCAACACUACUGGCUUUUGUUCCACAAUGGUCGUGUUUUUAGCACAAGCAUGUGGUGCGAUGCUUCAAGUGAUCUUGCUGCACAGCUUAUGUAACUGCAGCAAUGGGGCACUUUUCAUCUGUUGCAGUAGCAGUCCCUGUUGUUCAUGGUUUGUUUCCUUUUAAGAUAUACCCCACACAUAGAGAUUAGUUAUGCUCCAUGCAGCAGAGAUUAUUACUUUCCACAAGUUUAGAGAUUGUUUCUUAGGAAGUAGUUAUGCUCACAGUUUGUUCAUCAGUUUCUGUUUUCAGAAGUAGUUGAUGAGCGAUGAACAUGUUUUGAUUAUGUUUGCUGCUGAAAGGAUAAUUCUUUAAGAUGUUUUUCUCAUUACUGAUGCUCAUUGGUAAAAGUUGCAAAUGAUUGGACAAAGCUACUACCCGUGAGCUUCCUUUGUCUCACAUACCCUUCGAGCAAUUACGCUUUAAUGUAGCAAUAUCUAUCCAUUACUUGCAGCAACUAAGUCCUAUUGUAUUCAGAAAUGUUUAUUAGAACAGUUUGUAAUUUCAUAUGUUUAUCACUGCAUGGGACAUUGGGAAUUACUCUGACCUUUGGCCAAAAAAAAAUGCAGAUUGUAACACUAGAAGAUGUAGUGGAAGAAAUAGUUGGUGAAAUAUUUGACGAGAAUGAUUCCAAGGUGAUUAUUUCUGGAAUUUUUUAUUUCAAAUCGCAAGUGGGUGUUCAGUGCCAUACAUAUGCAUGCUAUUAUUUUCUAUUUCUUUUUCAAAAUUAUUUCCCCCUUUCUUUUGGUUUAUUAUUCCCUUUUUGCCUUGUAACUAUCGUUCUUAUAUUACAUAACUGACUUUUCAUAUGUUGGUAAUAAAUAAUGAUAUGCUAGCAUUUGAACUUACGAAAUUUAGUGGGCCAAACAUACUGAGCCAUGCCAAAAAAGACAGGCAAAUCAUACAGUCAUAUUUUAGCAGCAGCAGUGCAUUAGCGCGGUGGGUACUGAGCCGGAGUUUGCAUGUGCCUGAAGGUGGCUGAAUGAAUAAGGUGGAUAUUACCCUACCCGCACCCAAAUCAAAAUGUGUAUUUUAUUUCUACCCAUACCCUCCCCAAUUAAUGCGGGUGUGGAUUUGAAUAUGGGGAUUGAAUAUCCAGCGGCAGGUAUAAAGAUUAGAUCUCCUGCCUCAGUGCUUCUCCAAGAUCUGGAAGCAGCUGCUUCACUCCUAUUUUCUGUAUCCUAGUCAAAACAAAGGAUUUUUCCAUGUAGCAAGCUAGUUGCUCUUUGUCAUUUGCUUAGGCAGUCUCUCAAUUCCUUCUGCUACUCUGUUUUUCACCCUUUCAGGAGGAAAUCCAGAAGAAAACAGGCUAUAUAGUGAGGCGGGGAGAUGGAACAUUUGAUGUUGAUGCAAAUACAUCAAUAGAUCACCUCUCUGAAGAGCUUGGUAUCAAAAUACCAGAGGUAUUGUUUCUCAUUUGAUCUUAGCUUUCUCUACAGUUGCUAUGCAUUCCCUUGGACAUGUGUAUAUUUAAGGAAGGUAUGGCUCGGAAAAUAGUAGAUUGAUUAUGAGUAGUACAAAAGGGUAGGCAAGGAUGAUCUGGGAUUUAUAGAACAAUACCCAAUCAGGGAGAUCCUUGCCUAAUAGCUAAUCAACUACAUAAAACCCAUGGAGGCAGGCUUAGGUGCCAGGGCCCAUGCGGCCAGCCCAAUAGCCCUCUGGAAACUCCAUUCUAACAUAUAUGUUGGAGUGGACACUGUAUGAUGAUCAUCGAAAUGUGAGUUCCAUCAUUUAGAGAUGCCUGGUUUGCAGAACCUAUACAGAUAUAACGUUAUUAUAUCUAUUUUUUGGUGGAAACUGGACAUUUAAUAUUUAGGUCAACAAAAUAUUCACAAAUGUUCUGUUUGUAAAAUAUGCCCUUGGUAGUCAUCAUUUAUAUGGUGCUCUGUAUUUCUGUCAUGUUUCUCGUAGAUUGGCUGAUAAUCUUGAGACACUUGGACACUAUCUUUUGGCAGGGGCAUCAGUAUGAGACGGUGUCUGGUUUUGUCUGUGCAUCUUUUGGCUAUAUUCCAGAAGAAGGUGGGAAAAUGCUUGUGAUUCUUGAAAAGGAUUACAGAGAAGAAAACGGUGAAUAUCAGGAGGAAGGUUCUGAUCGCCAAGAUGAUAGAGAAAAAACUCAAGCUUACGAACUUGAGGUAAUUGUUACAACUCCUUGUGUACUCUGUUUGCUCAAGAGUUCUAGUACCAGGUCAAUUAUUAUAAUGCGAUUAUCUUGUCAUCGCUAGAAAUCUUUACUAGUAUAUAUAACUAUUAUGAAUUUUCCUUCAUUACUUGAAAGCUGAAAGACACCACAAAAGCUUCAAUUUUCUUUGUUGAUGCAAUACCAUGAAACCUUUUUUGUUAAAUAACUCUCAUUAGAACCAAUUUUCCAUACAGGGCAUUUGGUUCUUAGAUCAUUUUAUAGGAUAUUUCGUACUAUAAGUAAGAACCAACUACUAUCCACAAUUACCUCUACAUGCUUGUUUGUGCAUAUAAAAAGACAACAAUACUCAGAAGGUUGCUGUAACAUGUCCACACUCCGCUUUUGUGGUGCUAAUACUACCGAACAUUUGUAAUUGCUUUUUUUAUUUGAAGCUAAAAAAAGAAAGUAUACAAAAACUAAUAGAUAAGAAAACCAACUACUCAAUUGUCAAUUCAGAAUUCAUACUGUGGGUUAUAAGGUUAUUUCAGUGAAAUUGUUUUGGUAUUGGUACACAACCUUUAUUAGUUGGUGCAACUCCCAUUUCCGGAAGUCUUCGUACACUUUAAUUGAAUUGCUGCAGCCCUAGGAAUCCAUAGUUUCUGUUUCACAAUUCACCCAAAGUUUCAUUCUUUGUUGCAGAAUUAAAUAACCUUCUGUAGUUGUUUUCACUACCUUUAUUACCUGGCUUCUCUUGCUCACAGAUAGUGGAAGCUAAUGCAAGGAAGGUGGGCAAAGUCCUAUUUAAGCCAAUAAGCAGUGAAUGUGUUGGUGUUGACAACAAGGGUGUGAACCGCCUGGUCUCCAAGAAGAUCAUCAAACGGAAGAAGCAGGGCUAUGAUGAUUCCUCCGGUGACGAGUAUCCAGAUACAACAGAGAAUGGCUGCCCUGCUGAGGCACUCUCCUACUCGGAUGGUAACAGUGCCUUGUUGGAAGAUGCAAGCAGUUCUAGUGCCAAGAGGUGACAAUAAAGGAACUCCAAGACCAUCGUACUACUGGUAAUAAUUACAGCACACCGUCACCGGUCCUAAUACCCCUUGUUACAACAGAAGAAGAUGAGAAGAACAUAGUAGUAGGCUACCCAAAAAAAAAAACUGCGAGAGCAACACCAAGAGGUUAACAGCAGUUUAAGGCAUUGCAACAUUUUUCAGUAGCAGGAGUAGCAGUAGUAGCAGUCUAGAGGUGCAGCGAGGUGUCGACGUCGACUUCACCAGAGACAUGUUUGUAGUUGUAGGUCUUACUGGGCCACAGCUCCACCGCAAUGGGGUCGCUAUCGCCGUGGAGCUGGAAGCUUUUGCAUUCACAGACAGUGGUUGGCACGGCCGGGAAUAAGGAGGCUGCGGCGGCAACAGCGGCAGUGGUUUCCCGCAGCGGCCUGCACGGGUAGAGCAGCUCCGGGUGGAAGAACCACUUGACGGGCAUCUCCCUCGGGGAGGCGGUGGCCGCAGGGCGGGGGGCGAGCACGUGGAGAAGCCUCUCCUCCCGCUUCUCCCUGAUCCUCUCCAGCUCCCUGAACCUCUGCUGCAGCAGGGCGAUGGAGGAGAACAUCACCUGGCCUUCGCUGCUCUGCACCCCCAUGAUGACUGGGCGAGAGGGGGAGCUCUCACUCCAGCUCCGAGUUUCAGUUACGUGUUCGUGUCGUGUGUAUCUCACUCAAGCGUCUGUCUACUUCGCUCGGUGUGUGUGGGGGUUUUGCUUGCUGCUUGAAGGGGUGGUGGUCUUGGGCAUGUGCGUAUUUAUAAGCCGCAAAGUUUUGUCACGGCGCAGGGCGUCGUCUUGUGGUCGUCUUGCAAGUUGCGCCAAUUCUUUCAUCUUCAUCUUCCAUUAUGUGAUGCUAUGCCUGUUUGUGUGUUUUGUUUAUGGGCUGAUUGAAAAACAAAAGAGGCACUAUUGGUAUGAGAGAGAAUCUGGGAGGAGAAUGUCACGUCGCCCGAGAAAGGAAGUGGGAGGCGUGCAGGUGAGAGAAUAAGGGGCGUGGCGUGGGAGAGUCCAAGGAAAUGGGGCUGUGGACGCUUGCGCUUGUUCCGUUCCUGGCGGUGGGAAUCGCCGUGUGCCGUUGUGAUGUGCGGGGUGGCCAUGAUUGCGCCUCUGUUUGUCUGUCACCUUUUUCCCUUGCGCAUUGCUGCAGCAGCAGGGCAGGGGAGAGGUCUGCAUGCCCUGCCAUGCCCUGCCCUGCUGCUCGUACUAGCUCGCUACUACUCCCUUCCCCCUCUCCAUCCAAACGGGCACUGCGAGCUUUUCCUGGUCUAUAAUGGCGUCGUUGGAGCUGUAGUACGUGCUGUUCGUAGCAACUGUGGGCAGCGCUUUCAGGUGUGGAACUGUGCACUCCAUGAGCCAUUGUCUUCGUUUGCGUGUGUGAACGUGUUGGAGAGUCUGGGAGCAGAAAGUCUGCGUUGAACGUUACUUCUUUGGGUCUUUGACUGGUGCGUCCAUAGAUCUGUGAAUGGGAGCGCUGAUUGCACGCUGCGUAGUACAGUGCGUUCGAGUAACGCUGAGACGGCGUGCUGCUUUGAAGUUUCAACUUUUGGUUAAUUCAGGAAAGUUGAUUGAUCUUAUGUUUUUUGACGGCCAGGUAAACACGGCCAAUUGCACCGGCGUCAAAAAGACCUCUGUCAUCCGAUGCUUUGGACAGUAAUUGAGAUAUUCGUAACAAAUGCUUCACUACCCGAAGAGAAAACUAGUUUUCGUUGGUUUCCGCAUUUUGUGAAAAUAAGAAAGGGCAUGUUUGAGUCAGAGUCGGGUUAUUAUAAUUGGAUUAUCGACUCUAAUAAUUAGAGUGCUAGAUUUUUUGUGGUGGAACCUAUCCAUUUCUUGCCUAGCCAGCCAACUAUCAUGAUGCUACAUGGUAUUUAAGUAACGACCAUUUUCUCAAAUGGUCAAGGAUUAUAUUCUUCUUUGAUUUUUUUUUCCCUUCAAGUGGCCUAGGGUUUUGUAGUCUAAUGUGAACAAUAUCAGGUGAAAACAAAAUAGCAUCAAAGAAUAGAUAGCCAAAAUGCCUAACGAAAAGGAAAAUUGUGGGUUACAUGUCUCAUGAAUUAUUUGAUGAAGUAGAAUAAGAUACGUUCGGUUAUUUGAGAGAAAAAAAAACUGCACAACAUAAAAAAAUAACUGUUUGCCUAGUUGGCUAAGAAAAAAUAUAGUGGGCUCCAUGGCUCCUAAGACUCUUUAAAUAUCAUGUAAAUGGAUAUAAAAGAAGUCAAUAAAUCAUUCUGCUGAUAUUGACUGAAUUAUUUGCUAUCAACAAUUAUCCAAAAAAGAUUUCUUUAAGAAUAAUAUUUCUACCAUGUAAAACAAGAAGAAAAAGACAAAUUAAUCGGAACUUUUGUUUGUGGCUGGAACUAUUGUAAAUGUCAUUGUUGAGUUGAGAUAUUUUUUUUUUGAAGUUCCCUUUUUGCGAGGAAUGAGUAAUCUGAACGUUAUUUGUUUGUGGUUGUUGAUUCCCUGGAGCUGUUAUAGAAGUCAUUAUUGAGUAGAGAUUUUUUGAAGUUCCUUUUUGCAACGAAUGAGUAAAUAGUUGCAUAGAUGUUUGAUGGUAUUAGCAUACUCUGCUUCUAAAAUAAUGAAAGGGAUUUUCCGUUACUAUUUAGUUGUGGACUGAGGCCUGAAGAAGUAUGUUUUGAAACUCGGAAUUUCAUGGAGGAUUUGUAGGAAUCCCAUAUAUAAUAAACAUGUCAAAAUUAAUCCUCCUAUAUUUUCUUGGUCAUUUUCUAGAGCUAGGCUCAUUUAUCUUUAAUUUGUCUAGUGAAGAGUAUAUGUAUAUCCUUUGCUCCAAACAUGUAGUGGUGAGUGGAGUUUACUAAUAUUAUUAUGUGUAGUUAACCUAGAACUAGAAGCUUGGUAACUGAGCCUUAUCUAAUCUGGCCCUAAACUAACUUAUCAUCCAAACUGAUCAGUUGGAGUCUUGUGACGAUGAUAUCUCUGGUUUGUUGUGGAACGGGACUAGUACUGCCGGACAUAUUAUACAUUGGAUGCAUGCGACAUAUAUACAGUGUUGAACUUGUUUAUAUUAAUUUAUCCUGGAUAGCCAAUAGUAGCCCAUAACAUUAACAUGCAACAUAGUAUAUGCAUUUGCAUGUACUGCUAGUUCCCUGCUACGUACGAUCCUGACAGUAGGCACCUAAUCUUUCCAUGCCCCAAUAUUUUACCGCCGCUGUCGCUUCCAUUCUAGAGAGAGAACAAUAUGACCAUCUUGUAAAACAUUCUAGAGAAGAGAUGCAUGGAGAGUAUGGCAAUAAUUUAAGCAGAUUGAUGGGAGCGAGAUAUUUUUAAAGGCAGAUCAUCGAUUGAUGCAUGGGAGCGAGAGAGCUUAGCAGAGAAAAUAAAGAAGAUUGGUGAUUGGUGAUAGGCCGGGGCAGCCGUGGUGCAGCAGCAGCUAGAACUAGAGAAGCUAAAAGGAAGGCUGAUGGCAGGGCAGGGCAGUAGUUUAAGGACGGGUCCAUGCCUGCAGCUAGCUAGCAUCUAUCGACGUUCCUCCGUUGUCGCGGAGCCGGUGGACGCGAAUGGCAUGCGUGGGUGCACUACCCUGCUGAUGCACACAGCAUGCAUUGCUGCCUGCAUGCGACAUGGUAUACAGCUCCCGGCCGGCGUCUCUCCUCUCCUCUCUUCUCUUCUCUUGUCCAUCCAUCGGCAGCAUACGGUCGGUCACUCGCAGCAUGCAUGCUCCUCUGAUCGAGCUCUGCUGGUGUCGUGUCGUGUCGUCGAUGGAUCGGGGCCGGGUUGGGUGUUGCUGCAUUGCAUGCUCCCUAAAGCGCCGCCCUUGUUGCCAAAGUGAAUGCUGCCGACGACGACCGCCGCGCCGCCCGUCUUCUUUUUCGGCGGAGGGGGGCGGCCGGGCACGGGCACGGGCACGGCACAGUCUUCCGGGCAGGGGCAGGGGCAGCCGGGCAAGCCAACACCUGCUAGCGGACGAGAAAUUGAAUCGAAUGGGAAACAAAGAAAAAAUUGAUGGCUGAUGGCUCCAUCUUUCUUUCUGUCUGUCUGUCUGUCGGUCAGUCAUUUUACUAAUUUAUUUGACUGCGCUACGGAGACGACAGUGUAACAUUUUUAUUUGUAUUUAAUAAUUAUUAUUUAACUAUAGACUAAUUAGGCUCAAAAGAUUCGUCGCGUAAACUAUAGACAAACUGUGCAAUUAGUUUUUAUUUUCGUCUAUAUUUAGUACUUUAUACAUGUGCCACAAGAUUUGAUAUGACGGGAAAUUUUAAAAAGUUUUUGAAUUUCGAAGUGAACUGGUCAAAUAUGCAAUGCUUGUACGUGCGCACUAGUUUAUGCCAAUGAUUCAUUUUUCGCGGAUCCUCCGAAUUUCACACCAUACAGUCAGAAUAUAAUUGCUCCAAGACACGUCAAUUUUGAUGCGUCAAUUUGUGCAUGUGGUUCCUGGCACUACUGGAUCCGGCUUCUUUGCCGAGAGCCGCGAGCCCUCGGCAAAUGCCUAAAAGCCCUCGGCAAAGGCUUUGCCGAGGGCCAUAAACGCCCUCGGCAAAGCCUACGGCGCCGUCGAAAAACGUCAAUAUUGACGUCGUCUUUGCCGAGAGCCAUGCUGGCAGGCUCUCGGCAAAGAUUCUUUAUUUUUUUUAAAAAAAGCCUUUGCCGAGAGCCCUGCAGGAAGGCUCUCGGCAAAGAACCCCUUUGCCGAGAGCCAGACAUCCAGGCUCUCGGCAAAGAACCCCUUUGCCGAGAGCCAGACAUCCAGGCUCUCGGCAAAGCUGUAGUUCUUCUGAACCCGGCUUUCUAUCUUUGCCGAGUGCCAGCCAUCCAUGCUCUCGGCAAAGCUGAGAAUUUAGUUUUUUUUUCUGUUUUUUAUCUGUUUUUUACAUGCACAGCCACAUAUGUAUAUAUAUAUAUCACAAAUCCCUUUGUCUAUAUCACAAUCCACAUAUAUAUCACGCAUGAAACAUAUCGAAGUCCACAGAUAUCACAAAUCCACAUAGAUAUGACAAAUAUAACAUUACGUCCAACAUAAACCAUAAGUCACCACAAGUUCAUAACAUAAACCACAAGUCCACGUGAAUAUCACUCCUCGAAGUCGCUAGCGCCUCACCCCUAGUGCUGUGACUCUGACCUGUCGUCGCCGUGGCCUCCGUCGUGUCCCGAGCCUCCAUCUGGCCAAGCCGACCAGGGUGAGUGCCCCCCAGGGUGUGUAGAGCUCGCACCUGCCCACGGCGCCCACAUGGCCUGCCCUGGCACCGACGGGUACGGGUACGAGUACCCGGGGCGCGGAGGAGGGCUGCCGGACAACCCGGGGUGGCCGUGCUGCGGAUGGGCACCAGGCCACGUGUGCUGCGUACUUGGGUGGCCAUAAGUAGUAACCUGCCACCCACUCCUUGGAGAAGGGGUCGGGUUCGAACCCCACGACUGAUGCUACAUAAUAUAAAAGCGAACUCAUUAGUAUCUGCAGGACGGCCACACAAGCCAAAGCAAUAGACAAACAUAUAUACACUCACCGGACUGCCUGCAGGGGCAGGAACAGGGGGUGGAACAGGGGGUGGAGCGAAGAGCGAGGCAGGCAGCGGAGGCGCUGUAGAGCUGUGGAUGGACUGGAAGUAUCCGACUAGGUCCGAGAUCUGACGCUGCGUGUGCUGCUGCUGUGCCUCCAUGUGGCGCCGAUGGGCCUCGUCUCUGGCCGCCAGCGCGGCCGCCAGCUCUCGCCGAUGAGCCUCCUGCAGCUCGUCCUGCCUGGCCCGCAACUCCUCUAGCUGCGACUGCAAUAUUACACCCGCAAUGGUUAAACAAUGCAAAAGGAGAUGUAUAUAUGUAAAAAUAAUGGACGAUGGAUAAAGCUGUAGUUACCUGCAUCGUAGCUAUCUGCUGCACGGAGCUCGGCUGACGAGGCCGUAUGGGGACGUCGGAGGUCGAGCUGCUCCCCUGCCGAACCUCGCGGAGCGUGGGUACGGUGGCCGGGUUGAUUGCGCUGUGGGCAAUCAUGUACCGGCCGUGCUGCUUCCCUCCUCCCGUCCUCAUGAGCAAGUCCGUGUCCGAGACCCUUUGCCGUGGGCCGUCCAGUCUGGCUCUCGGCAAAGACCCUUUGCCGUGAGCCUAACGCGCAGGCUCUCGGCAAAGAACUGCUGACUUUUUUUAUUCUUUUUGAAUUUAGAGCUGAGUUUUUUUUUUUGUCCUUGUGACUCAAUUUCUAAAUACAUUUUAAAAUUUGGCAUUAAUUUGACUUUUUUUGCUAUAUUUAACUAAUUAAUCUUGUUUCUUUAUAUUUUUUCACAUAAUUCAAAUUUCAACUGUAGGUACAUGAAAUAUUACAACUCAAUGAUUCGAAAAAUGAUAGUCAAGAUAUUUGGUGUACGUUGAGGUCGUAACCACAACCACACAUGAAAUCUCAACCCUCUCGCUAACAUAACAUGUCAAGGAAUGUGAGGGAAAAUGGAUUUAUAAUUAUAUAAAUUUCAAAUAAACUCCAAAAAUCACGAAACUUGGCGACGUGUCGUGUUAUCGCAUGUGGAGGCUGUGGUAAAAAAUUCAUAAGGUUCCGAGCAAGUUGCGACACCGGAUGUCUAAAACCCAGACAUCUCCACAUGUUAUCGAAUGUGAUCACAUGCGGAGAUGUCUGGGUUUUAGACAUCUCGUGUCGCAACUUACUCGAAACCUUAUGAUUUUUUUACCACAGUCUCCACAUGCCAUAACAUGACACAUCGUCAAGUUUCGUGAUUUUUGGACUUCAUUUGGAAUUUAUAUAAUUAAAAAUCACUUGUACGACACAUGGAUGGUCAUGUUUUAUAUACAAGAAAUUCAAACUCUUGGGUGAGUUUAUGGAUACAACAUCAAAAUGCAGUCUUGAACAUGAGUAUAAUUUUUUGAAUGACUAUAUUUUAUUAUUUCAUGCUCCUACAGUUCAAAAUUACUUUUUCGAGAAAAAUACAAAUAAAAUAAUUUAAUUAAAAAAUAUAGCAAAAUGUUAUAAAAAGCUCUCAAAUUUGAACAUGUGCUUAUAUACAAUAUGUAAGGGUUACAGAAAAAGUUUGAGUACAAAACUAAAAAAAAUCUUUCUUCUUUGCCGAGAGCUUGACAAGGCACUUGGCAAAGGCCUCCUCUUUGCCGAGAGCCUAACGCCGUGGCUCUCGGCAAAGGUGACGACAACGGUUGCCGUUACCAGCGCUGCUCCUUUGCCGAGAGCCUAUCUUUGCCGAGAGCUAGGCUGUCGGCAAAGCUAGCCUUUGCCGAGGGCUUGCCUUUGCCGAGAGCUUGACCAUCGGUAAAGUUUCUUUGCCGAGGGUCGUUUCUGACUGUCGGCAAAGGCAGUCUUUGCCGAGGGCUAGCUCUCGGCAAAGCUGAGCCCUCGGCAAAGCUCUCGUUUCCUGUAGUGUGGGCUUUGAAUUGAUCGAUGGCAAAAAGCCGUAAUGGAAGCACGUCGCGUCUUGAAUGCAUGCACUAUAUAGGAAUAUAGCUACACAAAAGAAGAGAAAUAAUGACACACAUAGUAGUAGCUAGCUAGUAAAGUGUGUAUGUAAGGCCUUGUUUAGUUCCCAGAAAAUUUUGCAAAAUUUUUCACGGUCCCCGUCACAUCGAAUCUUUAAACGCAUACAUAAAGUAUUAAAUAUAGACGAAAAUAAAAACUAAUUGCACAGUUUGGUCGAAAUAGACGAAACGAAUCUUUUGAGCCUAGUUAGUCCAUGAUUGGAUAAUAUUUGUCAAAUACAAACGAAAGUGCUACAGUGUCGAUUUUGCAAAAUUUUUCGGAACUAAACAAGGCCUAAACCUAAAAGCCCAUGCAUUAUUGCUUUUUAAAAAGUUAAAGCGGUGAUGGAUGGUUUUGUUCAUGGCUCGAGGAGGAUGUGUCCUAGCUAGUUGUUGGUGGGGGAGGUGAGAGUACCUAGGAAAAUUUGCUUACAUUUUCCUGUACAUGCAUGCAUGCAACGCUAAUUGGAUGGAUAUGGUCGGAACAUGCAUGGGUCCACCAUUCACAUCUCUUGGUCCUACACGCACGCCUACUAUUGUGAUGCGUCUCAGCUUUUUAAUGUGCCUGCGUUGCAUGCAUGCAGCUGGGUACGUAAGGACACGCCGCAAGCUGCCCAAACUCUAGCUCUGCUUCCCGCAUUGCAUUGCAUUGUAUCUACCUCGUGGCGCAUUAGGGUUAGAGAGAGAGAGAGAGAGAGAGAGAGAGAGAGAGAGAGAGAGAGAGAGAGAGAGAGAGAGAAGUGUGGUAUAGCUAGCAUGCAUCCAUAUAUAUCCGAUCGACCUGUAGUUCAUGGCACAUUCAUUAGGUUUGGAAGAGUGAGAUCGAGGCAGGACGAUAUGUAGUACGUCGUCGUCCUUCGUAUAAACGGACAUUCGCUCAAUGUUGAAUUGUUGACAGACGACGAUGCGCGCGGCACUUUGUUUGACCAUGCAUGCAUUCAUCCGUGCAUGCAUGGAGCGUCUAUGUGCUUGUCCCUGAAUAAACUAAUUAAUCACUGCACGAACUCGAUCGCCUUGCUGUCAACUUAGCUUAGCUUAUUACAAGUGUGUUAACGACAAGCAAUCAUGGAAAUGAGCUGCAUAUAGACACUGUUCACAAUGCACGUUAUGUUGGAGCACUAGCUAUAGCUAAUUAAUGAGCCAGCAAUUAACAAAACGCCUGCUAAACCAAAAUAUGCAUUUAAGCCAUGUUUCGUUUCCUCCGGUAAAGUUUAACUCCUGUCAUAUCGAGUGUUUGGACACAUGCAUUAAAUAUUAAAUAUAAAUUAUUUACAAAACUAAAAUAAAACUAGAGAGUAAUUUGCGAAAUAAAUCUUUUAAAUCUAGUUAGUCUAUAAUUAGAUACUAAUUGUCAAAUAAAACAGAAAUAUGCUAUAUGCUACAGUACAUCCUUAACCGGCAAGUACAGGCCGGGUGAGGCAUGUCGGAUGCUAGAGAUGGCCAAAUGGGCUAAGCCCAAUAAUACGCAGCCUAAGCACAUAUGGGCCUACUAAAGCAUCGCAUUACAUUAUGGGUCGAGCCACUAUGUGUCUCGUGCCCUUUUUUACCAUUCAAAAUGGGUGCUCUCAGGAUGGAUCAUAAUUAUGCCCCUUUUUAAUUCGAGAGCAAUGUUGAUCAAAUUUCGUCGUAGUUGCAGCACAGCCAAAAAAAAAAACUAACAAAAAGAGCCUGUCAGACAACCCAUGGGCCAUCCCAGCCAGGCAAGCCUGGCCGGAAACGAUCAUCUACAGCACCGGACAAAGCGUCAGAGCCAAUCCUGGCCGUUAAUCACGCUCUGGCCCACAGGUCAUGGCUCAUCAACCAGGCUUAAGUGCUUGCCUCCUUAUUAAUCAAGGAUGCAGCGGUACGAUCCUAUAGAACAGAUCCUGUUCAAGUAAGGUCGUGCUACACCGCGCGAGGCGCAGCCUUAUAAGCUAGCUGAACGCAGUCUGCGCUUCCGAGGUGGUACUACUACUACUACGUUUCGCUAAGCUGUUCAGCUCGCCGCGCUAGCUAGCUAGGAUCUAGCUUGGGCCGUGGCCCAUGGGCCUUUCUCCUGUAAAAAAGGCCUAGGCCUUUGAGGAGGGCGGUCCAGUUGUUAGAGGGAGCUUGGGUGGCGUUCUUCAGAGCGGCUCGUGGCAAGUCCAGGCCAUUGUAAUCCAUGUCACUUGUUUCUUGAUUAAAAAAAAAGGCCUUUGUGUAGUGCAGUCCAUGUAUGGCUCAUCGCAUCUGGUCGAGUAAACAAACGGCUUUGUAUUGCAGUUGAUAUUCUGCGCCUUUUUUAGAUUCAUUCAUUCACAAGUAAACACAUAUCGAGCCACAUUAGAUUUAGCAUGUUUUUACCGUUGUCAUUUAUAUAGUGUUCUGACACGAUGGCAAACACAAAUGUGCCAGCAGCGAGGCAGUAAAGUUCGGAGACAGGUACUCUGCAACUUUAUGUUGUUGGGCUGCGUUUCGCUGUAACUUUGCAUAGGAAAAAGUUUACUUUUUCUCCUCUAAUUUUCAAGAUAAUCCACUUUUCCUCUCGUAGCUCUAAAACUGGACAAAUUAUCUUCCUUAAUUUUUUUAAACCGUGUAUUUUACUUCCCUGAAGUGAUUUUGAAGACAAUUUUGCUACAAUAAAGAUAUGAUGCUGAAAAUCCUAUCUCUACCGCAAGAAGCAAAGAUGAAAAUAGUUGGUCUUCUUUUUUCACGGUGGGAGGCAUGCAAUAAGGCAAAGGUUGGUGAACAGUUGUGGUCGACAACAGAGAUUGUUCACAGAGCCAUGUCAACAAGCCUUUUUUUGCUCUAUGCAGUGGUGAGAGAAAGGUGUAAAACCGGAGAUGGAGAAGGUACACUGGUGUCCGCCAAACUCAGAAUAUGUGAAAAUUAAAUUUGAUGGUUCUUUUAUCGAGGACAAAAAGAGUGGAGCCUGGGGAUUUACUAUGAGGAAUCAUGAAGGAUCUAUGAUCUUGGCAGGUGCAUGAAACUUAGAUAAUGUUUAUGAUGCUCUAUGUGCAGAAGCGCAUGCAUGCUUGAUAGCUAUCACCGUGGCAGUAGAUCAAGGAAUGAUGCAAAUUCAGUUUAAAUCGGAUUCUAUGGUUUUGGUAAAAGCUCAUAGAUCUCCUGAUUAUGAUCUUUCAGCUGGAGAUACUAUGUUUAGAGAAGCUAAAUUUCUUCUAGACACUCAUCAUUUCUUUUGAUAUAAGUUAUGUUCCACGUUCUUAUAAUGUCUGUGCACAUGAGUUAACUCGCUAUGUUUGUCAUUGGACCCGGAUCAAUCUUAUGUCUUGGUUGAUUCUCUCCCAGAGUUUGUAAUCUCUGUAGCGGUUCGUAACCUUCACGAUCCACCAGAGACAUAAUAAAGCUGCAAGUCUUUAUCUUAAAAAAAUGUAAAACGCUCUAAGCACUCUGGCGCAAGUCCACACUAAAACUCAAAAAUACAUGUAUUUUUCUGUAUUUAUUUCAUACAUAAAUUAACGACGCUGUUCUUUCUUUUAGUAGUUGUGGAAGACGUACCCAUCUACCAAUCUCAGAAUAUGGCGUAUAAAGGGGAGUGAAUGCAUAUUUUUAUGCACUUGUUUUAAGAAAAAAAAGUGAAAACAUGUUUUUUAAGUAUAGUAUACACCUCCAACAACUCAUUUGUCAGUAGAAUUUCAUAAUCCAACCUAAUCUCAGUUCAGAACUCUAAAAUCUACUGUUGGCAGCUUUAGAAUUUAGAAACCGCAAAUCCGCAAUCCCCACUUAAAUAAAGCAGAAUCAGAUUGCUUUCUGCAAAAAUUCCACACCCGCAUCCUCAAGCUUUUCACUGAAGUAUACAAAGGACAAAAUUUAGAAUCUUUUUCCUCAACGAGCGAGGCUGUCAAACAGUAGCCUAGAACGUGUUCAAAAAUCACAUUGCUCCGAGAACCUUGUGAAAGCAAAGCCUGAAGUAACAGUUCAUGCCCAAAGUCACACAAAUGCAGCACUGUCCUCUUCAUGGUGUAUGCAGUUCCUCAAACCCAAUGUCCUUUGAUGAUUGACGUAUAGGCCACCUGAAAUGCAAUGAGGAGAUUAGUAGUGUCACUACCAAUUUGCAUGGCGAAGGCAAAAACAACUCAUACAAAUUAGAUCAUACAAUGGAUUUUGGGCACAAAAUGUUAUUUUACAUCUUAAGUGGACUGAAAAUCGGGGGACAACUGUGAUACAUCAAACAUUGUAAACAACACAUUAGAAAAUACUCCCUUCUUUUACUCCCACUUGUAGGAUGAAUAGUGAAUGCUAGAAGUGCAUGCAAAGUGCAUAAAUAAUAUACACAGUCAUUUCCCUAAACUAUCAAUGCUAGCUUCCAAAAGAGUAAAAUCUAUUGAACACAAACCUAUCUUUAAUGCUGCCAAAGAAAUUUAAUAAUACUAUUAAUAAUAUAUACAUAUAUCUUCAACAAGCAUCAGAGAUCCUGGUCAUCUGGUGUUAGUGCUGCAAACCUUUUUCAAUUCAAAAAUAUUAUAAAAGAAAACAAAUUCUACAACACACAUGCACACACAGAAUUCCCUGUAUUUUAACCAACCCCAUCCCAGCACUGAGGCAUAAAUCAUCAUCCUCUGAUCUUGCUGUCCACAUUUAUACCCUCCUUCAUGUAUAUGGUCUAUAAAACAGCACGUCAUGUUUAAUUUAUAAUAUUGUUUGAGGGAAGAAACAUUUUAUCAUACCAAAAAUCAUCUAGCAUGUCUAUCAACCUUGAAUAGGACUCACAGAAUUGCCGAUCUAUGAGAGAGGCUUAGGUAUAACUUCAUUUUGCUUUGUACAAAGCAAAAGUAAAAUUCCAUGUAAACUAAUUUGGCAAGAAUAAAACAACAAUGCCACCAUAGCACCUGAGGAAUGAGCCAAAUUUCUCACUCCUGCUGCCCAAAAAUAUGCUCUUCAUCAUCUAAGCCCCAGUAAUGACGUGGAUAGCCCAUGAUGAAUUGAUUAUUAUGUUCAAAGGGGAAAAAACUACGUUUACCCUAUAUCAUGCAGCCGGUCUAUCAAGAAUGAACCUAGCUCGCAGAGCUGCCAUUACAUGACAAAACUCAGGAAAUAAUUUCAGUUUGGUUUGUACAAAGCCAAAGAAAAAUAUAGGUGCGAAAUUUUGGUCCAGGGGAAACCCACAGCAGCGCCUUCAUGUCACAUGGGCACCAAAGGCAACUGAAAAUCAAAUCACUGCACGUCUAAUGAUCAUGAAUCUCUAAUUUUGCAGAACUUCUAUUCAAAGGCACAUGACUAACUUCACUUCGGUUUUAUAUGAAGCUAAAUAAAACAAAUCUUGCUAACAAAUUUGGCUCCAAAAAAAUGACAGCAGCAUUUCAGUUUAGUAUUUAGAAACAAUUUCAAACACUGGCCAGUCAGAAAACUAAAAAUACAAGGAAAGCACAGUACAAAAUCCACCCAAAUACAGUAGAAAGAACACACAAACAUCUACUGUUAAGUGUUAAGAACCAAAGGAAACAACUCAAUACACUACCACCCUUUUUAGUCCACUAUAUGUAUCUACUUAUCUAGCUAGAUGGAAUUUCAGAACUAGAACACUGCCCUUCAUUAGAUACUAAUAAAGUAACGAUAAAGAUGCCCAUACAAAAAUGUGAAGAAGUUGCAAGAAUGAAUUAUGAGGAUGGCAAACCUUAGAAGAUAUUCUUUACAGAACUAGUUACCAGAACAAGUCUUAGCUCUUUCUCUUUCCCUCUGUCAGGCCACCAAGGAGCUCCCACUGGUGUUUUCCAGCACAGCUAGAAGCAUAAGCAGCAGCAAGACCUGGGACACUCAUCUCGUGCGGGUGCACAAGUUUAGCCAGGAGAUUAUCAUUGCCCAUCACUGCAAUAGUAUAGAAGCUGAAACUAGAAGUCACCAAUCCCUUGUCCUCGAGAAAUUUCAUCAAGUAAUAGCGCGGCAACAACCGACGCUCCACACUAUACAAUAGCAACACUGGCCGAUACACAAUGUCUGGCAUCUGCAACCCAACAUCACCCAUUAGAAAAUCCAAGCUUUUGCGAACCCUUUCCGGAGCUAAGUUCAGGAUAUUCGGCGCCUUCCUCACUGCUGACGCUAUAUCAUCCCUCGACCAGCCAAGCUUCUCAAACAGCUGUAUAUUACUCUCGAGCUUCUCACGGUUGAAGAUCGCAAACCUCAUGAACGCGAAGGGGAAAGCCCACGUGCCCUGCUGGAUUCCAAACUCGGCAACGCGUGCCAGAGUUUCCUGGAGGUGCUCAUUGCUCCUGACAAGUAUCCGGGACAAGAAAGUGCUGGGGAUAUCGGAAAUCUGCAUCCCGCAUCGCUGAAGAAGGGCCAGGUUGGGCUUGGCGACCUUGUCGAGGUUGGUGCUGAGGAGGCUGCCGUUCAUCUUGACGAACCGCAGGAGCUCGUCGAAGGAGCCGAAGACCCCAAGCCAGAAUUCAAAAUUGCGGAGGAGCGAGCGGCUGCGGAUCCGGGCCUGAGCGGCGAGUACUACCUGGCCGACCUGGUGGCUCGACAGGCCGAGGCUGCGGAGCUCGGCGACGCGGGGGGCCAAGGUCUUCCCCACGUCGACGCAGAGGAGUCUGGGAUCUUUGGCGACGACGGUGGCGAGGUCGGUGCCGGAGAUGUCGAGGCCGGCCAGGAAGGCGAGCACGGCGUCGGGCUUCGAGGGAGAGCUGAGUCCGGGGAUACUUUUGGAUGCCUUGAGGGCCUGCUCUCCGGAGAGGCCGCAUCUGGCGACGAGGUAGUCGGCGACCGUGAAGGGGCUGCUCGCGGCGGCGGCGGAACCGCAGAGGAGGCGAUGGAGGGGGGCGAUGCAGGAGGUUGAGCGGCGGGACGAGGAGAGUAGGUGUGGAAGAAUGCAAUUUCGGAGGCGGAGCAUAGCGUCGGGAGCGGCCGGCGGCCGGCGACCGACGGCGGGAGGGAUUGCGGUGAGUGAGACUGCGCCUUCAGCCUUGGGCCCUUGGCAUUUGGCAACUCCACAACCGAAGGCCGAAGCAUCCAAUUUGGGCCGUAGCCCCUCAUCCAGAUUUCAGCACUUUUCAUCACACUCCAGGCCGAUUCACACACAUUUUUCUAACCUAAUUCUCAUUUCAGCCUCCUAUAUUCCAUCCACUCAAAAAAAAAGCUGUAUUUUAUACAUAAUGUAUUACCAAGUUUAAUGGUAUUUUAAUUUAAACAGCAUUAUUUUAGAUUUGCAUUUUAAAUUGCUUAAGUUUUUAACUGAUAAAUAUUUAACAAAUUAUUUUCACAUCAAAUAAUUCGCAACUGUUAUAUUUUGAACAGGGAUCUUCCAAUGGCUAUAAAUCAAACAGCCAUCCUUCCCACGGCUAUAUUGCAAAUUUUGUCUAAUGUAUUACCAAGUUUAAUGGUAUUUUAAUUUAAACAGCAUUAUUUUAGAUUUGCAUUUUAAAUUGCUUAAGUUUUUAACUGGUAAAUAUUUAACAAAUUAUUUUCACAUCAAAUAAUUCGCAAUUGUUAUAUUUUGAACAGGGAUCUUCCAACGGCUAUAAAUCAAACAGCCAUCCUUCCCACGGCUAUAUUGCAAAUUUUGUCUCCAAGAUGCUAUAUGUUUCAUCUGCAUAUAUGCAGGGGCGAACUUACAAGCAAAUGAAUCCCGGUGCACUAUUUAAGUAACUCACACAACUUUAUUGAAACAUAUGGUGAGAAAUAAAUACCCUGGUGCCUGUGCACCAGGUUACUUCAACAUGGCUUCACCCCUGUAUAUAUGUGUGGUCUUCACUUGAUUCAUGCAUUACUUUUUUUCCACUGUGUUGUUCUUACUCCAUUAGAAAUAAGUUAUCUAACUUGAUUGGAUUCCUCUUCCUCGUAUGAUGAUAACAACGAUUUUAUGGAGUCUGAUCCUUAAUGUAUUACACUAAAAACACACUCAAUAUUAACCUCUUCAUGCUUCACAAAGGGUGAAUCUAUACCUAGGCGUUAUUACAUUCACUGGAACAGAGAAAGUGGUAAAUGGAGGGUUUUUCUGAAAAUCCAACCUACAUCCAUAUUUUCUUUUUUUUUUUUCUAUUUGUCCCUCAAGUUUAGCAUGACUCGUUCUCUAAUUCUACACAUAUGGUUCAUAAUCAUACAUACUCCCUCCGUCCACAAAUAAAUGCAUAUCUCAUAUCCCGAGGAGUCAAACCUUUUUAAGUUCGACCAAGUAUAUAAAAAAAUAUACUAAUAUUUAUCAUAUGUAACAUGUAUCAUUAGAUUGACCAUGAAAUAUACUUUUAUAAUAUACUUAUUUGUAGAUACAAAUAAUAAUACUACUCCCUCUAUCCCAAAUUGUAAGUCAUUCCAAGAAUCUUGGAGAGUCAAAGCAUUUUCACAUUUGACUAAAAUUAUAGAGAAAAAUACUAAGAUUUGUAACGUAAAGUAAGUAUACUAUGAAAAUAUAAUUAAGAAAGAAUCUAAUGAUACUUAGUUAGUACUAUAAUAAUAAUUAUUUUAUAAUAUAAAUUUGGUCAAACUUAAAAAAGUUUGACUCUCCAAGAUUCUUGGAAUGACUUACAAUUUGGGAUGGAGGGAGUAUUUGAUAUAUUUCUAGUCGAUUUUAAAAAAGUUUGACUCCUCGAAAAGCGAGAUGUGCAUUUAUUUAUGGACGGAGAGAGUAUGAGUUUCUUGGAUUCAUAUGUCUGUAUCACAAAUAGACAAUUCACACCCAACAUUUUGAGUUUCACUAGAUUUUGUUGUUACGUUUGGGUCCUCAGUGUUUUGUUUUUGGUUUAGACUCAAGCAGGGCGGAUCUAAAGGGGGGCUGGGGGGCUCUAGCCCCCCCCCCCCCCGGCCCGCCAACAAUAGUUAGUGCAUCAAUGGAAAUAUGGGGAGGGUGAGGAAGAAGAAGGGGUGGAGGAAAGAAGAAAAAUGGAGAGAAGAAGAGAUCAACCCCUUUAAUCUUAUUUUGCAUCCGCCACUGGACUCAAGAAUAUAAUAUUCAUAAUCAUGUACUAUGAUGAAUGCAUGCUUAAAAUAUAAUCACUUAAAAAAGUGAUUGUCCAUUAUAGUUAAGGACUUUAAGGUAUAUGGCGCAUGUGUCACCUCUGCCAUGACAAUGAGCUUGUUCACUUAGCUAAAAAGUCAUAGUUGAAAGUAUUAUUCGCUGAUUUGUUAUGAGAGAAAAAUACUAUUGAAUGAGUAGUAGAUUCAGCAAAGAUAAGCUCGAAGACAGCAGAGGAUUUACACCAUUUAUGGUCAUUCCACGUAACACAUGCCAUCGUCAUGCGCUAUUGCGCUGGGAUAUUUUUCGCAACAACAUUCCUCGUCCAAGCACUGCAUACACACGCAUCAAACUAGGCAACCCAUCGUGGAUUCAUGUUACUACUCCAGAAAGAAUCAAUGGUCGAUCGAUAGAGCGAUGGAGUAAUUAACGAUGAUUGAUCGAAAAUUGAAUAUGGUACAGGCCAUCGAUAUAGAUUGAUUCAUCCACACUGAUGUUACAUGCGAUCUGUGCUUAGUUUACAUCGAUCUCGUGCAACUACUACACGCCUACGAUUGAAAACAACAAGUAGAGUACAAGAGACCUCGCUCGACAUGCACGCAUGGAUGCUCUGCUCAGCUUCAGCUCGCUCGCUCGAUCAGCUUUAGUUGCCGGGGACGAAGUUGGUGGCGUAAGCCCAGGCGUUGUUGGCGACGGGGUCAGCGACAUGGUCGAAGAGGUUCUCGAUGGGUCCCUUGCCGGUGACGAUGGCCUGGACGAAGAACCCAAACAUGGAGAACAUGGCGAGGCGGCCGUUCUUGAGCUCCUUCACCUUGAGCUCCGCGGCGGUGUCGGGGUCAUCGGCGAGCCCGAGCGGGUCGAACGCGCCGCCGGGGUAGACCUUGUCGAGCCCUUCCCCGAGCGGGCCGCCGCCGACGCGGUAGCCCUCGACGAAGCCCAUGAGCACGACCUGGCACGCCCAGAUGGCCAGGAUGCUCUGCGCGUGCACCAGGUUCGGGUUGCCCAGGUAGUCCAGCCCGCCCUCCGAGAAGAUCUGCGCGCCGGCCUUGAACCACACCGCCUCGCCGAACUUGACGCCGUUCUUGGCCAGGAUCUCCGGGAACACGCACCCCAGCGCGCCCAGCAUCGCCCACCGCGAGUGGAUCACCUCCAGCUCGCGGUUCCGCGCGAACGUCUCCGGGUCCGCCGACAGCCCCGCCGUGUCCCACCCGUAGUCGCCGGGGAACUCGCCGGUCAGGUACGACGGCGUCUGCUCCGAGAACGGGCCAAGGUACUUGGGGCGGUCAGGGCCGUACCUGCAGCAGCCAGAGCUAGUGUCAGUUCUCAGCGACAGCAAGCGAGCUGUAAACAUGGAUGGAUGGAUGAAUGUGCGGAGCAGAGAGCACGUACCAGAUGCUCUGGGGAGCGCUCUUGACGGUGCGGCGCAUGGUGAUGCGGCCGCCGGCAUCGGCGGCGGCGGCGGCGGGGCGGGAGACCAGGGCCUGCCCGAGGAAGCUGGUGGUCUGGUGAAGCGCCGACGCGGCCAUCGUCGUUCUGUGUGUGAGCACGGCGCGGCACAGUGGUCAGUGAGAAAUGUUCGGUGGCGGUGGUGGUGGUGGGAAUGGCCGGUGUGGGGAGGAGAUCUUUAUACGACGACGGGUCGACGGCUCAACGGUGCGCGGCGCGACUGGUGGAUGCGCGGCGCGCCACGUCCGCGCCGAGGCCAUUGGCUGCCGCCGCGCCUCUCUGGAUAUCGCGCGCCGGGGCGACCAAUGGGCGGCUGCCAGGUGGAGGCAAAGAUCGCCCCGCCCAAAUCCAACGCUAUCUGGAGUCUGGACCAAACAGCUCAGCAAUCACGGUCGUCGCCGUUGUAUCUCUUGUUACUCCUAAACUAGAUUCCUGUCAAAAUGCAGUGACGAUGAGCAGCGCCGGCCCUGAGGUUUUGGUACAUGCAUGUAGUUGUUGUAAAUAUAUAUAAAUAUACUUCCUUCGUGUAGAAUUUAGAAGUCGUUUAGGAUAGUGACUUGGUCUCCAAAACACAACUUUAACCUCUUAUUUUUAUAAAAGUAUUUAGAAAAAAUGAUAUAUGUAUACUUUUAUGAAAGUAAUUUUCAACACAAAUCUAUUCAUAUAAUUUUUACAUUUGCAAACUCAACAAUUUAAAAGUUAUCGAUGAUUUAUAUUCCUAAUGUUUGACACGAACCUUGUCCAAAACGACUUCUAAAUCCUAUAGAAUGAGUAUAUAUAUAUUCAUAAAUACUCAACUGUGCAUGCAAAAGCAGUAUUCAUAUGCAACAAUUCAUAAAAUGUACAUUCCUUGUAACAUUCCUCGAUGCAAAUUCAUUGAUGAUGGUAUCAUUAUCGAUCUCAUCCAAAAAUCAUUUCUCAAUGCAUAAUGUUGCCAAACCAUUUAGGCCCCGUUUGGUUACCUAUGGUAAACUUAACUCCUAUUAUGUUGAAUACUUAGACACAUGCAUGAAGUAUUAAUUAUUAAACAUAUACUAUUUUUAAAACUAAAAACAUAGCUAGAGAAAAAGCAGCUUCCUGUUUGUGCAGUUAGAGCAUCUCCAUAAGUUUUUUCUUGUUUGUGCAGCUAGAGCAUCUCCAGAAGUUUGGUAUAAUUUACUUGCUAAACUAACAGAUCUAGCAAGUUGUUAAUAAAAUAAAUGGCAACUUUAAAUUUUGUUCUUCUCCAACAGUAACCUAUAAUAGAUUUCUAAAAUUUAAAAAUUUAUAGUAAGGUCCACAUAUAUUUGUUAUUUUUUGUUUAAUCAUAUCUUUUACUAGAGGGAUAGAGAGUUCUCUCUACUGGUGCAAACUAUGAGUUGAGAAGGAUAUUUGACAAGUUUUUAUUUUUAACUACCUCUUUUACUAAACUAUUGGAAAAGACUUUUUUUUUACUAAAAAAUCAAGAUAGAAAGUUGUUUUACCACAUUCAUGGAGAUGCUCUUAGCCAUGGCAAAAGAAUGUGGAGGGAAGGCCACGAGUGGAGGACAUGGCGAAGUUUCGCCGGUGUACAUAUGCAGGCUAUAGCCACCUGUGCGCUCUCGAUUGCCGUAGAUGCAGGGCACAGACACAUAUGUGCUCUUGACCGGAGGGGAAGCCACCGGCGGAGCACAAGGACAUGCCCAGGCCGCGGCUUCUUCAUCACCGCCGGUAGAGGAGGAGGCCACGACGCCGCCGUGGGGGUCGUCGACCACGAUUCGUUCGAUUUGCAGUCGGUGUUCCAGCGAUACACAUCGCGGGCUGUCACGUGUAGCCCGCAUGCAAACUCACUGGCGGCUGCUGCGGACGCGGGACGCCGGGAUGGGCUGAUCGCCGCCCCGCCGUUUGCCACAGAUUCGCUCCUCAUCGCCGCCGGCCUUUGCCCUGUCAUUGAGCCCGUAGCCAUGCAUGUGCGCUCGUGGCCGCGCUCGGAACAACGUCCACGCCGCUCGGUACGGUACUGCGUUCGCUGCGCCGCCGCCGAGACGAGCCUGCGAAGCUUCGAGCGAGAGCGAGCGAUAUAGGGCGUGUUUGGUUGCCCGCAUAUGGGCGAACCAGGCUCCCUGGAUGCAGCGUUUCGGUGUUUGGUUCCCUUCUCUUCUCUCUAGCCUGGCUUUUCCCGUGCAAAGGACCCCCGGAGCUAGGCUCCGAAGCUACGCUCGAAUCGGCCGUUUUUCUUCAGCCUGGCUCGCUCCGUGCUCUCGCGUGCUCGCGCGGUCGGCGAUUCCGUGCGCGGGGAGAUGGCGCGAAGUUUCUAGGGUUACCUCCCUCUUUCCCGCCAUUCACUGCCUAUAUAUCUCUCCUUUCCCGCUUCCUCCCUGUCUUCUCGUCGCUCCGCGUCUGCGCCGCCGGUUCCUAGGGUUCGUGGUCUUCUCCCUCUCCCCCUUUGUUCUUGGUUUGAUUCGUUUCAUGCUAUUGAUUUUUUUUUCUCACUGGAUUUGUUGCAGGGCAAGUGGAUCUGACGAUUUUCGUAGCCGGUGAGUUCUCCCUCAUUUUCUCCUCUUUUUGUUACCGAUUUGUAAACCCUAACUUGUGUAAAUGUUUGUUGUGGAUCUGUGCGUGCAGAUCCGACGUCCCCUGAACUGCUGCUGUGCUUUGCUGGGUCUUGUGCGUUGACGUGGGUAAUUUGUUCAUCUCCUCCCCCUACCCCCCUCUAAUCUGCACCGUGUGAUAUAGAGUUUUGCCUUCUUUGAUUUGGAUGCAUGUCGUACUUUUAAUAUUAAGAGCAAUUAUAUGAAGAUCCUUUUUUUGCUAAGCUAUUGCUCAAGUCGAUGAUUACAUUGUUAUGUUUGAGCAUAUGUUGAAGUCUAUGAUGAUUGUUCAUUAUGUCUGAGCAUUUGUCCAAGUCUAUGAUGAUUUUCAGUUAGUCUGAGCUUAUGUCCUAGUCUAAGCAUUUAUUCCAUGUUUUAUCUUCUAGAUGGAUUUGCAAGAGAAGAGGCGCAUGCUUUUUGCUCGUGCUGCAGCUCUUGUUGCUGCUAUGUAUGCCCUACUUUUUGCUAGGAUUAGAAUGAUUCAGUCCUCAAGGCCUCAGAUCAGUUAUGGUCCUUUGAGUAAGUGGGAUGAGGAAAGGCAAAAGAACCUAGACUUAAUUUACAACUACAAUGAUGUUGAGUGUGUGAACAUGCUUCGCAUGAGAAGGGCACCCUUCUUUAGCUUGUGUAACUUGCUUAGGGAGAGAAAAUUGCUAGCAGACAGCAUUAAUUGUUGUGUAGAAGAGCAAGUUGCUAUGUUUCUUCAUAUUGUGGGGCACAACCAACAUUUUAGAGUGAUUAGGCAAAACUGGAGAAGGUCUAUAGAGACUGUCCAUCGCCAUUUCAAAGAGGUGUUGUAUGCAAUUGGAGAACUUAGGCAAGAUAUGAUUAGACCUCCAUCCAAUGAGACACCCCUUAAGGUUAGCAACAGCCUAAGGUGGUAUCCAUAUUUGAAGGUAAAUAAUUUGUCAUUUAGAAUUUAGGUUGUUGCUACAUGGGUUCAUGUCAAUUCACUAUACACUUUUGCAUGCCAUGUAGGACUGUGUUGGGGCAAUAGAUGGUACACAUAUCUAUGCUAAAGUGCCAGCCAAGAUCCAAGCUGCAUUUAGGGGUAGGAAGAACCACCCAACACAAAAUGUCCUUGCUGCAGUCGACUUUGACUUGAAAUUCACCUAUGUUUUGGCUGGCUGGGAGGGAUCAGCACAUGAUGCAACCAUUCUAGCUGAUGCACUAGAGAGACAUGAUGGGUUAAGGGUUGCACCAGGUAACUAAGGCCCUUAUUAAAAUUUUUAAAACAUAUAGUUACAUACACAUGAACCUAAUGCCUGCCCAUUCUUCUUUUAGGCAAGUUCUACUUAGUUGAUGCUGGGUAUGCAUGUCGCCCAGGGUUUCUGCCUCCUUAUCGAGGGACUAGGUAUCAUCUCAAAGAAUUUGGUCCUAGGAACAACCCAACAAACUAUAAGGAAUUAUUUAAUUUGAGACACUCUAGCCUGAGAGUUACCGUUGAACGUGCCUGUGCUUUGAAGAAUCGUUUUCGCAUGAUUGACAACAAACCCUUCCAUCCCUAUAAGACACAAGUGAAGUUAGUACUUGCAUGUUGUAUAUUACAUAAUUGGAUCCUUGCUCAUGGGGUUGAUGAAGUAGUUCCUGCUGAGUUCUCCUGGGUGCCAAAUAAUAACCCCCCUUUACCCCAUGUCCAUAUGGAUGACAAUGCUGCUUGGGCUCUUAAAAGGGAUGAAUGGGCAACCCACAUGUGGGCUAAUAAGGGUUCCUCUCGCAUCUAGACCUGUAUUGUAAGUUUUGCUCAUUUAUAUUUUAAGGACAUAAGCUGUGAUGACUAUUUAUUUCUUGAGAUAAUGCACUUGAUCUGAGACUAUGGACAAAUGCUGUGAUGACUCUUUAUUUCUUGAGAUACUGCACUGCAUCUGAGGCUUUGUACAUAUGCAAUGAUGAUUACUUCAUUUUUUGUUAUUACUUCUUAUGAACUGAGGCAAGUAGGCAUGUGCUAUGAUGAUUUCUGUUAUUACUUCUUAUGAACUGAGGCAAGUAGGCAUGUGCCAUGAUGAUUUCUGUUUCUAAGUGCCAUCUGGCUCUGCAAAUAGGCCAUGGCUGAGGGGGGCAUGCCUGCUGACCACCUUGUGUUUCCUGGAGUUGAGGAUGUUGCUGGGGAUAUUGGUCAUGGGGAGAUUGGGGCUGGGGAUGUUGGUCAUGGGGAGAUUGGUGCUGGUUUCACAACUGCAUCACAGGUUCUAGCUCAGCAGAGGACAAAUCUGAGGUGGACUGACCCUAUGUCUGGGUUUGUGCUGCGCCACAUGUGCCAGCUCAUAACCACUGGAGUUAGGACUGAUAAGGGUUUCAAGGAAGUUCACCUUAAUCAGGUAGCCAAAGCGCUGCAUGAGUUCAGUGGGCAAGAGGUCACUGGUACCCAGGUGUACAACCACCUAAGAAAGUGGAGGCAGAGGUGGGUGAGAGUGACCAAACUGAGAGAGCUAAGUGGUGCUUUGUGGGAUGAGGAUGCAUGCAUGAUUGUGCUAGAGGAGGAGCACUACAAUGGCCAUACCCAAGUAAGCAAUCUUAGCACAGAGUGUCCACUUCUGACUUCAAACUUAUUUCAAUGCUAAGUGCCACUUCUCAUUGUUUGUGUAGGCACAUCCCAAAGAUGCUGAGCUCCUGAACAAACCCAUCCAACACUACAAGCAGAUGAUGAUCAUCUUUGGAAAUGGUCAGGCAACUGGUAAGUAUGCCAUGGGAUCAAAUGAACCACUGGGUACUCCAUCUGACUUUGCUGAGAGCUCCCUCAAGCCUGACCCAACAGAGCUUCUUAGUGGGAAAACUGACACAGUUGAUGCUACAAAAACUGAGGUGGUUGUUGGGAACAAGAGGAAGAGAUCUGUGCUUGCUGAUGAGGAUGUGGUGUUGUUCACUGGAAUGGCAGAUGCUGUGAGAGAUGUUGCAGAUGCUAUUAAGUCUACUAAGGUGGAGGAUUCUCAUCCAGAGUUGUAUGCAGCUGUGAUGUAUGUGCCAGGCUUCACUGACGAAGCCCUGAUGUGUGCUUAUGGUCACCUGUUGGACAACAAGGCCCUGGGCACAGCUUUUGUCAAGAUGGUUGACUCCCACCGUGUCUUGUGGCUGAGGACUUUCUUGGCCAAGCACUACUAUGUGUGAGGUGCUUUGAAGCUGGUGGUUGAUCCUUUUGUGCAGUGCAUGCCCCUCUUUAGGUGACUGCUUGAUGGUGUGCAGUGGUGGUUUCUUUUGUGCAUAGCUUACUGCAGUUGGUGGUUGUGUAGUGGGCUGACCUACUCUUUUGUGCAGUUGAUCUGAUCCUGCAUUCUUCCUACUAACACUAACUUAUAGUUAGUGUCUUGCAUAUUCUAGUGUAACCCUGCCCUUCCAUCCUAGAUCAACCAAGUUGUUGGAUGUACUUGAUGAGAACCAAGAUGGUUCUGAACAUGAUCUGAGCAUGUGCCUAUGCAUCAGAUUUUAAACUAUUAUUAUGCUCAUGCAUUAAUCUGAGCAGGAUGCAUGCAUGUUUUAUUAUUUGGUCUGAGCACAUGCCUAAUCUUGCCAGUGAUGUUUUCUUGUUUGUUUGCCAAUGAUGAGUAUGACUAAGUUAUAUUAUGUCAUGCCUGUCAUCAAAGUAUGUGAUAGUGAGUUGGCCUACACAAUGUUGUUUCUGACUUUGUUGUGUGGCCAGCUCACUUCACAUACUUCCAUGGCAUGUAUGAGUUUCAUUACAUACUCUGAGGUUUUGUUGUGGCCUAUGAUGACAAAAAAAAGUAUGAGGUGGCUAUACUGUUUUUCUUGUGUCAUUCAUCACAUCUGAAGGAACCAUAAACUUUACUUAGCAACAAUUGGGUUCAUGACUCAAGGUGAUGGCUAGAAGUUUAUGGUACUCCAGAUGCCAUGGGUGCCACAAUUCUUUGGAUUUUCUAUUAGAGCUACCUAUGAUUACUACCUUAUCUGUGCACAUGACAAUCUGAGGUGGCUUUACAUGUUUAGUUGCUGUUGUAUUGUAUGGCUACCUUUCAUUCAUGGGUAUCAUCAGGACAUGAGAUACAUCCAUCCCCAAUGCAACAGGUUUGGACUUACCACCUGAUGGCUGAGGAUGGAGUGUCUCAUGGCCCCAUGGUACACAUGAAACAGUUAUUUGGGAUCAUGAAAGUGGCCACCAGGGAUGAUUGUCUUAAACAAAAUUUGUGCAGAAAAAAUUAAUAUCUGAGGCCCCUAUUAUUUGACACUGAUGUUAAUUUUAUGAUAAUAUUUAUAACUCACCAGAUUCUGCCUAUUUUUCUUGCUACUCUUUUCUUGAACAGCUAUGGCUUGGUAUGUGGUUCACGUUGGCAAGAAACCGGGUGUGUAUUCUACCUGGGAAGAAGCACAUGAGCAGGUGAAUGGCUUCAAGGGUAACUGCUAUAAGAAAUACAACAGCAGGAACCAAGCUGUGCAAGCCUUCUAUGGACAUUCCCUUGACAAUCCUCCUCUUCUACAACCUGUCAAUCCACCUCAUGUCUACAAUGAUGGAAACGAUGGGAGCCUCGCCUUGUGGCUUGCAGUUUUUAAAAUUGUAAUACUGCUAGUUGUAGUUUUGCUAAUAGGCUUUCUAAUUUGGAAGCUGCUGUAACAGCUUCUGUGUGUGGGUAGUGGUAACCUUACCAAAGGUGCAAACUGGUGACAACACCACCUUGUAUGCAAGCAACCAAACACCACCUUGUAUGUCCAGGAUUUGAAUUCCAUGCGGGCGCAGGUAACCAAACAGCGGCUAAUGCUGGCCACGCUGAGCUGAUGCAGGUAACCAAACAAGUGCCUGUUGCAUGUGUUCAUCCUGGCCAAUCCUAGCCUGGCUGGCUAGUGCUACCCAGGAUCAGCUGAGAAGUGAACCAAACACGCCCAUAGUUGACUAGUUGUCGUAUUCAGCCCAAAACACCUGUAGUAAUUUUAGCAGGCUGAUUGGUCAUAUCCAACCAGCAAGUUUUGUUGUGGGCUAGAAAGAAUAUUACGGGCUGUAGUUUACAAGUGUUUUCGAGUGAUUAUACACAGGGCUUCCAAACAGGGCCGAAUCUUCAUCGCAGACACAUAUACAUAUAUAAGAAAACAAGCAAUCUAAAAGGAAUCCUCAAUCAUCAAAUUUAUACUAAUUAGACAGCAAUGAAACAUAACACUUGUUAUUACUUAUUGUGACUGUUAGAAAUUUAUAGACAUUUUACUCUUUGACUUAAUCCAGAAAAUUAUAAUUAACAAAAUGGUGGCAUAUAUGUGCACGUGUGCAAAUCUACCGCUACACGGACUAGUGAUAAACAUUGCUGCAUACAUAAUGAAAAUAAUACAUAAUCGUUUAAGAUUAUACCUAGAGGAGAGACCAGUGCCGAAAGCACCGACAGCUCCAUUCACACUAGUCGACAUAGUGCGUUGCUUGAAGUAGCGGACCACAGUCGAUGCAGGAAGAUGUUCGCAAUGCAGUCCCACGAAUGUCCACCAGAAUCGGAAGUAGUCGAUCCGAGGAAGAAGAUGAUCCCGCGAACGUCCACCAGGAAGUAGUCGAUUCGAGAAAGAAGAUCCCGCGGACGUCCACCAGGAAGAAGACAAUUCCGCAAACGUCCAUUAGGAAGUAGACGAUCCUACGAAUCCGAGCAGGAAGUAGUCGAUCUCGCAAAUCUGAGGAAGUGAGCAGUCGCAGAAGACGCUUCCAAAAACCUGAUUGCCCGUAUACCCGAGCAGGUGUCUCGAUGCGAGGCACCGGGUUUCGGAGGCCUGCUCUCCCGAUCUCUGUGCGCACAGAGGUUCGGGACGGAGAUGGAAGAGAACAACUCGACAAGGACAGGGAGAAUGAUUCUGGUCGCGCAGGGAGACACUACCGACGCUGAGGCUGAGUGGAAGCUUCCAUGUUGUGGCCUUGGAAUGAUUCCAUGGUUGUGGUUCUGCUUCCAUAGCUUCCAUGUUGUGAGUUCUGUUUCCAUGGUUGACUUCGUUAAGAUAAUAUGCUUGCAAGACUUCCAUGGAACAACGCCACCUCUAGGUAGAAACACAUAUCCACUUGUGGCCUCUAAAACAUCAGCAUCAGAAAUUCAAUUGGCAUCACAAUAACCCUCUAACACCUUAGGGUAUCUGGUAUAGUGAAUAUCAUACCUCAUAGUACCUUUCAAAUAGUGCAUCACUCUCUCAAGAGCUUGCUAGUGAAUAUCUCCUGAAUUUGACAUAAAUUGGCUUAGUUUGCUAACUACAAAUGAGAUAUCGGGUCUCAUAGCACUUGCUAGGUACAUCAGUGAACCUAUAAUAUAGGAGAAUUUUAGUUGAUCCCUUGCUAUUCUUCGAUUUUUCCUCAAUAACACACUAGGGUCAUAAGGCAUAAGAGCAUAUUGACAGUCACUAUAACCAAAGCGACUUAAAAUAUUUUCCACAUAGUAGGAUUGUACAAGUGUAACCCCACCAUUGUCUUAUUUUAAAAGCUUAAUAUUCAGAAUAUCAGUUUCUCCCAAAUCUUUCAUUUCAAAGUUAUUAGACAAGAACUCUUUAACUUCCUUGAUCACAUCAAGGCUGGUCCCAAUGAUCAGUAUGUCAUCCACGUUCAAACAUGGGAUCACACCUUCUCCCCCACCAAACCGAUAGUAUACACAUUUAUCAGCUUUGUUAACAACAGAGCCGACAGAAGUUAAAGUUUUGUCAAACUUCGCAUGCCAUUGUUUUGGAGCUUGUUUUAGGCUGUAUAGGGAUUUUAAUAGUUUACACACCUUGCCUUCUUGACCGCUUGUUACAAACCCAUCAGGUUGAUCCAUAUAGAUCUCUUCCUCUAGCUCUCCAUUUAGGAAAGUUGUUUUAACAUCUAUCUGAUGAAUGAGAAGACCAUGAGAGGCAGCCAAGGAAAGUAACACUCUAGUCAAACAAGCAACAUGUGAAUAAGUAUCAAAGAAAUCUUCCCCUUCUCUUUGGGUGUAACCCUUAGCCACAAGCCUAGCCUUGUACCUCUCAAUCGUACCAUCAGGGCUAAGCUUUUUCUUAAACACCCAUUUGGAGCCUAUAGGUUUACGCCCAUAUGGGCGUUCAACAAUUUCCCAAGUCCCAUUAGACAUUAUUGAAUCCAUCUCAUUCCUUAUUGCUUCCUUCCAUAGGUCAGCAUUAGGAGAGAAAAAUACCUCUUUAAUGGUAGUUGGGGUAUCAUCCACGAGGUACACAAUAUAGUCAUCUUCAAAAGACUUUAUUUUUCUUGUCUCUUGCUCUUUCAAGUGACAAUAUUAUCAUCCUCCUCGGGAUAGUGAACAUGAGGUUCUCAGUUUGUUCUAUCAGAAUAAAUUGCUCAGGAAAAUUUAUAUAUUCAUGAUUAGAAAUAUUAGGUGUACUUUUCAUAGAGAAUUCGUUUUCAAAGAAUGUUACAUCUCUAGAUUCCAUUAUAGUACCAACAUGCAUGUCAUGUACCCUAGAAUUUAUAAUUAAAAACCUAUACCCUACGCUGUGAGCAGCAUAACCUAAGAAAGUACAGUCAACAGUCUUAGGUCCAAGUUUGCGCUUCUUGUUUAUUGUCACAUUUAUUUUAGCCAAAAAACCCUAAAUCUGCAAAUACGAGAUAUUUAGUCUCUUCUUUUCCCAUUCCUCAAAUGGUGCAAUUUGAGAUACGUGGCCGUUAGAAACACGAAAUACGGGGUGUAGGAUUCUUCUUGUUAAAGAUUAGGAGAGAAUGAGUAACUUGUGGCAGCUGCUUUGUUGUACAGUGAUAAUAGGGCAUACGAGGUGUAGAGAUGGGCCAGAAAUUAUAGCCCAUAUAAUUGCAGAUGUGCCUUUCAAUGUACAAUGGGCUCAUGAUUGACUGAAAUGGCACCACUAUUCUUUUUUUAUUAUUUUACUAAUGAAUAAUAUGUAACGUUUAAGCACAUUUAAUCAACACAGCACAAUAACUGCAAUACUCCAUGCCUCGUACCGGGGUCAUCGACCCAUAUGCUUUGGGUUCAUGUACCAAAUAUUUGGUUCUCGUACAGCAGGAGUAUACCCUAUUCGUACCACAUUUUUGUCGAUUGUCGACUCGCGUCCCUGUUAGAAUAUUAGGCAAUUUUCAUAUCAUUUUAAUUCCAUAAAUUAACAAUAUGAUGAUGAUAUAUAUGAUAUUAUUGAUAAAUAUAAGCAUUGCAUGAAUCAUAAUUACGACAUGUAAACAUGAUCCAUAAAGCAUAUCAAACAUCAAAACAUGGCAUGGUAUAUAACUCUCUAUAACGGCACCAAACAUAAUAUAACUAUCAAAACAGAUAAACAGAUGUACUGAAAUAGAAAAGCAAAUACUAGCGAAACAACAGAACUGUAGAACAUAGACAUAUACGCAAAACUUAAACAUAGCAGGAACAGACAACAGAUAUCUUGUGAAACAACAAAACAGACCUACUGAAACAGAUAUGACACAACUACUGAACUUACACGACAGAGCUACUGAAACAAAUAGAGACAGAGCGACGUAAAAUUGAGGGAAGAUGAACAGAUCAUACCCUGAGACUCCCGCAAUGGGAUUUCCAGAACUUUAUCCUUUCUCGAUCACCAUGGAGCAGAGACGAAGGCGAAGACGACGAACCAAUCACCGAGAAGGAGAAGACAGCGACCAGCAACACCAAGAGACCUCCGGGAAGAAGAUGAACAACAACAAUGCAGUUGGGCAGUCGCGUAGACGCUCCCCAAAAACCUAAUUGCCGAUCCCCAGUGUAAGGUCUCGAACGGCAAGGGCUCUGGAGGCACCUGCCCUCUCACUCCUCCGUGCGCGCGGAGUUACAAGAUGAGAAUUCCUACUUUGCAACGAAACAGUGAUCUGAGUGUUCUCUCUUGUUGUACCAAAGAGAUGAGAGUCUCCUAUUUAUCCUUGUGGCUGGAGAGGAGAGGAGAAGGGACUCCCUGUUGGCGGCUGAGGAGACGAGCAUCUGAAGGGUUUUUACAUGGAGUUGAAACUCCCUUAGUUAACUAUCGAAACACCCACAGAUAAUAAGUUGAAACUCCCACGUAAUUGAGUUGAAACUCCCGUACCGUCAGCCUGCCACUCCAACUCUUGGACUUCCAAUUUGGUACAAUAUAUAUUGUCCAUAAUUACACACCAUAGAAUUUAUUGAUUUAUUAAAUCUAAAUGGGUCUAGCCCAUAAUAAAUCCAACAAUCCCCACCAAACUCUAGGGUUUGUAAUGAUGAAGCAUCAGAAUCACAGUUCUUUGAUAUACUAGUGUUUUGAUGGAGACUGUUAAGUUGAACAUCCAUCUAGAACAAGAGUUUCACCCACUCACAACUGAACAAUGGACUAAGCCUUGAAUUGAUAGUUUUGUGCGAGAUGAGAUCCACUCAAGUCCUUAGCUGAUACUAGGCUGCACAAGGCAUCCCCGUUGUUUGAAGCAUAUAAGUCACACUUCAGUGCCUUUCAUGAGUAUUUAGGGAUUACCCAAGUUCCAUAGACUGUGACCAGCAGUCUGAUUCAUAUAGGUGUAUUCCUCAAAAGAUGUUCUGUAGGCCAACAUCUCAUCUGUAUAAGACUCUUGGAAUACAUUAAGGUAAAUACCAACCCGCCUUAUAGAAGGAAAGUCGUACAUCAGAGAUAGGUUUAAAAGGGAACUUUCCUCUCAAUCUACUCAUAGCUUGUUUCACCACUCUACUUCACGGGAUCUCCGAUCACAUAGAGCAGGUUACCACUACAGUAGACUAACUUGUGGGUUUCAUAGCCAUCUCUCUCGAUGCACUUUCUAUCACAUUACGUGAUAGUCCCUUAGUGAAUUGAUCUGCCAAAUUAUUUGAAGUAUGGACAUAGUCCACCGUUAUAACUUCAGAGGUUUUCAACUUUUUGACAGAUUUUAAUCGUCUCUUUACAUGUCUUGUAGACUUCAUGUUAUUCCUAGAACUAUUGACUUUAGUAAUCACAGUUUGGUUGUCAUAGUUCAUGGAGCUUGUUCCACUACAGAACGGUUCUCAACCAUCUUGUAGUCAUACAACUACUCUAUAAGAUACAGCUCAGUACCAGCGUCGGUAACUCCAAACUUAGUCACAAGAGCAUCCUAUAAUUCUUUCCCACUUGGAAGAAUUAUGUAGCUUUUCUAGAAUUUUGGAUCAAGUGCGCUAAUUACUGCACCUCGAAAGAGGUUGUCAUCAGCCCUAAACUUUGCCUCAUCUGAUAACAUGACAUAGCAGUUAGCCGCAAUUCCAUCUUAGCUUUCCAAAUCAAGAACCAUCAAAAGAAUCAGGCUUUAACACGGUAGCAAAACCUCUGACAGAAAAAUGCCUAUAGUUAGGUUUUUGAAAUGUUAGAAUAUUAGACAAUUUCCAUGUCAUUUUAAUUCCAUAAAUUAACAAUAUGAUGAUGACAUAUAUGAUAUUAUUGAUAAAUAUAAGCAUGACAUGAAUCAUAAUUACGACAUGUAAACAUGAUCCAUAAAAGCAUAUCAAACAUCAAAACAUGACAUGGUAUAUAACUCUCUGUAACAGCACCAAACAUGAUAUAACUGUCAACAAAAAUAAACAAAUGUACUAAACACAGAAAAACAGAUACUAGUGAAACAACAGAACUGUAGAAUAGAAGCAUAUACGUAGAACUUAAACAUAAUAGGAAUAGACAAUAGAUAUAUUGCGAAAUAACAAAAUAGACCUACUGAAACAGAUAUGACACAACUACUGAAUCUGCACGACAGAGCUACUAAAACAAAUAGAGACAGAGCGACGUAAAACUGAGGGAAGACGAAUAGAUCAUACCCUGAGACUCCCGCAAUUGGAUUUCCAGAACCUUGUCCUUUCUCGAUCACCAUGGAGCAGAGACGAAGGCAAAGACGACGAACCAAUCACCGAGAAGGAGAAGAUGGCGACCAGCAACACCAAGAGACCUCCGGGAAGAAGAUGAACAACAUCAAUGAAGUUGGGUAGUCGCGUAGACGCUCCCCAAAAACCUAAUUGUCGAUCCCCUGAGCAAGGUCACGAACGGCAAGGGCUCCGGAGGCACCUGCCCUCUCACUCCUCCGUGCGCGCGGAGUUACAAGAUGGGAAUUUCUACUUUGCAACGAAAAAGUGAUCUGAGUGUUCUCUCUUGUUGUACCAAAGAGAUGAGUCUCCUAUUUAUCUUUGUGGUUGGAGAGAAGAGGAGGAGAAGGGACUCCCUGUUGGCGGUUGAGGAGACGGGCAUCUGAAGGGUUUUCACGCAGAGUUGAAACUCCCUCAGUUAACUAUCGAAACACCCGCAGAUAAUAAGUUGAAACUCCCACAUAAUUGUGUUGAAACUCCCAUACCGUCAGCCUGCCACUCCAACUUUUGGACUUCCAAUUUGGUAGAAUAUAUACUGUCCAUAACUACACACAAUAGAGUUUAUUGAUUUAUUAAAUCUAAAUAGGUCUAGCCCAUAAUAAAUCCAACAAUCACUAGACCCGAUCGACCUAGAAUUCUUGUGACUAUGGCAUCACUGUUCUAGUUGAUAUGUAUAUAGAGUUUUGGGUUAAAGAACACACGAAAAAUAAAUUGAGCCUAAAAUAAAAAACUCUUGUCCUUUUGAAUUUUCAAUGAUAGCAGUCCCUAAUCUCAAAUACAAUGCGCUGAUUGAUCUAUAUAUAGAGAAAUAAACCUUGUACUGAAUAUUAUUGUUGUACAGAAUAUUAUGUAGGCAUAAUAGGCAACAUUAAUUGCUUUUUACUUGGAAUCAAACAUACUUAAAGAGCAAAGGUAACAACAUCAAUGAAAUAAAUAUUGUACCUAAAGAGCAAGGUAAAUGCAUCUAAUAUGGUUAAAGAAGGCCAAGACCUAUGGAAUUCAUAGGCUGCCACAAAAGGCCUUUGGGCCAUGCCUAGGGGCCAUGGCCCCACUACGUACAUAUCCUUCGUCUUCCUCCUCCAGUCCUCCUCCUCACUCUCACACGCUCACCAGAGCAGCUUCCCUGCACGCAACAGAGCAGCGCCAAUCCCAUUAUAUGGAUCGUCAUUCCCCACCGCCACCCACCACCCGCACCCCCGCGCUCCAGCUGAAUGAUGCGAGGGGAAAAAUUGCGGCGAUCGUGGCCUUUGUUGCUAUUGUUCUGCUCAUGUGCAUCUGUGCCUACAUGUUCUAGCGCAAGAACAUUGUUCGCCGAAUGUCAGACGUGGAGGCCGGCGGGGGAUCAGAGGAGGGUGAGGACGACGGAGUGUCGCCAGGUGAUGCUGGCCACCACGGCAUCGCCGGGCCAGAGGACGGCACGGGAUCUAGGCUGGAGGACGACGGAGCAUCGUCAGGCGUGGACGGCAGUGGAGCCGCGCUAGAGGACGACAGAGUGUCGUUGGGCGGUGCUAGCCACCACGGCACCGCCGGGCAGGAGGAUGGUGGUGGAGCCAGACUGGAGGCCGACGGAGCGUCGUCAGAUGGUGCUGGCCACCUCAGCACCGCCGAGCCGGAGGACGGCGGGGGAUCCAGGCUAGAGGACGACAGAACAUCGUCGGGCAGUGCUGGCCACCACGUCACCGUCGGACCGGAGGACGACGAUGGAGUCGCACUGAAGGACGCGGAGCGUCCAGUGGUGGAACCAGCGAGUUUGAUUAAGGGGGGCGAAUAAAUAUGAUUGUAUUUUUUAGUGUGAUAAAAUAUACAUAAUUAUAUGUUUGAAGAAUUUUUAAAAAACAUUACACUAUUUUUUACCAAAAUCAUCAUAUUUAAAUAAAAAAUAGGUAAAAUUGAUAUUUCUUGUACUAUAAAUAUUAAUAUUUACAUAGGUACUUAAAGGAAUGACUGGGCUUGGGGUGGGGGCAAUUGCCCCUGCUACCCCCCUUGGUUCCGCCACUGUGAGCGUCAUCGGGCGGUGCUAGCCACCACGGAACCACCGGGCUGGAGGACGGCAGAGGGCGGUGCUAGCGGUGCUGCAAGUUACGAUGCUCGUGUCAUUCUGUGCCGGGAGUUGACCAUUCUUGACGACAACGUUCUACUCUCCCCAUCCCACCGCCGAGCUGUUUUCCGACGAGUCGGCGUCCGUGAGCGAGAUGUUGAUCAAUCAAUUAGUGAUUUCUAAAAUGUAACAAGCACCAAAAAAAGGCGCGGUUGGACGCCAGAGGCCGGUUUAUGGUAGUGGGCCGGGCCGCGAUGUUUGUUUGUGAAAAAGGUGGAGGAUGCCCAAGCAUCUCUUGUUACUCCUACUAGCAUCCAAAAAUGAUAUGAGAAUUAUUUCCUUGGCUGUAAAAAAAGUGUUUCUUAGUUUCUUAGCCCUUUUUUGAGUGAACUUAGUUAUUUGGCCCAAAAUUGAAUUUUGUUUGGUUCUAUGGUCCUUCCAUUAGUUUGAUGAAGUAACGAGGUUAAGUCGUACAUGAAAAGACUAUUUUAACUCUGACGCUGAAUGAAAAAGAUGGUUUAAUAUCAAUAGUUUUGCAAUAUGGUCUGUAAUAAUUUUUUAAGCAUGGGAUCACUAUUUUUUAUAUAUAUUUGCACAUGAAAAUAUAUAUUUGCACAUGACAAUUAUAAAUUCAAGUGCACACAUACGUAAUACUAAUUCCCACCUUUUCAUUCAACGCCAGGGCAAAAUAGUGUUUUCGUGUACUACUUAGUAUUGUUGUACAGAAUAUUAUGUAGGCACAAUAGGCAACAUUAACUGCUUUUUACUUGGAAUCAAACAUACUUAGAGAGCAAAGGUAACAACAUCAGUGAAAUAAAUGUUGUACCUAAAGAGCAAGAUAAAUACAUCUAAUAUGGUUAAAGAAGGCCAAGACCUAUGGAAUUCGUAGGCUGCCAAAGAAGGCCUUUGGGCCAUGCCUAGGUGCCAUGGCCCCACUACGUACAUAUCCUUCAUCUUCCUCCUCCAGUCCUCAUCCUCACUCUCACACGCUCACCAGAGCAGCUUCCCUGCACGCAGCAGAGCAGCGCUAAUCCCAUUAUAUGGAUUGUCAUUCCCCACCGCCACCCACCACCCGCACCCCCGCGCUCCAGCUGAAUGAUGCGAGGGGAAAAAUUGCGGCGAUCGUGGCCUUUGUUGCUAUUGUUCUGCUCAUGUGCAUCUGUGCCUACAUGUUCUAGCGCAAGAACAUUGUUCGCCGAAUGCCAGACGUGGAGGCUGGCGGGGGAUCAGAGGAGGGUGAGGACGACGGAGUGUCGCCAGGUGAUGCUGGCCACCACGGCACCGCCGGGCCGGAGGACGGCACGGGAUCUAGGCUGGAGGACGACGGAGCAUCGUCAGGCGUGGACGGCAGUGGAGCUGCGCUAGAGGACGACAGAGCGUCGUUGGGCGGUGCUGGCCACCACGGCACCGCCGGGCAGGAGGAUGGUGGUGGAGCCAUACUGGAGGCCGACGGAGCGUCGUCAGGUGGUGUUAGCCACCUCAGCACCCCCGGGCCGGAGGACGGCGGGGGAUCCAGGCUAGAGGACGACAGAACAUCGUCGGGCGACGCUAGCCACCAUGUCACUGCCGGACCGGAGGACGACGGUGGAGUCGCGCCGGAGGACGCGGAGCGUCCAGUGGUGGAACCAGCGAGUUUGAUUAAGGGGGGCCGAAUAAAUAUGACUGUAUUUUUUAGUGUAAUAAAAUAUACAUAAUUAUAUAUUUGAAGAAUUUUUUAAAAAUAUUACACUAUUUUUACCAAAAUCAUCAUAUUUAAAUAAAAAAUCGGUAAAAUUGAUAUUUCUUGUACUAUAAAUAUUAAUAUUUACAUAGGUAUUUAAAGGAAUGACUAGGCUUGGGGGGGCAACUGCCCCUGCCACCCCCUUGGUUCCGCCACUGUGAGCGUCAUCGGGCGGUGCUGGCCACCACGGAACCGCCGGGCCGGAGGACGGCAAAAAGCGGUGCUGCAAGUUACGAUGCUCGUGUCAUUCUGUGCCGAGAGUUCUUUGUAACUCUGUAAAUGUAUCUUGUUCAAACGCCUCCUAUGGAUGCAGCUGCCCCUCACAGUGGCGCUGCAAUGUGUAUCCUGUGAACUUUUUAGGAUUAUCGCAGCAAGAUGCUGCUAAUAAAUUGUUUGCCAUUUUUCAAAAUAUUGUAUCGAUUUACCUCCAUGAAUUUUCAGCUUAGUCCAAAUUCACCCGCCUCUAAUGUAGGAGUUCACUUUUUUUUUUUGAGAUUAUUAGGAGUUCAUUCAAAUGGGCCGUACGUCCAGUAUUAGGGCUGCAAACAGGGUGGAGUAGUGCGCACCUAAUCUCGAUCAUCCGCUCCGUACUUCCAGAAUUACUCUUCUGUUUAGGCCUUUGGGGUCGGCCCGCUUCAUUCCAUGGGCUCUUUUUAGCUGCGGAGCCCUUUUCAGGCCAAUCCAGUAUCGACGCCCUUCUAAUCUAAAACCCUAACUCCCUAUCUCUCUCUCUCCUUCCCGCCGCCAAGCCACUGCGGCCGAAGUCGCCCCUCCCGAGCCCCGACCAACUCUCCUCUCCUCUCCUCUCCUCUCCACCUCAGGGCCGCCGCCUCCUUCCUUCCUUCCUUCCGCCGCCUCGACAAGCGUCGGCCAAGAUGGUGAAGAGAAGCAAGAAGAGCAAGAGCAAGCGCGUGACGCUGAAGCAGAAGCACAAGGUGCUGCGCAAGGUGAAGGAGCACCACCGCAAGAAGCGCAAGGAGGCCAAGAAGGAGGGAAAGGCCGGCCAGCGGAAGAAGGUCGAGAAGGACCCCGGGAUCCCCAACGAGUGGCCCUUCAAGGAGCAGGAGCUCAAGGCGCUAGAGGCCCGGCGAGCGCAGGCGCUCCAGGAGCUCGAGCUCAAGAAGGAGGCGCGCAAGGAGAGGGUAUGUCAUGUCUGCCGUGCACCAACCUGGCCUUCCCACCUGCUGUUGUAGUUUUUCAGUCUUACAGCCGACUCCACCUUCAUUCCGUUAAAUUGCAAACCUAAUCCACCUUCUUGUCCCUUCAGUUUCUCUGUGAAACUAGAAAACCCGUGGCGGCGUUGCUAUAUUUUAUUCUCUUACUUCUCACGAUGCUUUGGUGCCUUGAAGAGCAUUACUUUUCUGCUCACUUUGGUUUAUCAUUAUAAUAGUAUAAAACUCUAUGCAAGCUAAGAUCGUGCAACAUUAUGGUUAUACUGACACCACACAGACACCAUUCUAACAUGACUGCAACAGACAAAAUUUUUAGCAUGCAAUCUACAUGAAAGAAACAUUGUGACCAGUUAUGUUCAUCAUGAUUGAAACGGAAAGCUUUGCUUCACCAGAUAGGAUAACAUUAUUAACAUUAGUAGUAUUAUUUAUGUUACAAUGAUGUCCUUGCAUAACAAAAGUAAAAUUAUGUUCAAUGAUGUUGUCGAAUGACGAUCCCAGUUCUCAUCACAAGAGUAAAAUCGGAGUACAAAGCAUAUAAUAGAAUCUUGAUUGCCAACCAAAUGCUAGAUGAACUGAAAUUUGAGCACGAAAAUCAUUGCACAAUCGUAAAUAAUUGCCACUGGACUACAAUUUCACCUUAAUUCUCUGGAAGUAAGGAUGUUUGUGUACAUUGCCUAGCGGGCGCCCAGAAGGGAGAUAACAUGAAUGACACCAUUGCCACUCAUUGUCACAGUUAUUAUAUAGGGGCAUAUGUUCUGCCCGUCCAUACCCGCUUGUGCUGCGAUAACGCUUCUGCCAAGCAUGGACGUGCAUGCCCAUUCCCCUUUAGCCACAGGUCAACCUGCCCAUGCAAAUCGCAUAUCCUUGAUGACUUGAGGUGCUGAAAAUGCAAGUAACAAAGGACGAAUCAGAAGAAAGAAGUAGUUGACGGAGCAACUCACCCUGUGGAUACUACCUGCCCGUGGUUUAUCCUGCAGAUUCAUGUUAUAGUGAUUAACUCUUUCUUAGAUCCUUCCCUAUAUUGGUAGUGUACAACUGUACAUAGUUACCAUUUGGUUGAUGGCCUGCUAUUGUUGGUAUCUGCCAUGAUAGCUUUUGUCCCAACCCUUAUUGUCCCUUAUUACAAUUGAAGGCUUGUUAGAACCAAUAUUGCUGUAUGUAUAAUUGUGUUCUCUUGUGAAAUUCUGGUUAUUGAUCCAGACAAGCUGGAUGAUCGUCCUUUAUUUGGGUCUUUACACUUUACAUUUUAGGCUCACUCUGUCAGGAUCAUGAACUUUCACAUAGACUUGACUGAGCAACGAUUAGAUAUUGUCACCCUUGAUGAAGUAUGUGUUCCUUAAGGUCUAUUUAUGUUCUUCGUUUAGUUUUAUAGAUACAUCUAUAUCAUUUUUGUUGUGGUGGUGAAACUAUGAGACACUACCUUUUUCAGGCUCGGAAGAGGAAGCUAGGAUUGCUUGAGGAUGAGGACAUUGCUAAUUUGGCAUCUGCAGCUUCCGCGCAGGGCAGUGAGUUUGCAGCAAAGGAUGCAGCUAAGGAGAAUGCUCCUUUAGCAGUGGCAAAGAGCAAUGGUAAGUUUCUCAUCUCUCACUUAUUGUCUAAUUGGCCUAACUCAUGUAGUUACAUUAUUGACUAAAGAUGUUAAAUGUAUCCCAGAUCAUUCAGAGAGGUCUUUCUACAAGGAGCUUGUUAAAGUAAUUGAAGCUUCUGAUGUGAUUCUUGAGGUUCUUGAUGCAAGGGAUCCACUAGGCACCCGUUGCCUUGACAUGGAAAUGAUGGUUAAGAAGGCUGAUCCAAGUAAACGGAUUGUACUACUUCUCAACAAGAUAGGUAUUAUGCCAUGUUUGUUAUGUUUAAAGUUUACUUUUAUGGUGUUUAUGCCAUCCUACAUCUCAACUUACGAUUCUUGAAUUCUAGAUCUUGUUCCCAAGGAGGCGGUUGAGAAGUGGCUUACAUAUCUAAGAGAAGAAAUGCCAACAGUUGCAUUUAAGUGCAAUACCCAAGAGCAGAGGACAAAGCUGGGAUGGAAAUCUUCAAAACUUGAUAAAACAAGUAACAUCCCACAAAGCAGUGAUUGUCUUGGUGCUGAGAAUCUAAUCAGAUUGCUCAAGAAUUAUUCCAGAAGCCAUGAGGUAAACGAUCCUACUACCGUUUUCAGAUAAUGUUUAUGCAUAUAUAGUUUUGAUCAUCUCUCAUCUGUAUCACAAGUUGAUUAUUGUAUGGACUUCUAAGUUAGAAUGUUAUCCUUGUUCUACAACAUCCUGUAUGCUUCAUUACUUGACUAUAUUAUAAUAAUUGAACCUUCACUUUCUUUUCCUUGCUUAUGUGCAUACUUCCUUUUAUUGAACAUGAUUAAUAGAAUGCUUUUAUCUCUGAAGGGAGAACAGCUUCCUACGCUUUGUAUAUGAACCUAAUGACUUCAUGCACAUAGUUUUACUUUGUGUGCUGUAUCUUAUCAUGCCAGUUUUAUAAGUAGGCCUUUUUUUUUUAUCUUCGGUUAUUACCUUCCUAAUGCUUCAGUGUUACCUUUUUCUUUUACUGCUCUUGUACCCAUGUCUGUGUUCAUAUAGAGUUCCCUUCUUUGUUCUUCCUUUGUUAAGUUUUGCUAUUGGUGACUUGCAGCUCAAACUGGCAAUUACGGUGGGUAUUGUUGGACUUCCUAAUGUUGGCAAGAGUAGUCUGAUCAACAGCCUGAAGAGGUCCCGAGUGGUUAAUGUCGGUUCCACUCCAGGGGUUACUAGGGCAAUGCAAGAAGUUCAAUUAGACAAGAAGGUGAAGUUGUUGGAUUGCCCUGGUGUUGUUAUGCUCAAAUCUUCCAGCAGUGGUGUGUCUGUAGCCCUUCGAAACUGCAAAAGAGUUGAGAAAAUGGAAGAUCCAGUCACUCCUGGUAAGAGCUUCUGUUAGCUCUGUUGAAGUUUAUUUAUUCUAGCUAUAUAGCCAUCUUAUUAUUUUACUCUUUAGAUACUGUGCCAUUCGACAAUAAUCUAGUAUAUAAUGUGACCAGAAGUGCAAUACUUGACAUGUUCUAUGCUUCUCUCUGUUUUUGAUGUUUCUAGUUAAGGAGAUCCUAAGUAUUUGCCCGCAUGAGAAGUUGUUAUCUCUGUACAAGGUUCCAAACUUCAGUUCAGUUGAUGAUUUCCUUCAGAAAGUAGCAACUGUACGGGGGAAGUUGAAAAAGGGUGGUGUAGUGGAUGUUGAAGCUGCUGCGAGAAUUGUGCUUCAUGACUGGAAUGAAGGUAUGUAUGAUAACUUUUGUCAUGAACUUUGUAAAUUCUUGUGAGUUGUGACCAGUGACCUUCCUCUUGUUUUUAGGUAAAAUACCAUAUUUUACACUGCCACCUAAAAGAGAUGCUGGGGAGGACUCAAAUGCAGUGAUUAUAACACAAGAUGGGAAAGAAUUUAAUAUUGAUGAAAUUUACAAAGCUGAGUCUUCAUAUAUUGGUGGUUUGAAGUCCAUUGAGGAGUUUCAUCACAUUGAGAUUCCUCCUAAUGCUCCACCAGGGAUUGAUGAAGAGAUGCUAGAGGUAAUGAUCUUAAAGUUAGCGGUUUUCCGUGAAUUUAGUGGAUUUAACAUGGUAACCCCUGAAUGCAAUGCAAUGCCAUCUGUUUUGUCCUUGUGAUGGCCAGAUGCAUUGCAUUCAUUGAAAGUAUAUGUUUUUUUUGUGAGAUUGUUUUCGCAUGGUCGCUGGUUCGGUCUCAGUUCUAUGUUAGGAGGUUUCAUUCGAAUCUAUUGACCAACAGAUUUUUUUUUAAGAUCAUCUAUGUAUAAUCCUUUGUAAACUGCAUAAUGAAACUGGCAUCAUGGUAAAAGGGCAGUGCUUGCUCUCUGGUGAAAACAUUUGUAGAAGUCAUCCGUAGGUUCUAUUUGAAUACCAAUAUGCUUUGCUGCAAGCAAAACAUGGGUGCAUUAGGAACAUCGUGGUUGGUCUUGUUAUUUGACUCUUGUUUUGCACUAACCAGGAAGGCAAGAAACCAAGUGAGCCUGCCCAGGAAAGCCGGGAGGAGCAAAUGUCUGACGUGAAUGAUCGGGAAGGAAGCAAGGCAGCCAGUGCUAGCACACAGAAUGACAAGUUGUACACCGCCGAGGGCAUACUCGACCCUCGCAAGAGGAAAGCAGAGAAGAAACGACGCAAGGCGAACAAGUUCAGCGUGCUGAACGACAUGGAUGCGGACUAUGAUUUCAAGGUGGAUUAUCAGAUGGAGGACGCAUCGGCCGCCAAUGAGGACGAUGGGGGUGCACAAGCGGAUGAUGAAGAUGGCGGGGAUGAAGCCAAGGAUAAUGAGCCGAUGACUGGUGUUGAUGAUGCGUGAAAUAUUUAGCUCCAUCCUUGUGUAUGAGUUAAUGGCGGGUAGAUGUUAUCGGUGAUAUUAUCAUGUCGAGUGCCAGAAAUGGCCUAGUGGGGGUUGCAAAAUUAACCCGCAAAAGUUUUGUGCGCUUAGUUUGUUUAAUGAAAGAUGAUACUAUGAGAAGGCUUGCGUUUUACCUGUUCCAGUACCUACCUUUACCUGCUCUUUAAGUUGCUUUCAUUGAUCAUGAUGCGCUAUCCUUGGUUGCAUUUAUUUAUCAUGAAUUCAUGAUGCGUUAUAGAGAAAGGUUACCAAGCAAACAUGAUCAGUUUAUGCAAGGGCUUGUUUAGAUGCACUAGCUAGGUCUUGUUUACUUCAAAAAAAUUUGCAAAAUAGGAAUAUUAGCACUUUUGUUUGUAUUUGACAAAUAUUGUCUAAUUAUGGAUUAACUAGGCUCAAAAGAUUCGUCUCGUCAAUUCUGACUAAACUGUGCAAUUAGUUUUUAUUUUUAUUUAUAUUUAAUACUUUAUGCAUACGUCUAAAGAUUCGAUGUGACAAGAAAUCUAAAAUUUUUUUCAAAUUUUUUGGAGAACUAAACAAGGCCUUAAAUUUUCUGGCUAAAUUUAACUGCUAGCCAUCUAUACAACAUAGCUAAAAGAUAAGUUGAUUCUAAAAAAAUGAAAGCUAAAAGACUAGUAAAGUUUAACUAGGUUUAGCUAUUUUAACCUAGGCCUUGUUUAUUUGGUGCUAAAUUUUGGAUUUGGCUAAUGUAGCACUUUUAUUUUUAUUUGGAAUUAAGUAGGUUUAAAAGAUUCGUCUCGUAAAUUACAUGCAAACUGUAUAAUUAAUUAUAUUUUUUUAUCUAUAUUUAAUGCUUUAUGCAUGUGUCCAAAGUUUUGAUAUAACGAAAAAUCUUAGAAUUUUUUGUAAACUAAACAAGACCCUAGCUAAAGUCAUCUAAAAUUGAGCCGAGUCUAUUAGCUAGAGCAUCCAAAUACUCCAGCUAAAGUUUUACCUUAAAAAUCUAACUAGCUAAAUUUUAGUUAGGUGUAUCACAUAGAUCCUUAAUCAUAGGUAGGAGCUCCCUUUUCAUUGAGAACCGAAUGAUAUUUUCAGCCGAGUCGGAGGCAGCAUCGGCACGAAAACGCCCAAUUCCCAACUGGAACAACUGGUGCUUUGCUUGUACUACAUUCUCUUUGUAUAUAGGCGCCGCCGUCCUCCAAGUCCAAGCGGAGGCGGUCACGCGAACUGAAAUGCAGGUCCGGCUCUGCAGCGCUGCAACCAACGCCCAGCUCACUCCCGCCGCUUCCAGUUCCCACCCAACCGGCGACGGCGAUGGCGAUGGCGACGCAGGCCGAGCUCGAGGCGGCCGUCGCCGCGCUCGCGGACAAGAAGCGCCGUCUCCGGGAGACAUUCGACCGCCUCGUCGCCUGCUCCCCGGUCCCCCUACCCUUCCGCUGGGAGGACCUCGACGCGCACCUCGCCUCCAUCGCCGCCAGCUUCCGCCACCUCGACUCCACCCACGCCGACGCCAUCGCCGGUGCAGCAGCCGCAGCCGCUGACGCUAGGGGUCCAACCACCGCUGCUCAGCACUUCCAACACCUGGACAAGGAGGAGCAGGACCGGGAACGCCGCGUCGGGCGCGGCGCGUCGGAGGAGCGACACCGGAACGCGUCGUUGCACCAGGAACGCGGGGAGGAGAAGGGGGAGGAGCUCCGGGAGGCAUCCAGUUCGCGUUCCGACCGAGAACCGGACGCAGCGGGGAACAUUCUCGGGGCGGAGGCGGUGCCAAUCGAGGCAGCUCCAGAACAACUACGCGACGAGAAGGAGGAGGAUGCCAUGGGCGCACUCGUGGCGUCUCCCAUCCAACGCGACGACGAUAUCGAGAUGCUGGAGGAGGAGGAGGAGGCCGUGAACGGGAGCGCAGACAGAGAAGGCCGCGCGGACGAGGCGGAGGAAGGGGAGUGGCUGCAGCAUCCGCACGCCGCAGGCGGCGGAGAGACGUCGGCUCUGGCGAGAGCCGUCGCCGCGGCGUGCGCGAACAUGGACCCCUCCGCGCUGGUGGACGUGCUGCGCCUCGGCGGCAGGAGCUCCCUCCACGCGUUCCUCCCGGCGCUGCUGGGCGCCCCGGACCCCCACGCCCUCCUCGUCCGCGCCGUCGGCGGCUUCUUGUACCUGGCCUCAGCGGGGCCGGGGCGCGACGCGAGCGAGUGGUGGUCAAACUGCGUCGCGCUGAUCGAAUGCGCGCCCCGCCUCGCCGCCCCGUCGGCGGACGCGCUGGCGCAGGCAAAGCGCCUGGCGCGGCACUGGAAGGAGAUGGUGGUCACGGGGCCUGCGGAUGCUGGUGGCAGGGACAUGGGCGGGAUGGCUGGAUGGGGUUUUCUCAGCUUCAUUGCUUCCUACAACAUUGUCCCGGAGUUCGGUGCUGAUGAGAUCAUCCGUCUCUUCGACAAUAUCGCGCCCCAGGUGAAGGACAACUGCGUUGAGCUCUGCAAGCGUCUUGGCCUCAUCGGGAAGAUGACUGGUACAUACUAUGCUCCUCGACUUCGACUCUCAAUUAUGAAUUUACUUAUCUCAUAUCUUGUAGUUAACCUAUUCUACGAUGCAACGCGGUGUAAGUAGAUGAAUGUUCGUUCACCUGUACGCUGUAGACUGGUAGUUUACUUGCGAUUCAGACAUCAGAAUGCUCUGAAUCGCAUAGGUCUCUCUUCAGGUGGAUGCCAACCAAUGCUCUCCAUACUCCAUCACUGUCUCGCACUCGCAGCUAACCACACUUAAAAGUAGAAGCAGGAACCUUAGCAGAUCACCUGUAGGCUGUAGGUAUUGUAACCCUUUAUGGCUUUAUACAUAUCCAGAGAUCAUGAAUAAAGCAGGAUAUCAUGAUGAAUACGAACAAGAGAGGUGAUAACAUUAGCCAGACAAGGUAAUUACUGGGAUCAAUAUACUACCAUAUAUAACAACUUAGAGCUGGAUUGCAGUGGCACUAAAAGAAUCAAAUUGUAGAAUAUUUUGAUCUAUUUUUUUCAACGCAAGAAUAUUUUGAUCUAUUCCUUUUCCUGUUAGUACUAUGCACUUCCUUUCCUUUUUAGUAAGAAAUUCACAUAUAUUGAUGCAGCCAUCAAAUUGAGAUUUUAACCACUUAGGUAUCUGGGCUUAUUUAUUACUAGUUAUAUGCCAUAUUGUUCAGUCAUGGCAGCACCUAGAUGAUUUAUGUCAGUCUACUACUUUGGUGAUUUCAAGUUGAAUCUAUCUUCUACAUUAAUGUAGGAUGGUUUUAUGUCUGUCUGACAAAAAUAAGAUGAGUUGUUGAUUUUUCUUCCAGUGUUGUGUUGCAGUUAUUGCAUGUUGUGGAGCAUCUUUUGAACUAUUCGUAGUUUUAUGUUACACUCACUAUCAGAUUUUCUAAUCACACUCGUAGCUCAUGGAACUGGAAGGAUAUCACUAUCCCAUUUGUUUACCAACUGUGUUGCUAAUGUUUGGCUCAUUCUUCUGCAGAUUCAAUCAAUCAUUUCAUUGAAAAUGGGCAGCCACUCGAUGCUAUAAGAUUGGCACAUACUUUCAGUUUGACUGACAAAUAUCCUCCACUUGCCAUCAUGAAUGAUUAUAUUGAGAAUGCCAAGAAGACUGCUGAAGACAUACUAAGCAAGGAAAGCUAUACACUGGAAUCUCUGGUAUGUUCUGUUUCUUGGAAGGGAUGUCUUUUUAUGCUAAUCCAACUUAAAUGAAAUUGUCCAUUUAUCACAACUGUAGUUUUUCUUAGCUUUGAGAAGUCCUGGAUUUGGAAAAUAAAAUACAGCGUGCUUUCAUGCUUUCUAAAGCAAGUUUUCACAACUUUUAAAGCAGUGCAGCUGAGGAACUAAGCUAGGUUUCGGUGUGCACACGCACCAAUCUAGGUUUGAGCCCUGUUUGGUCAGAUAUUGGUCUUUCUUCUUAUAACGUAGUGAAAUUAUAGUAUGUAGUAAUAAUAAUGCAAUGCUAUCCCUCCUGCUCUGAAAGUUGUAUUGCUUACUUUAUGUAAAAAAUGAAAAAACCUCUUCCUAGAUAAAUUGUUGCAUCCACAUAAUGACAUAUUGAUAUCGUACUUUCAACCAGUGACGAAUCUAGGAAAAUAUUUAGGGGAGGCUUCUGCUACCUUAACAUAACUUUAGCCCCUUCUUAAAGAGCAUCAAUGAUAAAAAUUUAUAGGAGGGGCUAAGGGGGGGCUACGUGGGUUCUACGACCAUAGGGGGGGCUGGAGCCCCACUAGCCCCACCGUUGGCUCCGUCGCUGCUUUCAACACUUGUAUAGACAUAUAAUGCUUUCAACUGUUUUAACGCCUUUGAAUCAUCCAUUGAGCAGAAUCAAGCGAUGGCAGAGAAGGUUGAUGCUCUAAUAUUUUCAUGGAGCGCAAUUGAUGGGUGCGAUAUUGAUUCUGUUCAGCGUAAUAGCAUCAAGGCAGAAAUUACUCAGCUGUUACACAAGUAUACAAACAAGCAGCAAAGUCUAGCAGGAGUUCCAGCCUCCAUUGCAAGUUCGCACCAGCAGCAGAAGUUUCAAGAGGAGUAUCAGCAGCGGCCACAAAUGCGACUGGUUGAACAGCAGAAGCAGCAGCGAAAGCCACAUGAGCUGCAGCAAAAACCAGAAGAGAAACAGCGCCAGCAGCAGAAGCCACAAGAGACGCAGCAUCGGCACAUUCAGAAUCAACCAGAGCCGCAGAAGCGGGAAAUGUGGCAAAACCGGAAAAGGAAAAGAGAAAACAAGAAUCGCAAGAGGAAACAGCGCAGGCAGAAACUGCAGCAACAGAAUAAACGCCCAUGGCUACCUCCAUAUGCCAGGCCAGGAAUUAACAUCCAGCAUGGGCAACCAUUUUCAGGAACUCGAAGAGCUCCGUUUGCAGCCACCACUACCAUACCUCGAUACUUUUGGUCCAUGUGAUGAUCGUUCUCAGCAUCACGUGCCAGUGGUCCUGUCAUUGAUGCCAGAGUAGUACUCGGUGAAGUUACUGUUGUAGUAGUAAGCUGAUGGUAGAAAAUAGAAGAGAAAGUUGUCCAGUGCUGAUUGGUUUUGCUUAGCUUUCCAUAAAAAAAAAAGCUUUAGUCCCCACAGUGACUUGUGUAUAUGCUAUGCACAGUUUAGCUAUCCUCGGUGGCUUGUGUUACUGAAACCUGAAUCACAACCAUCGACUGUGUAUGUUGGAUAUGACUAAUCAAGUUUGUCUAGUAGUUAUUCAUGUGUGAUUCUCGCAUUGACCGUAAAAAUGUUGCUUGUCACAAUACCUGAAGAAGCAUGGCUGAUCUUUCUGGCAUAUAUAAAUAAGCGUCUAUAGUAAAGCGCACUCUUUCUGAAUUCGUUGUGAAAUAAAAGGAUUCAUGCACGACCAUCUUGUGAUGCUUUUGCUCUUUCAGUGAUUUAUGUUCAUCGUGCAGGUAUUUGUGAAUGUUUAUAUGUAACUGAAAAGUAGGCUAAUUCCUGUUACAGUGCAUAUGUUUCAGAUUGCAAGCAUUGCAACACUUCGCUGAGCAUGUGUACGUGACCAGACUACAAAACCUGCCCUAUAAAAUUAUAUUCAACAAAUCGAUGCAAGUGAUUGGCAACUGUCCAUACACCAUGUUGCGAGAGAACUGUCGUCACAUAAAACAAAUGAACACAAAACCACUUACAGAACGAACCAAUACAGGGCUGUUUCAUAUACAACUUCUACGCUUCACCAUAUAUAGUUUCACUCAGCGGUCGAUGCAGAACGACAGAACUUCUACACUAUCUGGGAUAGGACGGAGGAUGAAGGGCAAAGGGAUUAAAUGUCAGACCCAUAUACUGAGGUGAUCUGAAUUGCGGUACAAAUGGCAUUCCUAAUCCUACAAGCCAACCUGGCUGGGCAGGGUAAUUCUGAACUCCAGGCACAGCAGCGUAUGGUGGGCGCCCAAAGUUUUGGAUCUGAGGAACAUUCAGAACCAGAGGAACAGCAGGUGUUGGAAGCUUAAGAGUAGCUGGCCUUGGCGGUUGCAUAUGCUGCUGCUGCUCUGUCACCUGCGCCUUAUUUUCUUGUUGAUGCAGCUGAUGUUGCUUUCCUUGGAUUAACUUGUUUUCAUUCUGUGCCUGCUGCUGCUGGUUGACUUGUGCCUGAUGGUGCUCCAGCUCCUCUUUCUUGCGCUUCUUGUUCCUCUUUUUAUGUUUCGUUGGCUGAUGCUGUGAAUCCCAUGUUGCAGGCGUUGAGGGAUUUCCUGACCUUUGUUGCUUUUUAUAUGAACCAAUCAAAUAUCUAAUUUCUGCCAAAAUAGCACUGCGUUGGCUAGAAUCAGCGAGUUUAUGCUGAGCUAGUUGAUGCGCAAUCCAUAUUUCCUUUGGUAUAGCCAAGUUCUGCACAUAGGCAAGAUGCAAAACCAUUCAGCUAACAAACAACAAAUUUGAGUACCCACCUCUUGGUGCGAUGGAGUUUUAUGACUCCACCCUGGAUUGAAAUCUAGACACCAUAUCUAUGUACACAUGCGUGAGUACUUUCCCCAUUUACUAGAGGUAUAUGGUUUUCUAGGGGUGUGAAUCAGAUAGGUGGCACACUCAUGUGCCAUGCAAGUGCGUCAGUGGAGUAUGUGUAUGUGCUUUCUUCCUUCAUUGUAAAUGUGAAAAGGAAACAAAAGACAAACAAAUAUAGUUGACAAGAAAGCAGAUUUAUUGGAUCAUUAUGCAUUUAUAUCUACAACAGAACUUGUUCCAAAAUCUGUAGCCAAACCACAAUGCUAUGUAACUUAGAAAGUUAUGAUUAAGGAUUUAAGGUGAUCAGUGAAACAACCUGGUUUCUAUGUCCACCAGGAUGUGCAUCCUGGACAUCCUGGUCUUCAUCGUAGACGGAGGGAAACAGAGCUGUCAUUGUCUCGAUCCCUACCCAACCCCCCCACCCCCACCCACCCACACACAAAAAGGCGGCACUAACUACUCCGAGCACAAUGCUCCGGAGCCAUGCCUGCCCAACCACUGUCCACCGCCUUCUCGCGAUUCCCCCCACCGUGCCGGUGACCUACCUGCAACCCCCAGCCAUACCUCUACAGAUGGAGGCCACCAAGAUCCCCAAAACCAAAAUCUCAUAUCCCAACCUGAAACUAUAACCUGCCAGAGUUAUUGGAGAUCACUGGACAUUGAAAAGAGUGAGCUCAGCACCCCAGAGGGGGUAUCAGUAUGCAUUCCCACCCUAAAAAAUCUGUUAACAGAUGAAUAGCGGCCUCAAAUUUCUCUCCGUCAGAACAAAUAUUAACUUUACAGCGUAAUGGCCUGGAUGUCCAGGGUUCGCACUACCCUGGGCACCAUAUAAUUCCUGUCAGUGGAAUACUUGAUUUUAAAGUCACAAGGGGUAGUUCAUACCAAGGACUUGUGUGUUUCAUUCUUUCUAAAUAGCUCCACAGAAGUCUGCUUGGCCUUCUCAAUGUAUCCCUUCAGAAGAGAAAAUGGGGUAUACUUGUCCUCCAAAUUAAAAAAUUGUAACACAUGAAAAACUUCAAGAUGCUGCCCAUUUCCAAUCAUAUAGUCAAUUAAAUCUGCAGAAAAGAUGAAGGCAAGAAGAAACAUUGAUAAGAAGGCGAACCCUUGCAAUGCGAAUGAGGUACAGGCAUGGACGAGUGCCUAGAGUUCUGUCAAAAUCAAACUGAAAAUGUAAAGAUAGAGGUCAAUGUAUUUAAGUCUAGCUGCUUAUGAAAACAGUGAGAAAAGUUCAAAUAAUGGCUAAGCAAUAAACAUACAAAAAUGCAUUAUAGCUACAGACCAGACAAUCAACUGAUGUACAUACUUGAUAUACUAAGCAAACUAGAGUUUCUAUCCAAAUUUACAAGUAUAUCCAUAUAAAUAAACUUAUCACUUGGGUUGAUAUCAGUUAUAACGUGAGAUGCAAUAAUGAACAGAAUUCUCAUUUUGGUCACAGGAUUCAGACUCUUUCACAGAUUGUAUUGAUAAAUGACAGGCUAGCAGCAAAGGAAAGCAUGUAAGCACACCUUCAGGGAACACUCUCAUGAAGGCACAACACCAAAGAACAACAUGGCGACCAUAAUUGGUGGUGCUUAACUUUUGGUUCUGAAGUCUUGGAUGUCCCACAUUAGUGACAACUGACAACUAUAUUUUUCAAUACAAUCAUUUGAUGUGUAUUGUAUAUAUUCUACACUGAUCUUUGAUACUUACAUAGUUACAUUGACUAUUGAACAUAGUGAAAGACAAAAUAUCCAUUGGGAAUCAACAAAAACCUCCCCUAGCAGCCUUGCACAUCCACUUACAUGUCCAACAAUAAGCACUACUUAUGUUAAUGAAAACUUAGGAAUUAAAAAACUAAUUUCUUUGGUGUUUGAUGUGAAAGUCAGGGCCAAACGAUCAGAAUGGUUGAGACCUACCACCUGGUGGUGUCUGAGAUGCUGCUGUCAAUGGUGAGCCAACAGUGCUGUGUCUAUAAAGCUUGUGGAGACUAGAAACUUUUACAGUAGUAAAUAGUUUAAUAACUGCUAAAUCUUAGUUAUGAAUAGUUACAUGGUAUUGGAGUGUUGCAGCCAGAGAUCAAACACUUGCAUGAUCCAGCUGUUAUUACUCAGGAAUACAUGUUAAUCGAUUAGGCAAAGAAGGAUACACAGCGCCAGGUGAAACAAACAUGUAUGAGUUGUGUCAAAUGGUCCUUAGUCUGCAUCUUUUGUAGCUUUGCUACUUACACUAUCUGCUACCAAAAUUUCAAGAAAGUCAAAUUUGGAAAAUUCACAUAGCAUGGAUUAGUACAAAAUCAAAAGAUGGACCAGAAUAGUUCCCUUGUUUCCUAUACAAAUAUGACUUCUUUUAUUCGGCUAUAUAGUAGUGCAUCUACAAUAUUCUACCGUGUGGCUACACAGUAGAAGAUACAAAAAAAAGAGUAAAGUCUACCAGCGGUCCUCGAACUUGUUCGGCUGUGUCAUUCCGGUCCUUAAACUCGCAAAUCGACCGUUUAAGUCCUCAAACUUCUUCAUCUGUGUCAUCGCGGUCCCUAAACUCAUAAAUCUCUCAUUUAGGUCCUCAAACUUGUUCGACUACAUCAUCUAGCUCCCUAAACUUGCAAAUCACCUGUUUAGGUUCUUAAAUUUGUUCAGUUGUGUCAUCCCUGUCCCUAAAUGCUGCAACUUAUGUAAACUUGUAAAUUCAAUAUAUAUUUAUAGAACUGUCCAAAAAUUAUAAAUAAUCUAAUUUUAUUUUACUAUAGAAUAAAAGAAAUCACCAUGUACUUUCUAUUUUUAACUUUGUAGUUAAAUGACUAAAUAGGCAUGUGUAUUUUUAUAAAUCAUAAAAGUGUAUGUUCCUAUUUAGUUAUUGAACCAUAGAGUUAAAAAUAGAAAGUAAAUGGUGAUUUCUUUUAUUCUAAUUUAAAGUACAUGUUACCAGGAGUCUAACAAAACUAAAUUUGCCAUUUUUGGACAGUUCUAUAAAUAUUGAAUUUACAAGUUUAAGUUUGAAGACAUAAACAGGUGAUUUACAAUUUAGGGACCUAGAUGACAUAGCCGAACAAGUUUGAGGACCUAGACGAGCAAUUUGACAGUUUAGAGACUGGAAUGACACAGAUGAACAAGUUUGGGGACUGGAAUGAUCGAUUUGCGAGCUUAGGGACCAGGAUAGCACAGCCGAAUAAAUUUGAGGACCGCCAGUGCACUCUAAAAAAAACGCUUGAACCAUAAGGAAACUCUGGAUGACAUGAUCAGAUACGAAGCCUUUCCAAAACUAGUCAAACUGCAUUACAUCCACUAUGAACGAAUAACCUGCUUGCAGGAAUGUGGUUUUCUGUAAUCAAGCUGUUAUGGUGCUAUAAAUGACAUAAAAAAUUGUACCAGCACUUUAAAUCAACCUUGUUUAUGAAAUAUUAUUGACAAUUCACCAUAAUGCCAUAUGCAUGGCCUUCACAAUCAAACACAUAGAUUGAGAAAAAAAAUAUAUGACUAAGAACAGAGAUAGCUCCAUACCUGUGGGCCUAUCUGCAAGCCCAAGCUCCUCGCAAAGCUUAACAUUGUCAGUGUUGUUCUGUUUCUUCUGAACUUUGCGAGGGACCAUAGCAAAAAUACUGAUGAUCUCAUGGAUACUGAAUUCAGAAACAAUGUUAUAUGCGAUGAGGAACUCGAGAAGGCUCCUAGCCAGCGAGUCAAGUUCCCCACAACACUCUGGUCUGCCGAUCAUUUCCUUCCAAUCCUUUGCCACCAGCUUGGCUUGCUCUAUUGUGUCUGCAGAAUGUUUGACAGAAUUCAUAGACAACCAGCGAAACAACCUGAUACAUUUCCCCCAGACCUUGGAGCACUUGAAGUCCUUGCUGGAUAGGAGUAGCUUGACCACUUGAAGGACAAGGGCCGCCGGAUCUGGGGCAAGGUGCAGUGCGAACAGCAACUUUUUAUUGACGCUGACACAUAUCACAAUCUCGAUCAGUGUCCCUGCAUCCAUUCUCCCACAUGCCUCAGCAAAUUCCUUUAUACCACCUGCAGGAAGCCCUCUACGCUGUUUCUUGGUCAUCUUUUCAACCAUCUCCUCUUCAGGUUCAGUAUCCUGCUCUCCAUCAAGCUCCUCCUCACCUUCAGCCUCUUUGCCUUGCCCCUCAGAGACCUUGGUAGUCACCGCCUCUUCGUUGGCAUCCCGCUUGUCAUCCACGCCGCCCUCUUUAGCAUCCUUCGCUUCAUUGCCAAUGUAGCCGUCGGCCUCCUGCAUCUGCUUGUCCGCCUCUUCCUCCUCUUCUUCUACCUCUUCCUCCUCCUCUUCUUCCUCCGCCUCCUCCUCCUCCUCUUCCUCCGCCUCCUCCUCCUCUUCUUCUACCUCUUCCUCCUCCUCUUCUUCCUCCGCCUCCUCCUCCUCCUCUUCCUCCGCUUCCUCCUCCACCUCUUCUUCCUCCGCUUCCUCCUCCUCCUCUUCUUCCUCCUCCUCUUCUUCUUCUUCCACUUUGUUAGCCCCUUCCUUAUUCUCACUAGUGCGGGCCGGGCGCGCGGCCUCGAGCGCCCGGAGCUGGCUGAACCGGCGCGAGAUGGAGGAUUGGACGGUGGAGACGUGGGCGUCAAGGUUCUCCCAGGUGAAGGGGAGCGGGUAGGGCGAGCAGGCGGCCAGGCUGUCGAAGGCCUCGCGCAGGGCGCCCUUCUUGGCAGGGAGCUCGGCGAUGGCCGCCUCAAGGUCCUCCGUCGGCAUCAUCGCCGGCGCCGCCGUCCCCAUGGCUGGGCCUGGGUCGGAACCCGCGGCGAGGAGGAGUGAGGAAAUUCACACUUCACAGCGUCGGAGGCUCCCCGUCUCCCCCAAGUAGCGCUCGCCGUUGGGUCGGCCGGUCGCUAGCGCAGCAGCGGUCGACGAGGCAUCAGCCGCAGGCGACGUCAGCCCGGCAGCGCUUGGGAUUGGGCCCUCUCCGCCGCGGGAACUGGAUCUAGGCCUUGUUUAGUUCACCCGAAAAACCAAAAACUUUUCAAAAUUGUCCGUCACAUCAAAUCUUAGAGCACAUGCAUGAAGCAUUAGAUAUAGACGAAAAUAAAAACUAAUUGCACAAUUUGUCUGUAAAUCACGAGAUAAAUCUUUUGAGCCUAGUUAGUCUAUGAUUGAAUAAUAUUUGUCAAAUAAAAACGAAAAUGCUACAGUGCCGAAAUUCGAAAUUUUUUCAGAACUAAACAAGCCCUUAGUUUCCAAAAAUUUUCAAGAUUCCCCAUCACAUGGAAUCUUUAUACACAUGCAUGGAGCAUUAAAUAUAGAUAAAAAUAAAAACUAAUUGCACAAUUUGUCUGUAAUUUACUAGACAAAUCUUUUAAAUCUAAUUACUCCGUAAUUGGAUAAUAUUUGUCACAUACAAACGAAAGUGCUACAGUAGCAAAAACCAAAAAUUUUCGCAAACUGAACAAGGCCUUAGUUGACCCCGAAAACCAAAAAAUUUUCAAAAUUCUCCGUCACAUCGAAUCUUUUGACAUAUGCAUGAAGCAUUAAAUAUAGAUAAAAAUAAAAACUAAUUGCACAGUUUACCUGUAAAUCGCGAGACGAAUCUUUUGAUUCUAGUUAGUCUAUAAUUGAAUAAUAUACUUAUCACAAACAAACAAAAGUGCUACGGUAGCGAAAUUUAAAAUCUUUUCGCAUCUAAAACAAAGCCCUAUUUUCUUCGUCGCUUUGACCACCGUUUCCCCACAAUUAAGCGGUGGGAAAAUGAAUUAUUUUUCCACAAUACUUGUUUGUGUAGUCACAUGAAUGACGCGUGGCUCAUAGAUUUGCUUAACAAAUCUAUAUAAUUUAAAAUAUCAUCCAGGGAUACAGUCAUACAGAGGGUGAGACAAGGAAAGGGAAAUAGGUGACGGUUAGGAUUAGAUGAAGCGUAAAGAAUAAAUGGCGGGAUACAAAUGGUUUCUAUCCUUAUUAAUCCAACGUCCCAACCAUCAUCAAGGAUUAUGCUAGUGCUUGCAUGCAAGCCUGUGGGGGUAUAAACCCCUAUACCCUCACGGGCCUAUAUGGGCCGCACCAUCAGAGGUGGCUCGGCCCACAAGAUGAAGACGUGCGGCGCACGACUGGUCGGCGUGCACCGCAAGGCUACAAGAUAUUGUACCAAAUAGGAUACUUUGCUUGUAACUCUGUCCCUUCAGGAUAUAUAAGGAGGGGCAGGGGUCCCCUAGAGGACCUAUCACAUCAUAUUCUCUCAACACAAAUCAAUACGACCAGACGCAGGACGUAGGUAUUACGCCAACUCGGCAGCCGAACCUGGAUAAAAAGCUUGUCCGUGUCUUGCGUCACCAUCGAGUUCGUAGUUUGCGCACCGUCUACCGAUAAACUACUACCGUGGGUAUACCCCAAGGUAGACUGCCGACUAGCUUUCGUCGACAGUGGCGCGCCAGGUAGGGGGUGUGCGUACAGCUCUCCCGACGAACAAGAUGGCCAUCAUCCCCGACUUCGCGGCCAUGGCGGGCGACUUCACGUUCACCGUCAGCCUCAACAACUUCACCGCCAUGACCACGGAGGAGGUGUAGAUCCGAUCUGCGCCAACCACUUCUUCAUCGACGUCGGCGGCGGCUUCAACCACGCUGGCUACGGUUUCGACCACACCAGCAGCGUCUCCGACCACGCCGACAAUGCGUCACCUGCUUCCCUACUACAAAGAGAGGCAGAUCGAUGACACCGACCUGCUCAGCCUAUCAACCAAGUUGUUUGGCCUACUUGCUCUGACCACGAGUCGCAAUAAUAAUCGCCGCGAAGAACGGCGCUACGAUAACCGCGACCACCGUCACGAUAACAAGUCCAAAAGCUCGAGGGCCAAACAAUUUUGUCGUCACCGACCAGACUUUCAUCCAAAGAUAAGUACACUUCUAAUAUCUUAUUUAUUUUUGGCAUAAUAUUUUUUAUUAUCCUUCAAAAAACAACUUUUUGUUUAGCCACACUAGUUUUUUCUCCUACACGAGCUUUCCAGAGCCGGUACUGUCUCCGACUCCUCCCUACACGUGCACGAGAUCCGCCCUCUGCGUUCCGGGUGGUCGGCAGUAGCUCUCUGGCGAGGCUGGCAAUCCCACGCGUGUCUAGGUUCCGCACCUCAUGCUGAUUGUUGGCUAGACCAGAGCUGGUACAAGCUCUAGGAUGAAUUAACUACUCGUGCUAAUUUUAUAAUAAAAAGUCUAAAACUUAUCUCAGUGCUGAUUUUUUAUCUAGAGUUUAUUUAUACAUCAUGUACUACCUAUUUUCUCUAUAUUUAUUUUUCAGGAGUUUGGCCCAGUCGACAAGCUACGCUCGGGGACUCGUCGACUAUUCCCUACGCUGUGCCCGGGGACUGCUCCGACCACCGAGCACGUUUACGUUCCCAACCACGCUCGGGGACUUGUCGACUACUCUCUAUGCUAUGCUCGAAGACUGUGCCGACCACCGAGCACGUUUACGUUCCCAACCACGCUCGGGGACUUGUCCACCGGUCCCUACGCCGUGCUCGGGGACUGUGCCGACCACCGAGCACUAUACGCUCGGGGACUGGUCGACCAGCUCACCAAUUUAAGAGCUUGGGGACUGCACCGACCACCGAGCACUAUACGCUCGGGGACUGGUCGACCAGCCCACCAAUUUGAGAAUUCGGAGACUGUACCGACCACCGAGCGUUCUAUGCUCGGGGACUGGUCGAUUAGUCUAUUCAAUUGCAUACGAGCAUGAUAUGCUCGGGGACUGGUAAAUUCAAUUUUUUAGACCUUGCUACAAGGCUCAUACUUCGCCUUCCAGCAAGCUCGGGGACUACAUCGGUACGAUGCAUCUGGUGAUGCAUCUCAGUUUCAGAAUUUCUUUGAGGACUUUUCUUUUGACCCUGGCACCACGUGCCUACGUCACCUACUACCAGGCUCGGGGACUAAGUGGGCACACUUCACCUUGCGGUGAAUAUGCUUGCUUUUUGAAAGACUAUACUUUUCAGAAAAGUAAAGUGGGCACACUUCACCAGGAAAAAAUCUUUUUUUAAUUAAGAGCACCAUGCAUUCUUCGAACAACCUGCUUCUUCGAUGUCAAUGUUGAUCAACUGUCUUUUGAGUUGGUCAAAAUACCGUUGCAACUGUUUGGGCGACUUUCCUGUUUAUUGAAGACGUCAAGCCUCGCUGAUCGAAGAAGCUCAAGACGGCGUGUUACAUCACAAUACAUGGUGCUCGGGGACUAGCUGUGGGGGUAUAAACCCCUAUACCCUCACGGGCCUAUAUGGGCCGCACCAUCAGAGGUGGCUCGGCCCACAAGAUGAAGACGUGCGGCGCACGACUGGUCGGCGUGCACCGCAAGGCUACAAGAUAUUGUACCAAAUAGGAUACUUUGCUUGUAACUCUGUCCCUUCAGGAUAUAUAAGGAGGGGCAGGGGUCCCCUAGAGGACCUAUCACAUCAUAUUCUCUCAACACAAAUCAAUACGACCAGACGCAGGACGUAGGUAUUACGCCAACUCGGCGGCCGAACCUGGAUAAAAAGCUUGUCCGUGUCUUGCGUCACCAUCGAGUUCGUAGUUUGCGCACCGUCUACCGAUAAACUACUACCGUGGGUAUACCCCAAGGUAGACUGCCGACUAGCUUUCGUCGACUGGAGCAAAGUUAUUUACCUAGGACAGGAUAACGAACAACAUUUUUCUAGCAAAGUUAUUUAGGUAGAACAGGAUAAUAAAAUUUAUGUAUCUAAAAAAAAGCCAAAAUGAAAGAAAGGGCUCCGAUGCACAGAGAGGGCCUCGGUUUUAAAACGGAACCAAAAAAAAUAAAAUAUUUUAUAAUUUAUAAUGGAGGAAGUAUAUAUAAUAGAUAUAUAAAUAUUAUUAUAAAAUAAAAAAAUACUCGCUAUGUGGCAAAGGUAACAGAACAACCUGAUUUUUUUUACUUUAUUUCAAGAUAGUGGUAGUUACUUUUAUGACGAAGAUCACAAAAUUUACUCUCACCUACUCUUUUUUUUAUGACGAAGGCCUUGUUUAGUUUCGAAAAAUUUUUGGAUUUUGGUACUGUAGCACUUUCGUUUUUAUUUGACAAACAUUGUUCAAUCAUGGACUAACUAGGCUCAAAAGAUUCAUCUCGUGAUUUACAGGCAAACUGUGCAACUAGUUUUUGUUUUUGUCUAUAUUUAAUACUUUACACAAGAUUCGAUGAGAUAGGAAAUCUUGAAAAGUUUUUGGUUUUUGGGGUGAACUAAACAAGGCCGAAGUUCAUCAAAUUUACUCACCAUCCGUCGCCGGCAAGGCUGGCUGCGGCUGCCACUCAAACCCGCCGAACCCUUGCCGGCUUCCGCAAAGCUUCUGUGAAAUGUGCAAUUGCUGGUCUGCAGCCACUUCCAAGUUCCAACUGCAGCCAGUUCCUAUUUAUUAUAUAUAUGUAGUACUCCAGUCAUUCCAAAUUAUAAGUACCUUUGACUUCAAUAAAUAUAUAUAUAUUUUUUUUACACGUAGAUAUAUACUAAGUCUAAAUAUGUAAUAAAAUGUAUGUAUCCAGAAAAGACAGUAAAUUCGAAUUUGAACGGAGUACUACAUAUAACAUGAGCUGUCUCUCAGAUCACUGAAGUUCUCUAAGACACACACACAAGAAUAUAUACAUGCCAGACUGUCAGGUUAGAAGAAAAACAACUCCAGUCUCCAGUGUACCAAACAAACGAACCAAAACAUACCAGGCUAUUUGUCCAUAGUCCUAACUGAACUCCUGGGCAUAGUCCAUGUUCCACUGGGCGACUGAGCAUCACCACCCAACACAAGCAGGUACUGCUACCUGGGAUAGAACUGUGGAGGGUACAAGGGUGUAAAGGGUCCAAUGUACUCAGGUGCUCCAAGUGGCAUGAACGGUGAUGCACAAUGAACUCCAGGCCAGCCUGGCUGGGCAGGGUAACCAUGAUGGACUCCAUGCAUUGCGGCAUAUAGUGGAAGAUCCAAGUCGCCUCUCAGUGCCGCGUUCCACAUUGCAGGAUAACCCUGUGUUGGUAGCUGGUGAGUGCGUCGCCUCAGCCGUUUCUGACGUUUCUGCUUGUUCUGUUGCUGCUUCUCUUCUGGAUUAUCUUCUUGUUUCCGUUUCUUCUUUCCCGGCUCGUCUUCUUGUUUCUGUUUCUUCUCUUCUGGCUCAUCUUCUUGUUUCUGUUUCUUCUCUUCUGGCUCAUCUUCUUGUUUCUGUUUCUUCUCUUCUGGCUCAUCUUCUUGUUUCUGUUUCUUCUCUUCCGGCCUAUCUUCUUCUUUCUGUUGCUGCUCCUGUCGAGGCUUCCUUUGUUCCUUCUCCGGCUUCUCUGCCAACUCACUCAGUUGCCCUCGCAUCUGGUUUUCUUGUCCCUUUUGAUGCUCCUGCUUCUGCUCUAUCUUAAGCUUCUUCUUACUCUUUGUUUGUUGCUGCUGUGAAUUUGAAGUUGAGGCUGUCAAGGGAUUCUCUAAAUUCCGCUUCUGUUUUUCAAGCUCACCUAUCAAAAUGUUGAUUUCUUCCCUGAUACUCGUCCAGAGGUUGGAGUUGGUGAUUCCCUUCUUAUUAGCCAAAAUAUGUGCCCUUCUUAGAUUGUCAAGCUCCUUUAUUAUCUGCACACAGGAAGAUGCAAAACUAUUAAACUAAUAAUAUAGCAGAGAUCAAGCAGAUUGAGAUGAAUUAUGAAUAUAUAUUUGUCCCCAUAAGAAUAUUACAUGCUAGUCCCUUCUAAAAAAAAUAAUAUUACAUGUUUCAGCAUGAAACCUUACAAGGAAAUAGGCCACUCCAAAUAGCUCAAGCAUAAGACAUUAAAUUUCCCCAUUUUUUCUUAUAAAACUGGGUGAAACAACCAGUCAUGUAAACAAAUUUAAAAAAUAUAUUCUGCCACUAAAAUCAAUUUCUGGCACAUACCUGGAACUUGUGUGUCAUAUUCUUUUGAGGUAUUCCCAUAGCAGUCUGUUUUGCCUUUUCGAUAUAUCCCUUCAGAAGAUGAAGUGGAGGAUACUUGUCCACCAUAUUUAAAACGUGUGCCAACCAAAUAACAUCUAUUUGCUGCCCAUUUCUGAUCAAGUAGUCCAUUAACUCUACAAAAAAAAGGACGAAAGCAGCAAAAACAUUAACAAGCAGACCUUACACUGCAGAUGAGGUGGAGUCAGAGUUGAAAUGAUGGUUGGACAAGCAUUCUGAUGACUCAGCAUGCAAAUAUGCAAAACAGCAAUGAACUAAAUCAUCAACAGAUCAAGUGCAUAGUGAUAUACUCACUGAGGCUAUAAUAUACCCAAAUCAAUCAAAUAUAUCCAUCAAUAUCAUAUUACCAACUAUACUGCUUGGAUUUAUGUCAUGCGAAGGCCCAGUCCAUGAAAUGUACAAAAAUGUCCUUUCGGAAAAUUUCUUACAUGUGAUUUCGAUCAAGAGGUGGCACCGUGGCAGGCUGGCACAAUUGGCAUCAGGUAGGUAUCAAGGAAUAGGUCCAUCAAAGAAUAGGUUCACAUGGAAAUAGCACACGGAAACAGAUAAGUGAUAUAAUGGCGACUCUUAUGCCUCAGAUUAUUGAUAGUUUCAUUAUGAAAACUAGGAUUACUUAAUUAGACCUCUGUGCAUCUUAAGCUACCGACUUGCAUUGAUUGCUACUGCUCACUUGAAGUGAGGAAAAAGUAUGCAAAUUUUUAAAUAUCAUGGAUAACAGGAUAACUACUUUUGCCAUAGUUAUCUGUGAGUUGUAUAGUACAAGGCUGUAAGCGUAAAAAAUAAAAUGUUUAAACCAUAAGACGACUCUGAAUUUAAGUAAUGAGCAGAUAUUAAAGAUCCAACAUAUUAUGUUUUCCCAGCACAGUUUGAGAAAAAGUGCAGAACAUAGUAUAGUUAAUAAUGCCGAAAGAUGUGGUUGUACCUGGGAUUCUAUUGCCGAGCCCAAGACCCUUUAAGAGCACGACAGAUUUCCUCUUCUUCUUGCAUGGGAUGUUACCAAAGAGACAGAAGAUCUCCUUCCUGUCAAACUCAGUUACAAUGUUGUAGGAAAUAAGGAAGUUAAGGAGGCCCCACGAGGCUAGGCUGCCAAGGCCAUUGCAACUCUCUGGAUUGUCAAUCAUCUCCUUCCAAUCUUUAGCCACCCGCUUGGCCUGCUCAAUCGUGUCGGCAGAAGGCUUGGUAACAACUAGAGGUACCAUUUGAAUUAGCCCAACACAGCCUGCCCAGACCUUCCUGGUCUUAACAAAUAUCUUGUUGUGUAGGAAUAGCUCAACUACGUGAAGAGCCAGUGCUGCAGCAUCUGGAGCACGGCGAAGUGCAGCAUGAAACUCUGAAUUGAGCUCGGUGUUGGUGCAUAUGAGCUUGAGCAACCUCUGUGCAUCCAUGUUUGCACAUGCUACGGUGCAAUCAUCAGAUCUACAUGGAAAAGCUCGAUUACCCUGGUCCACAGACACCUCAUUGGCUACCGCCGCCUCCAGGUCCGUAGCAUUUUUGGUAACUUCCACCUUCUCAUGAACGUCCUGCUGUUGUGCUUCCUUCUCCCGCUUCAUGUCGCAAGCCUCCUCCCCUUUGUGCUGCACUAAAGAUACCAUAUUGGCCGCAGUCUCAUCCAUGUUGGUAUCCUGAUCCUCCUCCUCCUUGUCCUGAGAAGCCUUAAAAGCAUCUUUGGUAUUCAGCCCGUCCUUAUCAUUAUCAACCACCUGCAUCUCCUUGUUAUUAGGAUCCUGCUCGUUCACCUUACUGGCCUGCUCGUCCUCCCUUGCCUCCUUAUCAUCCUUCAUCUCAUUGCCAAUCUUCACGUUGGCCGCCUCUUCAACUUCCUCUUCCUCCACCACCCAAAUUUUAUGGUAGUUUGCUUCUUGCAUCUCCUCAUUGGCCUUCUUCUCCAGCUCUGCCAUCUCCUCCUCCACUUCCACCUCUCUGGUCUCCUUCCCGUCCUUUUCAUCAUUGCAAAUCUUAUUGCUACUGGCUUCGUGCAUCUCCUCAUGGUUCUUCUCUAGCUCCGCCACCUCCUCCUCCUCCUCCUUCACUUCCACCUCUUUCACAUCCUUCUCAUCAUUGCAAGCUUCCUGUAUCUCCUCAUCCUCAUCGGCCUUCUUCUCCAGUUCUGCCGCCUCCUCCUCCUCCUCUUCUUCUUCUUCUUCCACCUCCUCCUGGUUUUCUCCCUUCCCAUCGCCGCGAGUUCCACCCAACGCGGCAGCAGCGGGUGCAGCGCCGGCGGACUCGAGCACACGGAGCUGGCGAAACCGCAGCGCGAUUGACGACUGGAGCGACGAGAUGUGGCCGUCGAGGUCCUCCCAGGCGAAGGGGAGCGGCGAGGGGGAGCAGGCGGCGAGGCGGUCGAACGCCUCCCGCAGGGCGUCCCUCUUGCCGGGCAGGGCGGCGAUGGCUGCCUCCAGCUCCGCCACCGUCAUCGCCAUUGGAGCCGGGUGGUCAGGGCGGGCCUGCGCCAUCGGCCGGGAGGGUGUAGCGGGCUGGGGUUUUGGAGCGGCGGCGGAUUGCAUGGUGGUGGUUCCCAUCCCGAGUUCGACGGCGAGUCGGCGAGGAGCGGAACAGACACGUUUCACCUGGGCUCCUGCCUCCUGGCAAGGUUGCGAACGGACCCGGCAGAGCGUCUGGCCAGGCCGGGCCGGGCUAAAGGGCGAAGGCCCAACGGGAUGAACGCAGUUUUUUUUUUUCUCUCAAGGGCAUAUACUCUCAUCCAUUGUGUUCGCAUUGUGAAGUGUUUGAACACUUCUCAAUGCGAAUCCAACGAAUAGAAAGUUGACAGCAUAUGUUUUCAAAAGCAAAAUAAACUUUACUCUAAUAAAAUUAAAGUACCUAAAGAUGUUUUUUUCCCGAUGACGACCAAAUCUUAGAUGACACUCCAAGGAAAAAAUCGACUUGGUUUUGGGAACACAUUUCUAACGUUCAUUUUACAAUUUUUUUCUCAAAAGAACUUUUGUAUUUGUAAAAAUCUUGCACAAAGCUCUUUAUCAUUUAAAUUAAAAAAACUUUAACCUUUUUCUAAAACGAUAUUUGUGUACGACUUUUACUUCAAAAAAGAAUAAAAACAGACUCGCAAGCUUUUAUAUCAGUUUUUGAAAGCUAAGGGGAUCCAUUAUCAUUUUUGCGGGGAGGUAGGGGUGGUUGUUGAGGGGUGAGCUACUAUUUCAACGAAUGAACAAUGUUUUUAUUUUACGAUAAAUUAGCGAAUACUACUUUCAAUCACACAACAUGGCUAAAAAUAAUGCUCACUGAUUUAUUGUGAGAGAAAAGUAUGGGUUUAGAAAAAGGACCGAUAAAAAAUUGACAGAGGGAGCAUAUAUUUUUUGUGGAAUAUUUGAAAGAAAAAACCAAGAAUGAUUCAUCUUCCAAGUAUGGCGAUGCAAGAGUGCAGGUGGUAUUUAUCAAGACAUCGACUUCUACAAUGAUCUGUUGUGAACAAUGUUACAACUUCAGGAGCACCUACCUACCUGUUCCCCGUAGAGGCACAAUGGCGGAGCACUAAAAUCGUGGCUCCGCUCCGGUGGCCCCUCCUCUCUUUUGUUGAUUUGUGUGAAAGACGAAACUAUUUUUAAUUUACCACAGUGAUCAACAAUGUUACACAGUAACUGCGUAGAGAAGUCAAAGCACCUUGGAGCCGAACUAUGUGCUCGGGUCCGGUCAGCUGAAAACGCUGCAUCUGUGGUAGGCUGUUUGGUGGAAAGCUGCAGGGUGCUUUCUACGCUCUCUUUUUUUUUUCUAGCCUCUUUUUGGUUUUUUAUUUCCUUUCGGUGGUCUUUUUUCGUUUUUUUUGUUAUACUGAUAAUUUGGCUUCAAAGCUCUCUCGCUAACUUUUUUUUUUUAAAAAAAACUGCUGAUAUGGAACCUGCCCACCAAAACGCAAUAAGGCCUUGUUUAGUUCCCUUACGAAAAUGUGGCACUUUCGUUUAUAUUUGUCAAUUAUUGUCCAAUCAUAAACUAAAUAGGCUUAAAAGAUUCGUCUAGCAAAUGGAGUGUUUGGUUGGGGUGAUAAAAUUUAACAGGAUAACUAUUGUCCAUUAUGGAUUAAUUAGGCUCAAAAGAUUCGUUUCGCAAAUUAUAAUCUAGCUGUUGUUUUAGUUUUGCAAAUUAUCAUCAUGCUUUUAAGAGCAGACACGGUGUCGGCCCGGUAUCAGGGAACUUGUGAAACUUGAAGCAUCAAGUUCUGUGACUUGUGAAAAUUGUGGCUUUUGGCAAAUGAAAUAUGAUAUGUGAGUAUAUAUUAUGUUAUGUGAAUUGUGAAGUAUCAAUGUCUGUAACUUGAAUGUGAUUUACUUAUACUUUGUUGAAUUUUGUAUUAAAUUUGGUGUUUUUCAUAUAGCGGGCCAUGAGUCGGCCCAAAUGACUAUUGAGCAUCGUGCUUUUCGAGCCGGCCCGGCCCAAAAAUCAGCCCACGUGCCAUGCCUGGGCCAUCAGGCAGGCACGGUGGCCUGUGGAGGCACGGGCCAUAUGGGCACGGGCCCGGGCCGGACGGGGCCGGUGUUGACGGUCCUUAAGUAUCAAAUUUAAUUAUCAAAUAAAUAAAGAAAAGGAUCCAAAUGAAAUCAACAUCCAGACUUAGGGUUUUAUCUGACAGAAUUCCACGAGUUUUGGUGUUUGUCUAUUUCUGCAGGGGGUUAUCACGAAAUAUAGAAGAAAGGCCCACAUGUCAGGAUUACGUAAAGAUAUUAACGUGCUGCGCAAUUAUCUUACAUCUAGAAGACUCCAGAAGCCACGAGACCGAAGCGGAGGCGAAUCGGGGCCAGAGGCAGGGCGCCCGCCCUGACCUACUGGGCGCCCGCCCCCUGUCCAAGUCCAAUCAGGACUCUGCUUUGCGGGAAGUCUCCACCGACCUAAAGGAUGAAUCUAAACCAUACAAUCUAUGUCGGUUUGAUCCAAGGGCCCAUAUUCACUUGGAGGGACUAUAAAACCAGACCCCCUGGCCCCUGGAGGAGAGAGCCUCUCAACCCUAAUUCAUUGUUCCAUCAAGGGAGAAGAAGCCUCUGAUCAAGAUUAGAGCCACCACAUCAAUUAGACAUCUAGAUUAGCAUAGCUACAUAGGAUUAGAACUAGAAGGAGUCAAUCUUCGAUUGGUUUCCGGAUCUGUCAAGAGGAUUCUUGGUAAUUCUCUAAUUGUGUUUCUAAUUGCUUUCUAAUUAUCUUUGUUCUUCAAUAUUAUGAAUAUGACUUUGUUCUACUUCAAUAUAUUGCUUAUGACUUUGCUCUACUUGCUUAUAUUCAAGAUUAUAUUGUUCUUAGUUUAUCAUAGUUAUGUACUUGGCUUAGUUAGAUACGAUCUAUAUACAUGCUUAGGAUCGUAUAGCGUUUAUCCAUCGGAUCCAUGGGUAAAUGAUAGAUAUUGUGUAGGCGUGGUGCUUAUACCGUAUUUAUCUGCGAUUGUACCCAAUAUGCCAGAUCGUGGGGUGGUUCGUGAUAGUGACAGCUUCAUUGAUUCUUAUAUAGUCCCCCACUCGUGUAUUAGGCUGGCAGAGCAACAUUAUUACAGGGGAGUGAUUGCUAUGUUUCUCAUAUUCCUUGCUAAUAUCACUAUGCAUGGGCGUAGUCUUGUCUCGCAAUGAUUGCUAAGUAUGCUUGCACUAACUAUGAUAUGCUAGACUAUAUAGUUAAGAAUAACUUAGGGAAUAUUCUUGUAGUUCGUUCUAAUACCAUGCUAAUGACUUUCUAGAGUAUCUAAUUGAGGUGCUUAUCAUAUUUAUUAUGUGGCUAGAUCAGAUUAGGUAUCCUUGUCACUAUUAUUAUUUCAUAUAUCUUUUAUGUGACACUUAUCCCUGUAUGAAGAGUUAGAUAUAAUGUUCUCAAUUAUACAUGCAAUGAUAGAUGCUCAAUCUCAUAUUCUAUUCUGUAAUCAAUAGUGAUGAUCGCUAAUCCCUUCCCAAUGGUAAAAAUAUAAAUAACGAUACCUGGAAUACUUCCCGGUUAAAAUGCUGCAUCGGUAUUAAUCUGUGCGCUUGCAGAUCCCAUUCAUUAUUUAUUUAGAAGAGCAAUUGCAUAUUUCAAUACCGCGUCUCUUAUAUCAUGUUGGGGAUGACAACUUGGCUUAAGUGGUGUGAGGGAUAGGUUUGGCAUUUUUGGCACCGUUACUAGAUUUAAAGAACUUAGUCUACUUUUGGUAAUGAUGUUAAGAAUACCCAACAAGCAUUUUUUGGUGCCGUUGCCGGGGAAGGUUGAUUACCAAUCAGGAAUAGAAUAAAAGAUUUUGAGUUAUCAUUCGCAUCACUAAUAUGAUUGAGCUUAUCUAUUCUCUCAUACAGUUUUACUCCGAUAUUUUUCUAUUUUAUCUUAUGCAGGGGAAUGUAUGAAUAGAAGACAUCUUCCAGGAAAUUUUGUUGACAAUCCCAAAGCAUUAUUCAAGAAGACGAGAGCCAAGCUAGAGAAAUCAUCAACACUUCAGCAAGAAGCUUCAUCCAAUCAAGAAGAUCACCGGAACUUGUCUUCAGAGUUCGAGGCCAUGGCGAACAAAUCAAUCCGCGAGUUCUCAGCUCCCACUACGGACAACAUCCGCACUGGACCUGCUGCAGAGAUCGAUGGCAACUUUGAGCUCAAGCCUGGACUUAUCAACAUGGUGCAAUCCAACCAGUUCUGUGGGAAGGCACACGAAGAUGCUAGUGCUCAUCUCCAACACUUCCUAGAGAUUUGCAACACAUUUACCAUAUCAGGAGUCCCCAAAGACGCUGUACUACUUCUCCUCUUCCCAUUCUCACUGUUAGGAAGAGCGAAGCAGUGGUUCUAUGCUACAAAGGAGAAGAAUACUACGUGGGCACUCUGCUCAACAAACUUCCUGGCAAAGUUCUUUCCCAUGGGCAAGACCAAUGCUCUCCGUGGGAAGAUUACAAGUUUUCAGCAACAAAAUGAUGAAUCUGUUCCAGAAGCAUGGGAGCGCAUUCAAGACUACAUCCUAGAAUGUCCCCAUCAUGGAAUGGAGAGUUGGCUAUUGAUGCAGACAUUCUAUCAUGGGCUCAGCAACAGUGCCCGAGAGACCAUGGAUGCUGCAGCUGGAGGAGCAUUCUUAUCACUUACUAUACCACAAGCCACAGCUCUUGUAGAGAAGAUGGCGUCCAACCAAAGCUGGAAUGAAGAGAGGACCCAGACACGCAAGAGAGGUGGAGGUAUGCAUCAGCUGAAGGAGGUAGACAUGCUGUCUGCAAAGCUAGACCUGCUCAUGAAGAAGCUCGACGAUAGAGCUGGAGAUAAGAAAGAAGUUAUGCACAUCUACGACUCUCACAUGACUUGUGAGGAGUGUGGAGACACUGGACACUCAGGCAACCACUGCCCUGAGAUGCUUGAGGAUGUGAACUACAUCAACAACAACUACUACUACUACUACUACAACCGUCCUCAACAAAAUCAAGGUUGGAAUCAACAGAGGCCUAACUACUCAGGUAAUUAUCAAGGUAACAAUUCUUACAACAAUAAUAAUUUUCUACCUUUGAGAGAGUUAGUGUCUAAUCAAGGCAAGCUAAUGGAUAAUCUAUCUAAGAAAUUGGCAUCUAAUGAUAAAAUGCUAGAAAAUAUAAAUAAUAGAAUGGAUAAUUUUUCUACUGCCAUCAAGAAUCAAAUUAGCUUUAAUAAAAUGAUUGAAUCUCAGUUAAAUCAAAUAGCUGCUGCUGUUCCUACUACUAACCCCGGUAUACCAUCACAACCGGAAGGAUUAGAAUCUGUAAAUCUUGUAGACAUGUUUGAUGCAGGUAAUUGGAGUAACCCCGUCACUGAAUUCACUACUGACCGUCUGCCGGUCAAGAGAGGCGAUCCAGGACGCCCCGUCAUCCCGAUUUCCAUCGGCAUGGUGGACGUUCCAGAAGCACUCUGUGACUUUGGCUCCAGUGUCAACAUUAUACCCAGGGUACUCUAUGAAAAAUUCUUUAUAUAUCCUUUAUUAGAAACAACCAUGUGUUUGCAGUUUGCAGAUCAGACGAUAACUUUUCCAAAAAGAAUAGUGAGGAACCUUUGUGUCCGAGUUGGUACCUUAUAUGCCCCAGCAGACUUCGUAGUGGUAGAGACCGGAAAUGAUGAGAGAGCACCUAUCAUCCUAGGGAGGCCAUUCUUGAACACCACGGGAGCUAUCAUCUACGCCAGUGCUGCCAAGAUCAGUUUCUACGUCAAAGGGAAGAAGGAGACAUUUUUCUUCAAGAACAAGACUACACAAAUACAAGAUCAAUCCAGACGUAAAUCAAGGAAGAGGACCAACAGGAGGAACAGGAACAAGCAAGUGUGGACCGAGUCAGCUAAGAUGGUCACUGUAGUUCAUGGAGGCCAAGAUCAUCAACUUAAGUCACCGUUUUUGACCAAGAAGGACGACCCAGGAAUGCCAAGCAUCUACUGCUCCAUAAAUGGAUACAACUUCUACAAGACGAUUUGCGACACCGGAUCGGGCGUCAACAUAAUGGACGCAGUCACCUAUCGGCUCUUGUUCGGGACCAUGCCACUAAGACCAACAUACAUUCAGCUCCAGAUGGCAGAUCAGACAUUUCGAGAAGUCAAAGGAAUAAUAUCUGAUGUCCCAGUCAAAAUAGAUGAUCACUUUGUCUACACAGACUUUCAAGUUAUUGACAUGGGAGAAGACGAGUAUGAUCCACCCAUCAUCCUUGGAAGACCGUUCCUCAGCACCGUUAAAGCAAUUAUCUACAUUGGAACCGGAGAAGUCCAUAUGCACUUCCCCUCAGAAAAGGUACGCCGUUAUUUUACUGACCCUAACUAUAUCGUUGAAGAAUCUAAGCAGGUCAGAAAGAGACGCAACCGCAACCAGAGGAGGCAGAUCAUCAAGGACGGAUGGGCAGACUAUGAAGGAGAAGUUGUAAGGUCAGAAGACGUUGAGUUUAAACAGAAUUAUCCAGAGGAGAUUGAAGCACCAAGUCAGGUGUGGAAAAUGAAGAUAACUAUACAAGAAGAGGAGGCGCUACCGGAAGUACCGACUACGCCACCCAACGAACCUCAGGACGAUUAAGAAAAUGGAGAGUCCCGUUCGGAGGACUUAAAAAAACCGAACGCCUUGCCAAGAGGUAAACUUGGUAGUUAUCCUUUCCCUUUCAAUUAUUUCAAAUAGUUUACUUAGUUAAUCAUAUUCAUACUAUCUUAAAAAGAAAAUAAAAAUGUGAAAAACUGUAAGCCCCAUGUGAGUAGACGAGUGGCAUAAAACCCAUAAGUACAUUCACUGUGGUGGCAUAAAAAUAAAAUAAAUAUUUUUCUGCUUUAUAAAAAUAAAAAAAUAUAAAAACAGGGAGUAAAAUUUAUUAAGGAGUCUCAACAUGAUAAAGGCUAGAUAUUUAUGCUAACACUUAAUCAGUUCCAUAAGCUUUGUUGUCUAUUUGAACUCCACAGAAUUUAAGAAUCAAGAAGACUAGCAGACGGAGGACAUUCUAAUCGCUGUCAGAAUGCUGCUGACUUUCAAAUACACCUCUGCCACCUGCUAGCUACAUCAAGAGAAAUUACGUCAAAAUUCAGCUUGGGGGAAAGCACCCCCAUUUAUCUCGAUAAGUAUUUCUAUCUAUCUUCAUACUUAUAUUAUAUUACAAUAUUAAAUAUACAUAAACUAUGGAAAACCAAAUAAAGAGUUUAUGCUUAUAUAUAUAUUUUGCUUAGUGUGUUUAAUAAAUAAAUAAAGUGGCUAUGCUAAUCUGUAUCUAAAUAAAACUUAAGCAUGGAUAUGAUGAAUAGUUGCUCUGCCUAAUUUGCACAUUUUAAGUUCUCUCUCAAGUUUAGAUAUAACUGUUAUAAUUUACAGCUUGCUCUAGACCUAAACUUGUGUGAUGAAAACUUGAUCUGAAGUCUAAGUUGUUAACGGAUAUUAUAUGGGAAGGUUGAGCUGCUGUUUAUCUGUUCCUAGAGAUGCUAGAAUUCUGGAGAAUUUUAUCUUUGAAAAUCUUUAAAAUGUUGCAUGAUGAGUUCCUGUAUGAUGAGAGUUUAAAUUCCUACCACAGCCAUAUAUACAUGCUUGCUAGACUUUGAGACACACAUUUACUAUUUACUGCUUAUGAGCAUUGAGUGUGGUCAAGCUGUGUAGACCCUUAGGAGCUUGUCAUGUGGUUAAAUCAAGAUUUCACUUGCACGUUCACUCAUAUAUGCUACUUCUACUCCGGAAGUACCAUCCACAUAUAUCCAUCCAUUUCCAUCUCCAGAAUCACCCAAAAAUAUUCUACUCCUAAUCCGGGAGAGAAUAACCAAAAAUAUUUCUGUUUUCCCUUUGUGAAAUAAAUGCUCAAGUUAUCUUGUUACUACCACUUGCUAUAUUAUCUCAAGAGAUGAAUGCUCUAAAAAGAAGAGAGAAAAAGAAGAGAAAAAAAAUAUACGAGGAAAUAAAAAGGAGCAAGUGCUCGGAACCUCGAAAGAAAAGAAAAGUGAGACGAGAGGUAAAAAUUGGACAAGUGUCCGACAGUAGAAUUAGGGGUGCAAGAUACCCACCUGAGAGGAAAGAAAAAAAAGAUAGAUCAUUUCAUUCUCAUAAAGUUUCAAAAGCAAGGAAGGUAUGUAUCCCCUCAAAGAGCAAAGUAGAAUUAGACUUCCACCACCAUUGUUUCCAUCAUUGUUGUCACCAUCAUCACCGUACACCACUCAUUCGCCACACAUGCACAUCUUGAUUUGGCUUAUUGAUUUGUUUCUUUGGAUCCAUGGUUUGACUAUGCAAUAAAUGUCUUGUAAGUAUGUAUACUUUAUCUCCCACCUAUGAGCUCCAGAUAUUAAAGCCUUAUUAGAGUAGGGUGACAGAGAAGGCAAUGUCACUCUGCCUCAUACCACAAAUACCACAUAUCUUGAGAGAAGGCAUAUACCAUCACUGCCUUGGUAAGGAUCCAAAAAUACCACAAAAGAGAGACCUGAGAGAAUCAUACAAGGAAUUUCUGAGUUUUAUUUGAAAAUCUGCAAAAACCCCAGAGCUAUAGCUGAUCAAGAAUAAGAGACAUGGCACUUGGCUAGACUGUUCUAUCUUUUAACCACUGUGGAUAGAAGUGACGGUUACAAGUCCCAUGGUGAAGGUAAAGUAAGUAAGUUUUAAGUCUUGACAGUUUACUCUAACUCAGAGAUGAGAUCUUAUUUAAAAAGCAUGUGUACCGUCAAUUUUUAAAGAUAUUGCAACUACUUAUGAUCCAUAGCUGAGUCUAUCCUUGCUCAGGGACGAGCAAGAGGUAAGCUUGGGGGAGUUUGUUGACGGUCCUUAAGUAUCAAAUUUAAUUAUCAAAUAAAUAAAGAAAAGGAUCCAAAUGAAAUCAACAUCCAGACUUAGGGUUUUAUCUGACAGAAUUCCACGAGUUUUGGUGUUUGUCUAUUUCUGCAGGGGGUUAUCAGGAAAUAUGGAAGAAAGGCCCACAUGUCAGGAUUACGUAAAGAUAUUAACGUGUUGCGCAAUUAUCUUACAUCUAGAAGACUCCAGAAGCCACGAGACCGAAGCGGAGGCGAAUCGGGGCCAGAGGCAGGGCGCCCGCCCUGACCUACUGGGCGCCCGCCCCCUGUCCAAGUCCAAUCAGGACUCUGCUUUGCGGGAACUCUCCACCGACCUAAAGGAUGAAUCUAAACCAUACAAUCUAUGUCGGUUUGAUCCAAGGGCCCAUAUUCACUUGGAGGGACUAUAAAACCAGACCCCCUGGCCCCUGGAGGAGAGAGCCUCUCAACCCUAAUUCAUUGUUCCAUCAAGGGAGAAGAAGCCUCUGAUCAAGAUUAGAGCCACCACAUCAAUUAGACAUCUAGAUUAGCAUAGCUACAUAGGAUUAGAACUAGAAGGAGUCAAUCUUCGAUUGGUUUCCGGAUCUGUCAAGAGGAUUCUUGGUAAUUCUCUAAUUGUGUUUCUAAUUGCUUUCUAAUUAUCUUUGUUCUUCAAUAUUAUGAAUAUGACUUUGUUCUACUUCAAUAUAUUGCUUAUGACUUUGCUCUACUUGCUUAUAUUCAAGAUUAUAUUGUUCUUAGUUUAUCAUAGUUAUGUACUUGGCUUAGUUAGAUACGAUCUAUAUACAUGCUUAGGAUCGUAUAGCGUUUAUCCAUCGGAUCCAUGGGUAAAUGAUAGAUAUUGUGUAGGCGUGGUGCUUAUACCGUAUUUAUCUGCGAUUGUACCCAAUAUGCCAGAUCGUGGGGUGGUUCGUGAUAGUGACAGCUUCAUUGAUUCUUAUAUAGUCCCCCUCUCGUGUAUUGGGCUGGCAGAGCAACAUUAUUACAGGGGAGUGAUUGCUAUGUUUCUCAUAUUCCUUGCUAAUAUCACUAUGCAUGGGCAUAGUCUUGUCUCGCAAUGAUUGCUAAGUAUGCUUGCACUAACUAUGAUAUGCUAGACUAUAUAGUUAAGAAUAACUUAGGGAAUAUUCUUGUAGUUCGUUCUAAUACCAUGCUAAUGACUUUCUAGAGUAUCUAAUUGAGGUGCUUAUCAUAUUUAUUAUGUGGCUAGAUCAGAUUAGUUAUCCUUGUCACUAUUAUUAUUUCAUAUAUCUUUUGUGUGACACUUAUCCCUGUAUGAAGAGUUAGAUAUAAUGUUCUCAAUUAUACAUGCAAUGAUAGAUGCUCAAUCUCAUAUUCUAUUCUGUAAUCAAUAGUGAUGAUCGCUAAUCCCUUCCCAGUGGUAAAAAUAUAAAUAACGAUACCUGGAAUACUUCCCGGUUAAAAUGCUGCAUCGGUAUUAAUCUGUGCGCUUGCAGAUCCCAUUCAUUAUUUAUUUAGAAGAGCAAUUGCAUAUUUCAAUACCGCGUCUCUUAUCCUUUUUAUUCACUAGAAGAAGUGUUGUUUACCAAAUGGUUUCUUGAAAACAGUUUCAACUCUACCGGAAGAGUUGUUUUUCAUGCUAAAGCUGAGAAGAUGUUGACUUAUGACAAACAAGCCCUCAGUACAUAGGAGAGAAAGUACUAGUACGGAGUACAUGAUAAUGGUAAGCAGUAUGACAACUACAAGUCCUUUAUUCGAUCCUUUUUUAGAGAAAAUAUAUUGUUAACACUAGAUAAUUUAGUAGCCAGAUAUUCUCCACGUCUUGUGUCGUCGCUACCUCAAAUCCUCUCAGCUCAUGGGCAUCUGUGCCUGUUAGUGUCCCUUGUUCCUCACAAAGGAGCGAUAUUAACCACCAAUUAGCUAUGCACUUUGAAUCACUACUACAGUCAAGUACUGCAGGGGCGGCUAAAUAAGCUCUGUAAGGGCGGCUGGCCCAGCCGCCCUUAUGCAAACGCUCUUACAGUGGAAUUCACUGUAAGGGCGGUUCAACACCAGCCGCCCUUACAGUGGCCCACUGUAAGGGCGAUUGGAAACAACAGCCGCCCUUACAGUGGCCUACUGUAAGAGCGGUUGGUGCUUCCAGCCGUCCUUAUAGUGAGCCUUAGUAAGGGCGGCUUGUGUCUCAGCCGCCUCUAUUGUCUGCAUUUGCAAUGGCGGCUCUAUCUAGAACCGCCCCUACAGUUAUUUUUCAGAAAAAAAAUAAAAAUUACUAUAAUCGAGUUGACAGCACAGCACAGCACCACAUACAUAUAUACAUAUAUAAUCAGAUUCUCAACAUCACAGAUUCACAACAUAAAUAUCCAUACAUAUACACAGCACCACAUUUCAAGUCCAAAAUGUUUCCAUGUCCAAAUCCAUCCAAAAGAGUCCGAAAUUUUUCAGGUACUAAUACAAAUCGAUCACAGUCCAUUCCAACAAGUUCACAUGUAAUCAACGACCUAGACAUAGCCUAUCCCACUGACGGAGGUGCUGGUAAAGAGGAUUGCUACCUAAGUCGGACUGUGGGUUAUGGUAAUCACCUUUGUAAUAAACAACAUGGUUCAUUAUAAAGUUGCAAAGGUCACCAACAAUCUCUAAGAGGUCAUCAUCCCUGUAGACAUCCCUUUUUAGUCCUUUUUCUUCUUUCCACUACAAGAUCGUAAAAGACAAGUUUAGGUCUAGUGUAAAGAAGAGAUUGCAAAGCUAAGUGAGAAAUACUAUGUUUUCAUACUACAACCCACUAAGAGAUUCAAACUUACCAAUUCAGGGUGUCUCCUGUAGCCUUUUGUGUUACUGAUGAAAGCACAUACAUAGUAUCCACAAUGCAGACUCCCUGGCCUUUGCUUGGGAAACUUUGUUUUAAUUUGCAAAUGGAGAUGUGUCAAGUAUAAGUACUGAAAAAAUUAGUAAUUUUAUGCCAAACUAAGUCGCACUUACCGAACAUAGAGAUUUAAAACGCAAGUGGCUCCCCAGACCUGGAUCAUGCCUUCCUUUGUGAUUCUUGACAUAGGCCCUGAAUGCCCUGUUUGAAUAAAAAUCGAUGUGACUUGUAGUAUGGAGAAGUCGAUAUUAAAGUGAAUCAUAUAAGGUUACUAGGAUUACAAAUUUGCUUACGUAAUGAGAAUUGACAUGAAGUCUUUAUAUGUGUGAGGGUCAAAAUCUGCAGAAUCACAAAUCCAUGCCAUGUUCAUCCCGACAUCGAGACCUAUGACUAUCCAGUGAUUGCUACAACAAUUUUAAAUAAACACAUAAGUACCUUUGCAUCAAAAUAAGAUAAACCGAACAAUCGUUAAGUAUACAAUUAAUCGAACUUACUUGAAGUGGUAUGGAAUCCAUAUUGUUUCGAAGUGUUGGAGAUUCUUUAAACAUACGGCAAUCCACGCCGCAACCUUAAGAGACUCUUCUCUUAUUUUGGCCGCACGGAUCUUUUCUUUCUCCGCCAACGUCCCUCCAGCAGCUAGCUGUGGCGCAUCCAAUUCCCAUCUCGAUGGGUAAUUAAAAUUUAUUUGUGCUAUAGGCAUAGGGUCUACAUACCCGGCUUUCGUUGAGCGUGUAGAUUUCAUAAAGUUUGCUUGCAUUCUAAAAAUCAUGACGUAAGUUAGUUUUAGCAAAAUCCAACUAGGUUACUUUCAAAUCAUAUCAAGAGGAAGAGGACUUACAGGCACCAAGUGCGAAUCAGAUUCAUCGACAUUGAACUAAGGUGAAAGCAUGAUUGGAUGUCGCUGAAGUCAAAGGCAAUACCCGAAGCAGGGCCUCCAAAUGUGCGAGCAGGUAUUACUGCUUCCAACACAUUCAAUUCUGUACGUGAAACAUGCAAGUAGUACCAAUCAUGGAACCUUCUCAUUCCAUAUGGCAUCUUACACAAGACCCGGUUUGGUAGGAAACGUUUGCCUUUUACAUAUUCUUUCGGGCAAUCCUUUGACCACUUGAUAGUUUCAACAUCUGGAUACUUUGUUAUCGUUGUGUAGUCUGAGGUGUCAGUGGGCAUCCUGUAGGCAAAUUUGUUCGGGCCUUGGUUCUCAGGCUUGAACUGGUCAUGAGCAUACCACUUGUACAUACCCGAGACAUUCAUAUCCACAAAAGAUUUUGACCCUGUCGACCUUAUCAUGAUGGGGAUCUUUUCACGAGCUUCACAUACUAGAGGGAGUAGUUCUUCAUGUGUCGGCGGUGCUUGUUGAAAAGUCUGUGUCAUCUCAUCAUGGCCUUGCUCGGGGCGAGCUGGAGAAUGUUGUGGCUUAGGAGGCACAUGUGCUGUCUCGUCAUGCUCUGACUCGGCACGAGUUGUAGAAGGUUUUGGGCUAUGAGGAACAUGUGGUGUCUCGUCACGCUUUGGCUCGGCACGAGCUGUAGAAGGUUGCGGACUCUGAGGCACAUGUGGCAUCUCAUGCUCUGGCUCCGCACGAGCUACAGAAGGUUCACCUAUUUGAGGCUCAUGUGGCGUCUCAUCAUGCCCUGGCUCGACCCCUUGCUCACCAGCGGUUGGAGAAGCCGGUACCCUCUCAUGCAUCAAGUGGUCCUCAUGAGACGGUGAAUACACCGCUCCAUCCUCAAGGUGGACUCUCUCCAGGUGUACAUCACUUGGAGUUGGCGAGGAAACAUUCAACACAAUAUCCUUUUUGUACCAGAGGAUGAACUGUUUCAUGAGUAGUCCAAGCUCACGAAUCCCCUCGCUAGUUGGGUGUUCAAUCUUAUGCUUCGCGUACUCGGGAUUCACGGUAUGCACCUCAACCUUACUAUAGUCGGCCGGGACCGGUUUAUGGUGCCAGAUGUCGCUUGGAAUUGGAGGAUGUGCCAGACCCGUUGCCACCUCAGCCAUCUCCUGUCCCCUACCGAUGGGAAUCAACAGGAUGCAACGAGUUGGCACCCGUAUGUGAUCGACUGAGGCGGAGGCUGCAUUGGAACCUUGGCUGCUUUGAACAUUUGGAGGGCUACCAACUAGAACCAAAUCCCUAGGCGGCUCCAUUUGUGACCGUCGCUCAGUAGAGAGUCCUUGCUCCUGUAGUUCCUUGGCAACUAGGGUCUUCACUAGGGUGGCAAGACUCACCUCCCAGUUUCUACCAUGUUUCUUGUACAUCUCCACAUCCUCUCGAAAUCCUUCCUUCCAUGUCUUAUGUUUCCCUAAACCCCUGACACGGCCUGGGUGCUUGGGGUUUCCCAAGCCAAGGCUAAGCUCGUCCUUCUCUCUAGAAGGAGUGAAUGAGCCCUUCUCGAUGUCUUCAGAAUAUUUCAUUAUCCUUGACACUGCCUCCUCGGUCUCUGGCUUGGCAAAUUUCAGACUGCUGCCUGAUUCUUCAAGAUUCCUUGCAAAGAGCCAACGCUUGGUGCGUGGCUUCAAUUUCAUUACUUUUGUAUUCCCAGAAGCUACGGCCUCCUCUUCCAUCUUUCUAAACAUCUCUUCCUUUCCCUCGUAGCCACCGGGGCCUAGAUGAGGGUGGUGGAUGUUCUUCUUCGCCUGCAAGCUGUUCUUUUCACUUAAGGCCAAAGAUUCUGGUGCAGUCUUCUCAGCCACGAGCAACGCCCAGAUAGCAGGAGUGAUGUGUCCAUACUUAUGGUACGGAGUUAACCCCUUUUUGAUGUACUCGGUGUUCAGCUCAUUCCUCCAACGUCGGAAGGAUUCUCCCAUCAUCUUCAUAGCACGUCGUCUUACUGGGGGUAGCUUCUCUGCCGGAAUCCUAAAAUUAAAAUUGACCAACAGACGGUUUUUCCAUAGGUCAUCCUUUAUGUCCUCUGGAUAGUCGUGCCAAUUACGGAUUGAUGGGUUCAACUUGUCUCUGACUAGGGCCCCAAUUGCAUUGCGGAAUUUUGAUUGGAACUCCUUUGGCUUAAGGAUCUGCCCUUCUUCCCCAACCUCAUCAAUCACAUAAACCAUUUUUGCAUUUGGAUAGUGGUUUGGCUUUCUGACCCCUCCUUUCCUUUUCACUUUGGUAGUCGAGGCCGAGGUUGUGCCUUCAGGUUGCGGAGCAGAGGCCACAAUCGUAGUCUCUGUGCCUGUUGCCUCUGCCCUCCUUUCCCUUGCCCCGUCGUGUCCGGCGAAACGUGCCGGACGCCGACGUGGUCUUUUUGGAGGUUUAGGAGGGACCUGUAUAAACAACAGGUGAAAGUGUUAGUAGAGGUAACACAGCCAUAUCGUUACCAAAAUUUAUGAUUUUUUAAGUGACCUUCAUAUCCCUACCUUCUCGUUUGGGUCAAAGUCCUUGUCCAACUCAUCCGUCGUUGGCUUCCGUCUAGGUUCACAUGGGUGUGGAUCCUCAGGACUUUCAUAUCCCGAGGUUGAGUCAUCGUCCUUGCUAGAUCCUUCAUCAGGCUCUUCUCUUCCCGCUUCUCCACCUUGCUCCUCGCCAGACUCCUCCUGAGUAAGCAUAAAUGCUACACCAUUGCCCACUUCUUCAUCAAACUGUUCCUGAGAAAACUGAUCAUGUAUUUCUUGCUCUCUAGGGCUAGGGUGCUCUUCAUGUUCGUUGGAUCGGGCUGCAUUGCUUGUUGUCCGUGUCAUUUCGUGAUUUGUUCUAACAGAUGAAAGGAAUAAAGUGUGCUUUAGUAGUAGUAGUAGUAGUAGUAGUAGCAGCAGCAGCAUUAGUAGUAGUAGCAGCAGCAGCAGCAGCAGUGCUUUAGUAGUAGUAGUAGCAGCAGUGCUUUAGUAGUAGUAGUAGUAGUAGUAGUAGUAGUAGUAGUAGUAGUAGUAGGUUGAAGAGAGGAGAAGAGAGAGCAGCAGUGCUUUAGUAGUAGUAGCAGCAGCAGCAGCAGCAGCAGCACUAGCAGUAGUAGUAGCAGCAGCAGUGCUUUAGUAGUAGUAGCAGCAGUGCUUUAGUAGUAGUAGUAGGUUGAAGAGAGGAGAAGAGAGAGUAGUAGUAGUAGUAGUAGUAGUAGUAGUAGUAGUAGUAGUAGUAGUAGUAGUAGUAGUAGUAGUAGUAGUAGUAGUAGUAGUAGUAGUAGUAGUAGUAGUAGUAGUAGUAGUAGUAGUAGUAGUAGUAGUAGUAGUAGUAGUAGUAGUAGUAGUAGUAGUAGUAGUAGUGUUUAAAAAAGGCCUCAGAAACAUGUCUACCAUCAUUUGAUCAUGAACUUGGAACAUCAAGGCAUCAAAAUAAAGAAGAAGGCAUCAAAACAGAGAAGGCCUCAGUACCAUGUCAAUCAUCAUUUGGUAACGAUGCCAAGUUCCUCACAAGUUCUUGAUCAUCAGCUCAUAUUCCAAAUAAUGAAUGGACUUAGACAAUCUCAUCAUGGCAAAACAAAGGAGAGAAGAAAAAUCAUAGAAGUAGGAGAGAAGAGUAGUAGAAUUAGGACUAGAGUAGAGCAGCAGCUAGCACUAGUAGUAUACUAGUGCAGUAGUAGUAGAGUUGGAGCACAACAGCAGUAGUAGUAGGAUUACAGUAAGCCACAAAUUAAAAUGACAGUAAGCCCCAACAGUAGUGUAGUACUAGUAGAGUACUAGAGUAGAGCAGCAGCUAGGACUAGUAGUAGACUAGUGCAGUAGUGUUGGAGAGAGGAUGAGAGUAGAAAAUAGAAGAGAGAUAGAAAGAGCAGAGAGGAAGUAGAGGUGAGGAGAGGGAAAGGUUUAAAAAAGGCCUUACAAACAUGUCUACCAUCAUUUGAUCAAGAACUUGGAGCAUCAAGGCAUCAAAACAUCAAAGUAGGUUGAAGAGAGGAGAAGAGAGAGCAGCAGUGCUUUAGUAGUAGCAGCAGCAGAUGAGAGGAGAAGAUAGGAGAGAGAACAGACAAAGGAGACAAAUUAGUAAUCGGUAACUACAGUAGUAAAAGAAGAAGAAACUCAUGUGCUCUCAAAUUAGCGGGUUGCUGCUUUAUAGAGCCAUCCGCUGCUCUGUGGUGAUCAUAGAUCAUAGACUUAUAUGACAGUCAGUAAUAGGUUAAGAGAAAACCCAUUUGCACUACAAGACCGAAAACCUCGGGGGGAGGCUAGUAUCCAAUGGCACUCCAUUCGAGACUAGUUUCCCGCCGAAGCUUUCGGUCUAGGAGAAGCUAUGGGUAUUUGACUGUCAUUGUGUCUCACUACACCUUUUGUAUCAUCGAGCAAGAAAUUUUGAAAAAAAAGUAGUACAAGUAGUAAAGGCCUCAGUACCAUGCCAAUCAUCAUUUGAUCAUGAACUUGGAGCAUAAAGGCAUCUUAAUAGAGAAGAUGAGGUCAUAUAGGGGCCGCUGGUAACGAUGCCAAGUUCCUCACAAGUUCUUGAUCAUCAGCUCAUAUUCCAUAUAAUGAAUGGACUUAGACAAUCUCAUCAUCGGCAAAACAAAGGAGAGAAGAAAAAUAGAAGAGGAGAGUAGUAGUAGUAUAGAGGAGCACAGUUUAUAAAACUGUCAUAGAGAGGGUAGUAGUAGAGUUGGGCACAACAGCAGUAGUAGUAGGAUUACAGUAAGCCCCAACAGUAGUGUAGUACUAGAGUACUAGAGUAGAGCAGCAGCUAGCACUAGUAGUAGACUAGUGUCGUAGUGUUGGAGAGAGGAUGAGAGUAGAAAAUAGAAGAGAGAUAGAAGGAGCAGAGAGGAAGGAGAGGUGAGGAGAGGGAAAGGUUUUAAAAGGCCUCAGAAACAUGUCUAGCAUCAUUUGAUCAAGAACUUGGAGCAUCAAGGCAUCAAAAACAGAUAAGAAGGCACUAUAGAGGCGGCUAGUAAUGAUGCCAAGUUACUCAUAAGUUUUGGAUCAUCAGCUCAUAUUCUAAGAUAAUGUAUUGAAUUAGACAAUUUCAUCAUCGGCAAAACAAUAGUAGAGGAGAGAGAGUAUAGUAGUAGUAUAGAGGAGCACAGUUCUAAAAAUGUCAUCAAUUCAAAAUUAUGCUAGUAAGCCACCACAAAUAGUAGUACAGAGGAGUGGCAUAUAAGCAGCCUGCUAUAUAAACAACAGUAAGUACUAAUCAAGAGAUAGUAGACAGCAAGUACUAAUCAAGAGGGACUAUCUUUGUUUAUCAUACUAUUCAUUUUCAGAUAAACGUUGAUGUAGGUUGUUGAACAUAUGACUGAUCAACAAGCCAGCUAAAGUUAAUGGUGAUACAUGGUAUGCUGGUGCUGACUAUUUAGUAUUCGCUCGAUCAGUGGUCAAGCUUGUGGACUGAUUCUGGUCUUUGAAGAACCUAUGCGUGCACAUUUUAGCCAUACUUUCUAUUGAUCUUUGUAGCACUAUAGGUGCAACUGUGUGAUCUGAUCUGAAUUUUGAAAAUAGUACCAUGAUGUGCAUGUCAGUUUAAUCCUCAUUUUCUACUUCAUCUAGAAGGUAAUGUUUACAUUGAUAAAAUACUCAGAAAGAUUUUUAUUGGGAUCAAAUUUCUUUUUUUUCUCAAACAUCUAUUUUCUUUAUUUAUAAACCAUUAUGUUAUAUAUACCACAAAAGAUUGAUAUUAACUCAAUCUGCGAUUUGUGCUAUUGAACAAAAACGACGGUCUGCAGAAACUAAUUUCUGCUGUAUAUAUAUUGGUUCCUACAUACUAAGAUGCAGGUUGGUUAAUCAGUAAAUUAAAACUAACAACUCCUGCACAAUCUACAGACCAAGAUUUGACCCCAUGAAUUACUUUUUGCCUUAGUGUUCAAUGGAAUAAAACAUCCCCAGCAGCAUCUUAGAUCUACCAGUGCAGAUCAUAUGCAGACUACAACAAACUUUAUGUGGUCUGUGGGUAACAGAGGCAGUUCUAGGUACAACAAAUUUUGUCUGGCAUUGAACACAAAGUAUUGAAAAAAAAAGCUCAGUGUGCUAAUGUCUAGCACACGCCACCAUUGGAAUGAACUAGAAUGUGCACACUAGAAUAUUCAUGUUCACGAUCUAUUUUAUAAACAGUACAAAACGUGCCCCAACCCCCAAUCACGGCAGCUGAUGAACCCUAUUGCGUGCUAUCAAUCUGAACAUGAUUAAUUAAGCCCCCACCCCCAAUCAUCGAUCCAAGCACACAACAAAGACAUAAUAUCACACAAAUCUAAUUAGGACUCAAAGAGAGGAGGGGGCGGUACCUUUGGAGGAGAAGGAGAGAAAGUCGCGGACGGGUGGCGGCUAGGGUUCCUAGCAGGCGGCCACGCGUGGAGCUUCGGCCCACCAGUGGCGUCGGAGCAGUUCGCGGACGGAGCAGGUCGCGGUCGGGUGGCGGACGGAGCAGGUCGCCAAGGUCGCGGACGGAGCGGACGGAGCAGGUCGCCAAGAAGAGGGACGACGGAGGUCCCCAACUCGUAGCGGUGGCGGCUAGGGUGGCCUAGGGUUCCCGGUGGCGGCUAGGGUUCCGACCGGGUGACCUAGGGUUCCCGGUAGCGGACCGGUGGCGUGGCACGCGCACUGGCGAAGGGGGAGGGGGAGGAGAGCUCAAGGGGUGGAGGAGUCGGAGCACACGGCGAAGGUGGAGGGGGAGGAGAGCUCGAGGGGUGGCUGCGGCGGCGCAGGCGGGCCAGUUUGGCAGCCUGGCGGCGGCGUCAAGAGGAAGAGUCACGCCCACGACUUAGCCGAAUGGGCCUCCCCUCAGCCGGCCACUAUAUACUUAGGGCACGAACACUGUAAGGGCGGUUGAGGUCUAGAACCGCCCUUACAGUGGUUAAUUACAAAUUUUUAUUUUUUCUAAAAUAAAAUAAAUUUAAACUAUCAUACAGUUUAUACUUAACCUUCAAAAUAUAUUUAUAAAAUAAAACUAAACUACUGUAUUUUUGAUUGAUUUAUCUAUAUGAAGUGUAAAAUUUUAAACAAUUCCAUGUUUUUUAAAAAUAUAAAAAUCAAAUGUUUUUAGAAAUAAAAUUCAGAUUUAUGUAAAUUUGAAUUAUUUGAAACAGUUUUCAUUUGAACAUUUUGAAUAAAACAUUGGAUAAAUUUUCAAACAUUGGAUUUUCAUUUGAGGUCUUUUGUUGCCUAGUUUGACCUAGUUUGACCAAGUCAAACAUUGGAUUUUUGACAAAAUACACUUUGACCGGACCCGAGAUGGUCUCAGAUGUAAAAGUCAUGAAUACAAAGUUUGUUCCCCUUAUCAAGAUGCACAUUUGGUGUAAUGGUCAACUUUUCAUCUGAGAUGGUUUGGACCACUCAAAUUUUGAAAUUUCCAAUUUUGACUCCUACACGCACGUUUUCGGGACCCUAGACGGCCCCAACUCCAAAAGUCAUGAAUAGCAACUUUGUUCCACUCAUCAAGAUCUACAUUUUAUAUAUAGGACAUUUUUGCAUUUGACAAAGCGUUAAGAAAGUGCAGUUCUAAAUCCACAAGUCCCGCAUGUAAUUUCAUAAAGUCUAUAUGUGAUUCAAGCCUUUGUGACUAGAGUUUACAAACACUUUCUCAAAUGCAAAAAUGUCCUAUGUAUGAAAUGUGUAUCUUGAUGAGCUCUAUCUACCUUGUAUUCAAAAGUUUUUCAUUUGAGGUCAUUUACUCACUCGUUUGACCAGGUUUGACCAAGCCACGCCUUGUGUUUUCAAAACAUGUGAACUGAGUUUUCUGUAACUUUUCCAAAUGCAAAAAUAUAUUGUGUAUCAAAGGUAGACCUUGAUGAGAUCUAACUAUGUUGUAUUCAAUUUUUUUUCAUUUGAGGUCUUUUGUUGCCUAGUUUGACCUAGUUUGACCAAGUCAAACAUUGGAUUUUUGACAAAAUACACUUUGACCGGACCCGAGAUGGUCUCAGAUGCAAAAGUCAUGAAUACAAAGUUUGUUCCCCUUACCAAGAUGCACAUUUGGUGUAAUGGUCAACUUUUCAUCUGAGAUGGUUUGGACCACUCAAAUUUUGAAAUUUCCAAUUUUGACUCCUACACGCACGUUUUCGGGACCCUAGACGGCCCCAACUCCAAAAGUCAUGAAUAGCAACUUUGUUCCACUCAUCAAGAUCUACAUUUUAUAUAUAGGACAUUUUUGCAUUUGACAAAGCGUUAAGAAAGUGCAGUUCUAAAUCCACAAGUCCCGCAUGUAGUUUCAUAAAGUCUAUGUGUGAUUCAAGCAUUUGUGACUAGAGUUUACAAACACUUUCUCAAAUGCAAAAAUGUCCUAUGUAUGAAAUGUGUAUCUUGAUGAGCUCUAUCUACCUUGUAUUCAAAAGUUUUUCAUUUGAGGUCAUUUACUCACUCGUUUGACCAGGUUUGACCAAGCCACGCCUUGUGUUUUCAAAACAUGUGAACUGAGUUUUCUGUAACUUUUCCAAAUGCAAAAAUGUAUUGUGUAUCAAAGGUAGACCUUGAUGAGAUCUAACUAUGUUGUAUUCAAUUUUUUUUCAUUUGAGGUCUUUUGUUGCCUAGUUUGACCUAGUUUGACCAAGUCAAACAUUGGAUUUUUGACAAAAUACACUUUGACCGGACCCGAGAUGGUCUCAGAUGCAAAACUCAUGAAUACAAAGUUUGUUCCCCUUACCAAGAUGCACAUUUGGUGUAAUGGUCAACUUUUCAUCUGAGAUGGUUUGGACCACUCAAAUUUUGAAAUUUCCAAUUUUGACUCCUACACGCACGUUUUCAGGACCCUAGACGGCCCCAACUCCAAAAGUCAUGAAUAGCAACUUUGUUCCACUCAUCAAUAUGUACAUUUUAUAUAUAGGACAUUUUUGUAUUUGACAAAGCGUUAAGAAAGUGCAGUUCUAAAUCCACAAGUCCCGCAUGUAGUUUCAUAAAGUCUAUGUGUGAUUCAAGCCUUUGUGACUAGAGUUUACAAACACUUUCUCAAAUGCAAAAAUGUCCUAUGUAUGAAAUGUGUAUCUUGAUGAGCUCUAUCUACCUUGUAUUGAAAAGUUUUUCAUUUGAGGUCAUUUACUCACAUACAUAAAUGUAGUCUCACACACAUACAUAAAUGUAGUCUCACACACAUACAUAAAUGUAGUCUCACAUGGAUACAUAAAUAAAGUCUCACACACAUACAAAUGACUAUUUAUUAGUAUCUGCCGCCGUAACAGUUUUCCACUUCACACCUUUUCGUUCCCAUGGCAAUACAUCUUUGGGUAGGUUUUUUUCCACAACACCGAUCUUGUUAAUAAAGUCUGUGAAUAGCGGCAUCUGAUCGCACUUAUUGUAGGCUUCAACAUCAUCAACGCCAUCAACUUCGAUAAUGUGUUGUUUUCCAGGGAUAACCACAUGCUUAGGUUUCUUCUUUGGGGGGACAAUGCUGAGCGGGUCGGUCAUAUAGAAAACCUGUGUAACAUGUGAAGCAAGGACCCAUGGAUCAUCCUGGUAGCCUAUGUUGUGAAGGUCCACGACCCUCAAUCCGAUUUCAUUGAAUUCAUGUUGCUUGAUCCAGCGACAUCGAAAUAGGGCCACAUUUAGUGCCUCAGUUCCAUAGUCAAGUUCCCAUAUAUCUUCAAUUAUGCCAAAGUAGUCGAUCUUUUGUCCCCCUGCGCCGAUAGCCACUGCUCGAACACCACUGUUUUGGUUCACACAUUUACUAUCCUUUGCGUGGGUAUAGUAUGUGUACCCAUUGAUCUCAUAAGAACUCCAAGAUGUCACCUGUCUUGAUGGCCCCGCUGCCAACUUACUGAUGGUAAUAGAAUCUAUGGUUUCUCCAGGCUGUAUGUUUUGGUCCUUCAACCAUGAAGUUAGGCGUUGCUUGUGUUGUUUCAUGACCCAAUCACCUGUACGACCAUUUCUCUCUGAUUGGAUGAUCUCCAUGUGUUCAUCAAUAUAUGGUUCCAUCAAUUUUGUGCUCACCAAGACAGCGUAGUGCGCCCGACUCACUUCAGCGUAUUCAUUGUCGAUGAAGAUUUUUCUACCAUUUGUGCCCUUCCCGGCCAGCCUACCCUUGUAGUGAGAAUCAGGAAUACCAAUCCCUCUCUGUACUUUUAGGUACUCUUGACAGCACUCGAUGACUUCUUCACUACUAUAGCCCUCUAUCAUAGAGCCCUCUGGGUAUGCACGAUUAUGCACAUAUCGACUUAGAACCGACAUGAACCGCUCAUACGACCACAUUUCAUGCAAGUAGCAAGGGCCCAACGCCUGUAUCUGAUGAACCAUGUGAAUCAUGAGAUGUACCAUAGGGUCGAAGAAAGCGGGAGGUAAACACAUCUCUAGUUGGUUUUGUGUCUCUACGACAAAAUCAUGUAGGUCACUCAGCUCUGUCUUGCUAAUCUUCUUCUGUGAGAUCUUCGACCAGAAGUAGCACAUGCGGGUGAUAGCCAUCUUCAAAAACUCUGGCUUGAUAGCCCUUAUUGCGAUUGGUAGGAACACCGUCAGCAUCAUAUGACAAUCGUGAGCCUUGCAGUGUGGAAAUGAUAGGUCCUUCAUCGACACUAGCUUCUUCGGGUUUGCCGAAAACCCAGUCGGGACUUUGAUCCCCUUCACAGAAGUGCAUAAACCUCUCCUCUCUUCUAGGUCCAGGUUGUAGCUAGCCGCGGGUAGGGUGUAUUUUCCAGUUUUUGUCUCAAGUACCGGGUGAAGCUCUGGCAUCACAUGUAGCUGCUCCAUGUCUCUCCUUGCUUUGAGACUAUCCUUUGACUUUGGUGUGUCCAUCAAGGUAGCGAUGAGACUCUCAAAGACAUUCUUCUGCACAUGCAUAGCAUCAAUGGCAUGGGGGACCUCCAAUUGUGGCCAAUAUUCAAGAUACUGAAAGAAGAUUGACUUUUUCUUAAAAGGCACGCCUUCAAUAGGAGGUGUGCUUCUAUCUCUAGGUGUUCCAUCCAUUUUCUUCUUUCCAUAGAUGACGCUUAUAUUUUUCACCAUUUGGAACACAUAUUGUCCAUCAUGACGUCUCUCCGGAGGUCGAUCUUCAUCCUCUGGGAUGUUGCCAAAAUACUUUAAGUACACUUUGCUGCGGUACUUGUGACCUUGCUUUAAAAAGCGACGAUUCCUGAUGUAAACAGUCUUCUUAGAUCCAUCUAGGUACACCCAUUUAGUAUCAUCCAGACAGACUAAGCAUCCUGUCUUGCCUUUGAUUUGUCCAGACAAGGCAAACAAUGCAGGGUGGUCGUUGAUGGUCACAAAUAUUAUUGCUCUUAAUGUGAAGGUCUCCUUUUGGAAAGCAUCAUACAUCAGCUCCCCUGUCCUCCAUAGUUUCUCGAAUUCUUCCAUCACAGGCUCGAGGAACACGUCCAUAUCAAAGCCUGGUUGCUGAGGGCCAGAAACAAGAACAGUGAGGAAAAGAUACUUUCUCUUCUGACACAACCAAGUUGGGAUGUUGUACAUGGUCAAGAUCACUGGCCAAGUGCUAUGGUUGCUUGUCCUCUCGUUGAAGGGAUUCAUUCCAUCGGUGCUCAAGGCAAACCGUACAUUCCUUGGGUCCGAACUGAACAGUGGGUUGUUAUUAUCGAAGUCCUGCCACUGACUGCCAUCGGCCGGGUGUGCAAUCACAUCGUCAUCGACCUUGCGCUCAUCGUCCCACCAUGUCAUGAGCGCGACUUCCUUAGGGUUCAGGAAAAUACGCCUCAAGCGGUCGGUCACUGGCAGAUACCACAUUACCAAGGCAAGAAUUUUUCUCUUGUUUGCGUCGUUGCCUAAUGGGGUGUCCUCUGGAGGUCGAGAUUCUUGUACCACCUUUUUGGAACCCUUCUUACUCCUCUUGUUCCCGGUGGAGGCUUCUCCGCCACUGUAAAGGUCAUUGUCCUUGUACCGACUUGCCCCACAACGAGGACAUUUAUCCAGACCUUCGAACGUUUCACCACGAAAAAGGAUACAAUGGUUGGGACAUGCAUGGAUCUUUUCAACACCCAUUGUCAAUGGACUUAUGACCUUCUUAGCAUGGUAUGUGUUGGAGGGAACUAAGUUCGGCAGUGGCAGCACAGAUGACAGAAGAUGCAACAGAUCGUCAAAACUGCAGUUUGACCAGCCGUACUUAGCCUUCAGGAUGAGUAGCUCAAGCACAAAACGGAGCAGUGUCCAAUGUGUUGGACAACCCUUCUCAACACCAUACACAGUCUCCUUUGAUGCUGUUUUCACCCGCUCUAGAUUUUCUAGACCCUUCUUCUGUUGUAGUAUUUCUGGUCCAAUGGCCCGAAGCAUUUCCUCUAAGUUGUCAAAGUUUUCUGCAUCCCCCUCACAUGCUCCAACAUCAUUAUUGUCAACACCACCAACAUCCCCAUCAUUAUUGUCGACACCACCGGCAUCAUCACCACGUGCUUGUUCAUUUGCUGAAUCAUGUUGCAUUUGUGCUUCAAACAUGUCUGCGUAUUGGGACAACAAUUGGCCUUCUUCAACAUCGUCUUCUUGGUCAUCAUCGUUGCCAUCAAGAAACAUUACUUCACCAUGAUGAAGCCAUACUGUGUAGUUCGGGACAAAUCCUCGCCUAAUCAGAUGUGAUCUGAUGAUUUCCACAUCAUAAGUUGCUAAGUGGUUCUUGCAAUCUUUACAGGGACAAAUAACUGAACAAUUAUUUCCUGUUGACAACGUCUUUGCAUGAUUCACUGCGAUUGUAAUAAAUUUGUCCACCUCAUCAGCAUAGGCUUGUGAGUACCUUGGCAAACCAUACAUCCAAGUACCCUAUUCUCCAUCUUUACAUAAAUAAAAAAAUUAAUUAGUUGAGAAUAAUUAUUAGCAACAAUUAAUAAGUAACAAUUAUUAUCUACAAUUAUUAGCAACAAUUAGUAGCUAUCAUUAUUAACAAUAAUUGUGUUAGAAAUGAUUAUUAGACAUAAUUAAUAGUACCAAUUAUUAUCUACCAUUAUUAGCAACAAUUAAUAAGUAACAAUUAUUAUCUACCAUUAUUAGCAACAAUUAAUAAGUAACAAUUAUUAUCUACCAUUAUUAGCAACAAUUAAUAAGUACCAAUUAUUAUCUACCAUUAUUAGCAACAAUUAAUAAGUAACAAUUAUUAUCUACAAUUAUUAGCAACAAUUAUUAGCUAUCAUUAUUAGUAAUAAUUGUGUUAGAAACGAUUAUUAGACAUAAUUAAUAUUACCAAUUAUUAUCUACCAUUAUUAGCAACAAUUAAUAAGUAACAAUUAUUAUCUACCAUUAUUAGCAACAAUUAUUAGCUAUCAUUAUUAGUAAUAAUUGUGUCAGAAACGAUUAUUAGACAUAAUUAAUAUUACCAAAUAUUAUCUACCAUUAUUAGCAACAAUUAAUAAGUAACAAUUAUUAUCUACCAUUAUUAGCAACAAUUAUUAUCUAUCAUUAUUAGUAAUAAUUGUGUUAGAAACGAUUAUUAGACAUAAUUAAUUUUACCAAUUAUGAUCUACCAUUAUUAGAAACAAUUAAUAUUAACAACAACUAUUAGUUUACCAAUAACUAUUCAUGCCAACCACAUUACAAAUUCAUGAAACAAAAACAAAAAAAGGAAACCCUAGAUCUAGAAUGCCUUUUCUCUCCAUACAUGAAACUACAAUUAAUCUUCAAUAAAAUCAAGCUAUAUCACCUAAUUGAUGGUGCAAGGUGGUGUCUCUACCUAUUCUACACUAAUAGCAUCAUAGAUAAGCUCUAAUUUGGUCAACACAAAGCUCAAGCUCCAUGGAAGAGAGAGAAAACCAAAAUGUAAAUUGCUCACUAACCAACCAAUAAAACAUGGAUUAGAGGGUGGGAAUAGCAUUUUCUUACCUUAAACAAGCUCCCCACCAAAGGAUUUAAGUUCAAAACCUCCCCCCCUUCCUAGAGUGAUUUUAGGGAGGUGCCCAAGGCCUCCCAAACCUUUUUUUGCGAGUGGAAGUGAGUGGCUCGGGGAGGAAGAAGAGUGGGCUGGCUACUUAUGCUACAGACCUCUGUAGGGGCGGUUGGUGUUACCAGCCCCUACAGUGCCUCCCCCACUGUAAGGGCGGCUGGUAACACCAACCGCCCCUACAGAGAACACUACAAGGGCGGCUGGCUAUCUGGUUCGCUGCCCACCCACUGUAAGGGCGGUUCAAAUGUUAACCGCCCCUACAGUGCGGGGAGGGGCGCUCUCUUAGUAAGUUUUUCACGUAGUGAAUGCAAGUCGUAGCCAGUAAGUGAUGUCUAGUGAAAUUGGUGAAACCAAUCAGAGACCCAGUUUUAUCGCGUAUGGUUGAAACUAAGGGCAGUCUCAAUGGUUGAAACUACGCACGCUUUCCAUAGCUGCCACGUUAACAAGAAACUAUCAAUAGAAACUAUUCCACACAAUGGAAGUUUCUUAGCUUAAUAAAUGUGCUACUUUUGUUUUUUGCUUUCUCUCUCUCAAAUCUAUCCUCAUCCUCACUCUGAGCACGAGGCGUGAGCUCAUGCUCACCAUGGAUAAGCUUGUGCAGCAGGCGAGGGCCUGGAGGAGCCUCACAGCCGGUGUCCACCUCGGCACGGAAGGCUGCAUGCUUGCCACGGAAAGCUGCAUGCUCGUCUGCUCAUGCCCAACGCGUCGGCCAACACCUCGCUGCUCGCUUUGGAUGGCCACGUGCGCGGAUGAGAUGCGUGCGCGGCCAGCGCGUCAAAGCGCUGCGCGAGCGAAGGCAGCGGUGGCGACCGGCGAGCGCGAGUCGCUUGGCAGGCCGUCGACGCCGCCGUUCUCGUCCAUCCCUAUCGGGGGCUUGGGGCCGUCCAUGUCCAUGUCCAUCGGGGGCUUGGGCCAGCGCUGCAACACGCUCGAACGAGGCGAGUACGGCGAACUCCCAUGGCAGUGCGUGGCAGCGCUGGGGGGCGCACGGGCGCGGCUGCUGCGACGACCUCCACAGCGGCAUGGGCGAACGGGGCUGGCGUCGCGGGCAGUGCGGCCGGCAUGGGAGCAAGGGCGGGUGCGUAUAGAAACGGGUGGUUUCUUCCCAACGGGGAUUUCACCGUUUCUUUGUGCAUCGGGACGAGGGAAGACUUCGUUUCCUGAUGAAGAAACGAUUUCUUAUGUUUUGCUUCUUUUUCCUCAUUUAUUGAUCUGCCAUGUCAGCAUUUUUGAUUAGGUGGCAUCUCAUUUAAUAGAGAUAGAAACCACCAUAAAUACCCAUUAAGACUGCCCUUAGGAGCCUUAUUGUGUCGAUCUUCUCGUCUCCUCACGACAUUGAUCAGGAUCAACCUUGGCUGGCGGUGGCUGGCCCACAGCGUUGGGUGCACUAGCAGACCAAGUGGCUGCUGCCCAGAUGUGAGCAAACCGAUGCAUCAAUUCUGAUAUAGCCCGAUAGCGUAUCGGACUAGAUGCAGUCCCCUCUAAGGGCCUGUUUAGAUUGGCAAUGAAAAUUUUUUGGGUGUCACAUCGAAUGUGUCGGAAGGAUGUCGGGAGGGUUUUUUAGAAACUAAUAAAAAAACAAAUUACAUAACUCGUCAGGAAACUUCAAGAUAAAUCUAUUAAGCAUAAUUAAUCUGUCAUUAGCAUAUGUGGGUUACUGUAGCACUUAAGGCUAAUCAUAGAGUAACUAGGCUUAAAAGAUUCGUCUCGCGAUUCUCAACUAAACUGUGUAAUUAGUUUAUUUUUUUAUCUAAAUUUAAUGUUACAUGCAUGUGUCCAAAGAUUCGAUGGGAUGGAUGAAAAAAUUUUGGGUGGGAAACUAAACAGGGCCUAAUCUGGCAACGCAAAUCAGAAAAUCCAUGUAUCAGCAAAUCCAUCACAUGGAUGUACGUAUUUAUUCAGGACUCGCUGACACGAUGAUGGAAGAAGGCAUGCAUUUUGUAUAUAUUGACACUUACAUCUCAUCAGUCACGUCGAUGCCAUGUAGCUUGGGCGCUUGAACAACGACGAGCAGCAGCAACAACACAAGGUGGACGUUAUUGCGGAAAUAUGCCAUGCAUAUGGGUGAUAUGCCUAGCUGCAGAGAAGUCAGGACUUGUUUAACUAAACGAGGCCUUAGCAAAAAUAAUACGGUUACAAUGUCAUUCUAAAGCUAGCUAGUGGGGUAGAGCCACCACCACACAAAUUGAUCCCCUCCUGAAGUAUUUAACUACAGCUCAUGUCAAGUUUAAAAAGCAAAUAAUGGCCAAAUAUGCAUUCUCAAUUAAUUUAUCUCUGAAUCAUACUUCCCCCUCGUUUUCUUUUUAUAAUGCCAGUACACAGUUAUAUAAUACUCUUGUUUGAUUUUUUUUACUAAUAUAAAAGGUUUCUCUAACAACAUAACAUAUAUGUAGAUGUUAUGUUAUGAUGAGAUGAUAUAUGAAAAAAUGGCACAGUUGGGUUAAUAGAUGAAGUCACUUUGUCAAUACAUAUGGUCUUAAUUUGGUUUUUCUCUGUUCUCGAAAACUUCAAUUCCUAGAAUCCAUACCGGUCAAACUUUUAAAAAUUUGACCAACUUUAUAGAAAAGAGCAUUAAUAUCUAUGAUAUAAAAUGUGUAUCUUAUGAAAAUAUAUUCUAUAAUCAAUCUAAUGGUACUAAUUUGGUAUUAUAAAUCUUGGUAUUUUUUUCCUAGAAAUUUAGUCAAAGUUUAAAAAAUUUGACUUAAGACAACUCUAGAAAUUAAAACUUUCAUGAAUAGAAGAAGUACUAGCUAAAUAAAUAAUGGUCAAAUCACGCUCUUAAAGUCAUGUCAAGUUAAAUUACGUCUUGAGCAACACCUUGCAUUUUGAAAACAGAGAGUACGAUUAAUGUUAAAAAAAACUAUUUAUUCUCUGCUAUUUUAGUUAUAUCACGUUGAAAUAAUGAUUAACCAAGCAUGACAAUAAUAAUAUAGAAUAUGCAUCGAGAAGAAAAAGGCAUGCCAACUAAGUACUCCCUCCAUUCUAAAUUAUAAAUCAUUUCAAGAAUCUUAAAGAGUCAAAGUAUCUCAAAUUUGAUCAAAUUUAAAUAAUAACAUAAUAACAUUUAUGAUAUCAUCUAAACAUCAGGUUUUUUAUUAGUUAUAUUUUUAUAGUAAUAUAUAUUUGAUGUCAUGAAUCUUUCUAUUUUUUUAUAAUAUUAAUCAAACUUAAAAUACUUUGUCUCUUUAAGAUUUUUGAAAUGAUUUAUAAAUUGGAACGGAGGGAGUAGUAUUUAAGAAACUAGUGUGCUGAGGAAGUGUCCAUGCCAUGUGGAGAAAGUAUGUGUAGUACCGCUCACGGGCGAAGGAAACUCGACGGUGGCGCCGUGGCAGCGUCGUCGUCGUCGUCGUCGUUGGUCGUCGCCGUCGGUCGGCUCGGCUCCGCAGUGGGUUGGAAGCUGACUGCGGGAUCGCAAAAAAUACUUUGGUCUGGUCUGGUCAUCUGCGGAACAAAUUAGGCUUGUUUAGUUCUAAAAUCUUUAGCAAAAUAAGAUCUGUAGUAUUUUGUAUUUGACAAAUAUUAUUCAACUAGGUAGCGUGUCCGUGCGUUGCUACGGGAUAGCUAACAUUUUUUAUUAAAAAUACAUGUAUCGCACAAUAAGAUAAUAAUAUUAUAAUAAAACUUAAUACUUCGUGAAAUCAAACACGGUCACGGAGAGCACGAUGUUAUAGGCUCACAAAUUCUACUUUAUAGACCUUUCCGUGAUACGACCAAGAUAAUGUUUAAUAUUGGCAGAAAGAAAUCUUUGAUAUCCAUUUCUUUCGUGCGCUGGUAAAUCCACAAAUAAGUUUCGCCGCAUCUCCGUGCCAUCCUAUUACACAUUUGAGUAUAUAUAUGUAAAUUUUAUUGUGUGUCGCAUGGGUAAUACUACGUUAUUUUUAAAAAAAUUCAGAAAAACUUAGACAGAGUGUUAUACUCACGGUAUAAAUGUGUGUGACUUAUGGUCUAUUCCAUGUAGACAUAUACUGUAGGAUGAGAAAUCCACUUAAGUACCUGUAUAAGAUUCACGAUCAGUAAUAUAUAUAAAAAUAUACUAAAUUUAUCAUAUGUAAUAUGUAUCAUUAGUUUGAGCAUAAAAUAUAUUUUCAUAAUAUACUUAUUUGUAUAUAUAAAUAUUAAUAUUAUUUGACAUAUUUUUAAUAAAACUUAAAAAAGUUUGAUUACUUAGAAAGUGAGAUAUGGAUUUAUUUGAGAACGGAGGAAGUAAAUAAACAAAACCUAAACAAGGCCAUUGGUCACAGGCUCGUUCGAAGAAGCCGAGGAGGCGAGCUGGACCUAUAUUUUUUUUUCUUUUAUAUCCGUUUCCCCUUCCUUGCGUUCUCUCCUCUCUCUCUCUCUCUCUCUGCCUCAUCUCUUUUCCCCUACCACCUGCUACUUCUUCCUCACCGUCCCCUACUCCAUGCCACAAGCACCGGUAGAGCUUCCUCCCCGGAGAUUACGAACAAGGAUCUCCCGUCCAGGCAUCCCUCUGCUUCUCCUUGUGCAGCAACACGAUGACUCGCCACUGGCGCUCAUCUCUGCGCAGGCGUGGCGACCCGAUGUCCUUCCGCUACUCCUCAGAUUCUCUGCUUCCUCACCACCGGUCGUAAUCCAAUCCCCUUCCUCAGAUCUCCGCUUCCUGGCUCUCUCGCUCCCUCCCCACUCCCUUCUAACUCCACUGGCCCUCUCUGACUGUCACAGGUGGCUCUUCCUUCAUUUCCUCCUGAUUUGGGGAGGUAGAGUGCGAGCUCGGGCAGAGGCGGCGACAGUCAUUGGGCCCUACAGAGGAAGUUGUGGAGCAAGGCACCGAUGGAGCGCAACGACUCGGCAUAGGCGUGGUGCGCGUUGGCGAGCAUGUAGCGCUGGUGAAUGACCAACACCAGGAGCUCAGAGCGAACCCGAAAGUGGAGCACCGCGUACUCCUCCAUCUUGGGCUGGUCGUACCCCAUGGCGACCCGACCGACCGGGGAGCAGCUGGCGAGUGGCAGGCGCGGAGGCGAGCAGAUCUGGGUGGCUGCCACCUCUUACCGGCUACAACAGGGAGUGGCUGCCACCUCUUACCGGCCACCUCUUACUCGAUCUGUGCCAUCUCUUCUCCUCGACGGCUCUGGCGUCAGCCAGCCAGCCACAACCGAGCCGAGCCAGAUCUGGCGAGGGUCCCUGACGGCGAGUAGGCAACAGUGCGUGGGCACGAUGGUCUCCAUGGAUGGAAACUACUCCCUCGCCACAACGCAACAGUGGUACAAUUCCGUGACCUUGUGUUCGCCUUAAAUUUAUUUAUUUAUUUAUUUAUAUAUGAUUUUGGUUCAGAUGUUUGGAUCGAGAAAUGUGUUUGCUUUGUUCCUAAUUUAGUACAAACGGUUCACUGAUUAGUGAACUAAAAUAAACAUUUGGGAAAAAAAUAUCACUCUAAGAUGGCUGCAUACUAUGUUUUUUUCCAAAAGAGAUAUUUGAUAAUUGCACAGGUUGAGGAUCAAUCAUUCAUGGUAGAGAAACUUGGUAUUAUUUAUCAGUCUCAUCGUGCAAAUAUUUUUGUGCUGUUCUAGCCCUUCUAAUAUUGAUCAGAGUGCAAAUUAAACCCCGAGUCCAGUAGUCAGUUCAUAUAUCAGUUUUGAUAUUUUUCCCAAAUGUUUUAAUCACUUUUGUAUUGUUACAUAUAUAUACUCAUUUAUCAUAGGCUUAGGGCGGAAAAUGGUAACCUGCAACCAAAUGUGGCAAGAUAAUCUUUGUUCCCUGACAUGGAGGUUGCUAAUCUACAAAUAUAAUCUUUGUUCCCUAACAUGGAGGUUUCUUCGCACUUCACGACAUAUAGCACCUUUUCUCCUUGUAGAAUUUAUUGUGUUUAUCUUCCUAAUAUCUAUAUUUCUCAACAAGCUUUAAAAUUGUGCUACUAUUGGGUGUAAGAGAUGGACCUGAUAAGUCAAGAAGUAUGCUCUUAAGUUGCUAUUCAUUUAACUGCUCCACAGUCUACACCGAUAGUCCCACUCAUAUGCCAUGGCAUGAGCGCGGCAACACCACGCCUGGUUUCUAGUACCAUGGAAGCAGUCCCAACACUGAUUACUACUCAGUUUGUUAAGUGUCCCAAUUGCCAUGGUUGACUUUGACAGUUACACCAUUAGGUCAGCAGGAAGAAAAUGCUUGCAAUUGCCCUCUUACAUCUAAUGUUUGGUGGAACCUCAAGUUACAGCCUGUUUUUCGAAAUAAUAUCCAACACAUUUGCAGCCAAUUUUUUUGUGAAUUUUGUGUAACACUAUUUUCCUGCCAAAAUAAGCUCUGGUGGAAUUUUCUUGUGCACCUUUAGCAUUACUUGGUACUAUUUUAGUUUUUAUUAUGUGACAGUUGCACACUUAUUGAUGCCAUGUGGCCUUAAACCAGAGUUCUAACAGUGAAGUGUCAGAUUUUAACUGCUAUUGCACUUGUUUAUUAAUCGUACUUGAUCAAUAAUUAUAGGCCAUCUCAUGGAGAAGAUAGAGGCUGGAAAUGCCCUGCAGAGAGCUUUCAGUGUUUUCCUUUUCAACUCCAAAUUUUAGUUGCUACUACAGGUAUUCACACAACACUAAAUAUGGUUGUCUUGCAUUAAGAUGUAAUGUAAAUUCCACUUCAUGUUCUUGAAUCGCUGGCUGCAGUUCUGAGUUCACUUUGUUCAUUUUCCAAUCAAGUAGGGUAUGCAACCUUUUGCUAUCAUGCUUGGAUUAGGCUCUGUAUGUGAUUUGGACUAUUGAUUUGUGGACAAAGAAACAUUGACCUUUGCUUAUCCUGCUCUAAAUAUAAGUGUGCAGUUUUGGUGUCUUAUCUAAAUAUAAGUGUGCAGUACCUAUAAAUUUAAUGUUGAGCACAUGUUAUAAAUUUACAUCCUUUCAUGGAUAUAAAACAUUAUGUACCAUUCAGAUUUAAGCUACCAUUCAGAUUGAAGCUGUUUUUGACAGUACUAUUCAGAUUUAAGCUAUGUUUUUGACAGUACUAUUCAGAUUUAAGCUAUGUUUUUGACAGUACUUUUCAGAUUUACACAGGACAUUCUGGUUCCUUAAACGCACUAUGUAUUUUUUCAAAUUGAAUUAUUAUAAGCUUGCUAAUAUUAAUAUUACAAUAAUGCAGGAUAUUACCUCACUGCGACUCCACGAGCCCAGAAACCCUCAAGAGUUGGAGCAGAGCCGCUUUGCCGCCGUGCCGCCGCACGGUUGUGGAAUAACGCUGCUAACAAAGCCUAACGCCAACACAGCCUAAAUAUGUUACAUAGGAUCAGUACAUACCCGUACAUUCAGAUGGAUAAAAAUAUGAGCUAUCCCGUAGCAACGCACGGGCAAGCUAUCUAGGAUCAGUAAUUACCUUGCUGUGUCGCUGGGCAGGACGCGGACGUCGCCGCGUCCGGGACGAUGUGUCGCUGGGUAGCAGCCGUGUAGUAGUCCGAAUGGGCACAACGUUGUUACUCUGAAGAAAUCCGCCGCAUUUCCUCGCUGAUCUACCUCAUCGGAGACAUGCCACGCCGGCGGCGCGCAGCGAGGAAAGAGGGCAUGGGGCGGCGCGCGGCGAGGAAGAUUGCAGGGAGAGGCGCGCGAAGGACGAGUGCAGCGGACAAUAAUCGCUGGAGAGAAGAACGAAGGGGCUGGGAGGAGUCGCAGGCGACGGGUCUGGGAGAGGGAGAAAGAGGGAGUCGCAGAAAUCACGGAUUGUUUCCAUCUCCGGUUGGGUGGUAAAACAUGAAUAAUAAUUUGUGUGGGUCCACAAAUAGUGGCGUUUAGAGGGAUACUUAUCCAGGAUGGUCCACGUGGAGUGGCAAUUUUAGGGACAUGAGGUGGGGGCGCGAUGGGGGCGAGGGGAGGGCGCGCGGUCGCAAGGCAGACCGACGGACGGAAGCCUAAUGUCGCACCAAGGGGAGGUCUUACUUUUAUUCUUUUUAUUAGUUGUAGGAGAUUAUAGUUUAACUAGGCUCAAAAGAUUCGUCUUGCUAAUUAUAGGUAAACUGUAUAAUUAGUUGUUAUUUUUAUCUAUAUUUAAUGCUACGUGUAUGUGCCGUAAGAUUCAAUGUGAUGGAAAAUUUAAAAAAUUUUGUAAAUUAUUUUGGAAACUAAACAAGGCCUUUGCGACUCAAGGAAACCAGAAACGAACCAGAAAUUGUGUUACCUCGUGGGUCGCGGGGACGGGCGUCGUGUGUAUAUAUAUAUAUAUAGGGUGGGUUUUCUAUACUCCCGGGAGUAACUACUCCCACCGAGAGAAUACCCGUCAAGCAGGACUCAGGGCAAGUUAACGGGUGGAGUAACAUGGACCCGUUUGUAUUGUUGGCGAGUUGUUCUAAGUCAAACUUUUUAAAUUUUGACCAAAUUUUUAGAAAAAAUGCUAAGAUUUAUAGUAUGACAUUAGUAUUAUUAGAUUCAUCAUAAUAUAUAUUUUUAUAUAAUAUGUAUUUUAUAUUAUAGAUGUUGUUACUCUUUUCUAUAAAGUUAGUCAAACUUUAAAAAGUUUGACUGGCACGGAACCUAGGAAUUGAUUCUUUCGUGGACGGAGGGAGUAUCUACAUGAAUUAAAAAAGGCCGGUGUCCAUUUAAUUACCGGCAAAAACGGAUCUAGGCAACAGUAUACAUUCACUGAUUCACAUAUGGAGAUAUACAUAACAAUGAGAGAGUAUGUAUUCAUACUUUUUGUUUGAGAAUAAAAUAUAUGUGCAUACUUCUAUGAUAAUGGAGUACGCAUGUAUAUAUAUUUCUGUUGACAAAAUUAAACUGACGUAAUACUUAUACGUAGAAAUCAAAUCAUUAGUAAAAAAUCCAAAGAUAAUAUAACCAGCCUUCGUUGCCAAUGUCGGCAACCUAUCCGCAUGGAUCCCUUUGCAGUGUAGGCCUGGUGACAAUUUGUGCUCGCUGCUGGAUGCUCAUGCCAUGGAGAAUGCCAUGAUAGAUACAUCCACCGUCGAAGGCAUUAGUGGAUACUCACCCAUGUAUAUCAUAGGAGCCGCUUGGCAACAGACAAGCAAAUCGAGAAAUGCAUGGAAAAUAAUCAUGUUAAUUAAAUUAUGAAACUAGCGUAUGUAGAUCGGAACUAAAAGAUCAAGAACAAAAAAAAAGAGACCCACCAUCGGUGACUUUUGAGAGAUCCAAUCGCCCAGCCAUAGAGGAGCGCGUCGCCGCCGUGGCCCUGCCAUGGAGGAUGUCUGUCGCGUAGAGGAGGCUCAGUCCACCAGGAGAGGGAGCCCCAUGCGUGGCCUGCUCAUCGGGGACAGGGAGCGCCGCCGCAGCCUGUGCCGUCCGGGAGAGAUGCGAGGAGAGAGAAACAAGAGAUUUUAAAUGUCAGCCAUCAUCUAUGCCUAUAUGUAUACUUGACCCAUUGUCAGCUUGAUCCACUUUUUGCGCUAAUUAUUCUGCCAACCGGAAGUACGCUGAUUUUUUUAAUUCACGCAUAUACGGUAGCCACGCUAGGUACAAAUGGGUUACUUUUGUUUAACCCGUUAACUCCGCUAAAUCAUCGCGGAUGGCCUCUGCUCGUGGAUGCCUAAUUAGAUGAGGGAGUAACUACUCGUAGGAUAUAUAUAUAUAUAUAUAUAUAUAUAUAUAUAUAUAUAUAUAUAUAUAUAUAUAUAUAUAUAUAUGCUAUUCUACACCCUAGGUGUAGAAUACUAUUCUACACCAAAGUGUUAUACUAAGCAAAAUUCAGUAUCGUUCAGUAUUCAUGUUUCAGUAUUGUUCAGUAUUUCGUGGUCUUGGGUGUACAAUUGGUUGAUACUUAACGUUGUUCAGUACUGCUCAGUAUUUUUUCAGCUCAGUUUUGACUUGCGGUGUAGAAUAAUAUUCUACACCUAAGGUGUAGAAUAGCGUUGCCGUAUAUAUAUAUAUAUAUAUAUAUAUAUAUAUGACGCGUUUCUUUUACACGCGCGUGUAGUUACUCUCAUCUAUGUAUCUCUAGAUUUAAGGUGUAUAUGACCGGACGAAAUGUAUAUAGACAAAGUAUAUGAUUAUACUAGACUAUCUAGAGUGAUAUGUAUGUUAAGUAUGCAUACAUACAUAGAGUAUAUGGUUAUACUUAUUGUAUAUAAUAUAGUAGUGGCAUUUUAGUAAUAUAUUUAAAACAUAAUUUUUUUUGAAAAUUUUUCGCGUGGUAAGAUCUAGAGUAUCUUAAUAUGAGUAUAUAAACAUACUCAAACUGAUAAACAAGUAUGAAUACAUACACAAUGUAGUUUAUUGAAGAUGAAAGUAAUUACACGUACGUGUACAAAGGAAUUUCCCUAUAUAUAUGGAAAUUCCUUUUUACACGUACGUGUAGUUACUCUCUCUCUCUAUAUAUAUCUCACAAAUCAUCACAGGCGAAGGGAGCCGUUGAGCCACGCGAAGUGUGCUCGAGUACUGUACAAUUCACGCCACUCCGAAAAAAACACGUAGUACGUGCCUCUCUGCAACGUGCAAGCAUGAAGCAACAACUGGACUAAUUGCAUGAAAAACAAAAUGGGCCCCAGGCCUCCAGGGCCUAGAGUGAUAAAGUGGGCAUCUAAUUCGUUUUGCAGUUACUUCAAUCGUAUGCGCAUAUUUACGGGUAAAAAUAACAAAUAUAAUUUAAAAUCAUGGUGGAGUUAUACUUCAAGUAUGCAUUUGGAAUCAACUUCCCAAACAAGAGGAUAAAACUAUGCAUUUUAUUGAUAGAACAAUUUUGAUUCGAUGCAAUACAUGCCGAUCUUCGGUUUACUCGAAUUCUUCUUCAGGCAACUCUCCCAUCCAACAAGGCGUGUAUGGAAAAUAAUUUCUGAUAUAUUCAUGUCUUUGCCAAGACAUGAAAGUCACAGGCAACAAUGCGCCCAAGUCUUGGACUUUAGAGCUACUCAAAUGAUACGCCAUCACUCUUGUUGAUGAUACAUGGAAGAAGACGAUCUCUUUGUAAGGAUGAAACGCCAUAACUUGAACAAACCUGCGACGCUCUUCAGUUACAUCAUCGGUGGGCAGAAUAAUAUUACUGUCGUUGUCGUCAUCGGAGUUCCAUUCGAAUUCUUGAUCAAGCUGCGCUUCAUUUUGAUCAUCUUGGUGUUGAUCCAGUUGCGCUUGCGCUUCAUCUUCAUCAUCUUGGUCUUCACUUCCAAGGUCAUAUAAGAUCCAGGGUCCACGGCCAAGACUUGGACUUGGAAAUGCAAUCCCCCGACCACUAUCGUGCAUCAGUUUCCACUCUAUUUGAUCGUCACAUGAUUCAUCAAGGAUCCAGAUCCAAAGGCGAUACUUAUCAUCAAGGAAUGCAGAGUAAAUCCCCUUCUUUGACCUUCCUAUCACAAACUCCUGAUGAUCCCCAAAACAUCUUGGGGGUUUGAUUACUCGAUACGUGCUAUCUGACAAUGAUAUUCUGCAACAUAUAUUAAUCAAAGAGAAAUGAUAUCAAAGUCAGAAAUUUUAACCCUUUAAUACUAGGUUUAUAGAUAUGUACUGUACUAGCAGAGGCGGCUGGAAAUAAAAUAAAACCGAAAGUAUACCUCAUGACAAAGUUAGUCUCGCAGUGAACAUAGAGCAUGCCUCGCCAGUAUUCAGCGCGCCCAUCCUCCCGCCAAUUUCUCCACCAGUUUGGCCGCAGGUCGGCGACAGUUCCCGCAGGCUCACCUCGCCGAAGAAACGACCUCUCCUCCCACAGCCCCGUCGCCGACGAGAAGACGGUGAGGAUCCACGGCGACGGCGGCCAUUCUGAAUGCAACAUGGCACCAGCACCACCUCCACCAGGCUCACCAACAUCUUUCGAUUCGGGAGGAACAACGACGUAGGGGACCAUGACCACCUCGUAAUCCGACGAGACCGCGGGAUCAAACGCCAAGAACUCGUAUUCGAGGUGGUGGUGGUUCCGAUCCCGAUCCGUCGUCGCCACCCGUUCGGAGCCCACGCCGGGGCGGGCGAAGAGCAUCGCGCGCGGGAGGCCCUGGUGGUCGUCGUAGCAGAUGACGAGGCCGGCCAAGGAGUGCGGGAGGUCGUCCGCGCACAGCAUGCCGUCGCCGGCGUCGAUGAGCGCACGCCACGCGCGGCAGACGCAGCGGGACACGGCCAGGCUUCGUGGCGGCAGCCGGCGGAGGACGUCCGCGAGCACGUCGUCGGUGAGCAACUCCAUCUUUGCUAUGCUAUCUCAGUCACACGCGACGUCGACGUACGUACGUGGCUAUCUCUAUUCUGAUGAUGACGUGCUCUUGCUUGAUUCCAUGCGCAGGGCGAGUUUUAAGGACUUCCGAUUGGUCCAAUUGGCGCGAGUUUAGGGGGCGAACGCGGCAUGUAUACGGUGUGAGUCUCCCGUCGAGUUCGGAAUCGACUGGCAGAAAUCGGACUAGGAGCCAGUGUCGAUUUAAUUAAAUCAGAGUCGAUAAAACAUUCAGUCGACGUCUAUUACAGUAUAGUUGUAAGUGAUCCAGAAUCAAAUGCCUAUGUUCAUCUACCAAUGGCCACAGACCCUUGUUGCUUUAAGAAUUUUAAAUAUUUAUAUAUAAGAGAAGCUAUACGUAAAAACUAUGCUAUUAAUUUUAGGUGCUUAUUAAUUAUUAUUGUGUUAUAGGGUUCUCAGGUACCAUAACCUAGGUACCCGAAGAAGAGAACUAAAAAUCUCAUCCGCUCCCCUUAGUAGGAGGCCAGGAAAACUAAACAGUCGCUCUUCAUCUCGUACGAGACCUAACGACAAGGCCCUGGGUAGAGCCGAGACCACUCAUUUUCUCCGCCUUGCCCGAGACCCAACGCCAAGGCCUCGAACGAAGCCGAGACUCGGCAAUCUCCGCCUCUCCCAACCUCAGGGUUCGAGCACCCUUCCCCUAUUGGUGCGCUCGAGAUCACCCAUGACAUCACCCAUGAUGGGGCCAUGGUACUACAAGAUAAGACACGAGUCAAAUCCCCAUGCCCGUGCCCAUGCCACACAGAGCAGGCCAUGACGAUCAAUAUGCUAUCUAUUCCCAUCCCUGUGCCACCCGCUCCUAUCAUUGUGCAUACGGCUGGGACCAGGGAAGGCGUUCAAACGUCAAUCCAGGCUCCUGUCACCACGCGCCCGUCAGAGUCCAGGGCAUGGUCCACGACCAGGGAAGCCACGAGUCUCUACAUCGGUCAACAAACAAAGGUCGGCAAGCCUACAACACGUACAGAUAUUCCAUCCACAAGAUAGGCGUGGCUCGACACGCAGCUACAGGGACAGACACGCCUCGUACGACGACUACGACCGGCUACAACACCACAGGAAUGGGAAGCCACUCUGUCGUCGUACUACGCCAUACCUCAGCUCAGCUCUGGGUUCUGUAGUAGCAACACAACAUGUACACAUGUAUCUCUUGGCUCUCCUUGUAACUAUAAAAAGAGAAGGCAGGGUCCAUUCCAAGGACGAGAAAAAAACACAACAAGUAUGAGUUCACAUACACUUGAGCACACAACAAACCUACAACAUCUCCACGUGAGACCUGGGAGCACCCCUCUCUCUCUCUCUCACCCCGCUUAUAACCCCUACUACAGACACUUAGGUGCAAGAUAAUACAAGGACUCCUCAUCUCCUCACUCACUGGACAUAGGAUAUUCUUGGCCUAAACCAGUAUAAAUCGUCUGUGUUCUUGCAUCCCCAUCAGGAUCGAGGACACGCUUAUACAAAUUUAGUCGCCGAUGGUAAGACCAAGUGUCCAAACACCAACAGUUGGCGCGCCAGGUAGGGGCCUUCCGCGUGUGACACCACUUCCUUCGGGAAGCUCUGGAUGGCUGACGACCAUCACCCACUCUGCCUUGGCACAAUCAUCUAGUUUGGGAGCCUAUAGUUCAUGUUGCUUGGCUACGGCUAUGACAUGGUCCUUCUCCUGCCAAGAGCCACCUCUAACGACGAGCCCUCCCCACUCCUUCCAAGCCGCGAGAGGCGCUUAGGACAUCACUCUCGCCGCACUCGUUGAGCACGGCAGAGACAAGGGGAUUCUAGCUCUAACGUCGAAGUCAGGAAUAACCCAACAUGUUUCUCUGGCCCUUCCCGACCGGCGAUCAGCAUACACCCCCUCGAAAGGGGCAUGUCUGGUUUACGCUUGGCCGAGGGAGAGGCGCCGGGAGCACAUAGGAACGUCCCGGCCCCAUGUCCUAGGGCGCCACUGCCACCAUGCUCGGGACUGGCACCGACACGAAGGAGGCGGGCGGCCGCACCAUUCCCACUAUCCUAUGGUAUGGGGAACGCUACGCUGGCCUACUCUUCCUCGACGAGCACCUUUCUAAGUGCCUACAUGGAGCUCCUCGAACAUCACCUACGCUCCACCCUCGACCUCAUCGCAACCCCGCUAGCCUCCACGUACAUCGACUCCGCGGAGGACGGCGAUGCGUGGACCGGUGCGGACUUCACCAGGCUUGGCGACCCUGAGGCUCUGUGCCGAUUCCUUGCAGCAAGCGAUUACUGCUUCGGCUACUUCGACUCCGAUGAGGGAGGUUACGACCACUCCUGGGAGUGCUUCAACCUCAAGAUCGAGGAAGUACCAUCCAGAGACGACGCUAUGGCAAGACCGGAAGAUCGCACUCCGCCUUAGGGAGCGUUACCUUCUGAGCUCCCGAGGCAUCAGGCCGCAGUAUCAGCGCCUAAAGGCCACCGCCGGGCUGAACUCGAGCAAUUACAUGAGCUUGAGGCCAAGCUUGAUGAGAACGGCAAGCGUCUACAGCAACUGCGCAUGGCCCUCGAGCGUGAGCAAGCGGUCCGCGGAGAUGGAGGAACGGCCCGACGUCAAGCUUGCAACGUCAACUGUCGCAUCAUCGAGGACAAGUGGGGCGAUCGACCCCAACUCUUCAACAAGGCCAGCCAAAAUGUGGUGGCAGCAACCAUGCUCUUGCGGAUGAUGCCCGAGCCAUCGACCCUAGAAGGGAGACGGGUCCACGACGACCUCCGCAGACUCCUGGAGUGUGUCACGGUCCUACAGGCGGAAAUCCCCGCUUCUCGACACUAAGAGCCAGAAACCGAGCGACCAGCGUUGCACCCACGUGAGGAAAGGGAGGCAUCGGUUCAUCUCGAGCCCCUAAGUCCAUGGGAGCACAAGGGCAAGACGGUGCACGAUCGCCUCGGAGAGAACAUCGACGCUCGCGCCAUCCUCGACGCAUCUAUUUCUUCAUGUGGCGUGCACAAUAUUUUCCACCGAGCUCAUCUCAUCUCUUAUUAAUUAUAAAAAAUGUGCACAUCAUUCUAUCCUAAGUUCAUGUCAUCGCUUAUUAAUUUCAAAAAAUAUCUAUAUCAUUCUCCACUAGGUCCAUGUUAUCCCUUAUUAAUUACAAAAAUAUCCACAUCGUCUUUAUCCUGUGCAAUAUUUUUAAUCUUUAAUUCAUUAACAUACAAGUUAUCUACAUACGCUAUUUGUUUAUCACAUAUUUCUCUAUAAUGUAAUCAAAUAUUCUAUUGGUUUGUCUUCUAUUAACUUACCAAUUUUUAUGAGAUUUGGUACAAUUAAUAACAUUCAUGCAAAUCAAAUUCAUAUAUACGCAGUAUAUAGAAUAUCAUACACAGUGGCGGAGCCGGCUGAAGAAAUGAGGUAGGGCAGACCGCUAUCUACAUAUAGCAAACUUCACCAAUAUAUCGGUCGAACUAUAUAUGUAUACUAUAUAUAUGUUGGUUUAUCACGUAGCUAUUGUAUUCUAAUAUUUAUUUCAGCAAACAAAUUGUACUGUUUCUAUUGGAUCUAGAUGUUGCUCUGAAUCUCCUAGCUCUUGUUGUUCUAUGGAUUCAGUAACAUUACUGCUUUCACGAGUGCUUGGGGACGAGUUACUUCCACUUGUAGAAAUCGUACUCUUAGUCAUAGUGGUAUAGAAGCUUUUUAAAUCUGCAUAACCAUUUAAUUUAAUUGCUUUCAUAAAUCAGAAAGAUCAACUAAUGAAGCCAACAAUUUCCUAAAAAUCCAUGGCAAUUGGCAAUACCUAGUUUCUUAUAUCGCUUCUGCUUAUGGCUCAAUGGAGUUGGAGUUGGAGCUGUCGGCCUCUGCCUACUUGUGUCUCGGUCGGCUCCAACUUCAUCUCCAUCUCCAUCCAUAAGCACUCACUGGCCACAGGCAAGCAGCUGACCGGCACGACCGCACAGUGGCACUACGGCAGCCACCGUUGUUCGAUCGGCGGAGCAUGGGGCGGCGGCCGGUGGGGUAGAGCGGUGGCCAGAAACCGAAGCCCAGAUGCCUGGAGGCCGAAGCACAGGCGUGGCCGAGCCGCGGAGCUGCGGACUAUGGCCGUGCGGCGCGAAGGCGAACUGAGCCGAGCGAGAGCGAUGCAACGACUAGAUGGGGAGCGGCGCCGUAUCCGUAUGCUAGUCCUCUGCCCGUUUGCCGUAUGUUGCUUGGGCUGAGCGAUGGGUGGGCGUGGGCCUUGUUUGCUAGACGGCCCAGCAGCACAAACUGGAGACUGCCGAACUUCCUUUGUUUUGCUUGACUCCCGUCGCCAUCGUUCUCAAGUCUCAACCAUUCGCUCGAGUCAGUGACGAGUCGGAGCCUGCGCCGCCGCCGGAGAUGGGUUCCUAGAUGUCGUGCUCACCGGAGAGGAGGUAGAGCAGAUGCCCAACCUCGCCAUAUAGGGCUCCACCUCUGAUCAUACAGUAAUGUUAUAUAUACAAUAGAUUUAUUUUUUAAAGUCCUGCGACAACACGUGAGGUAUGCCUUAGUUAAUGAAAUUCAUAUCACAUAAAUUUAAACAAGCAUUCAAACAUUUCAAAAAGGGGCUCCAAUAGUCCAUGAAUUCUAAUUUGGUACCCUAAAUUUGAGAGGGUUAAUGCAACAAAUAUGAAGAUAACUUAGUAAUGCUAUGCAUAUAACAUAUUUAUUUUUUAGAAAUUCUGCAAUAACACACGAGGUAUGCCUCUAGGUAUGAGAUUCAUAUCACAUAAAUUUAAACAAACAUUCAAAUAUUUUUUUUCGAGAACAUGCAAUGGCACGUGUUUCAUUAAGCAGACAAACAUUCAAAUAUUUCAAAAGGGGCUCCAAUAGUCCAAUAUGAAUUCUAAUUUGGUACCAUUUGAGAGGGUUAAUGCAACAAAUAUGAAGAUAACAUACAGCUGAUUUUGCCAUGAGUAUUGUAGAGACCCAUUUAGAUAUUGCAAUCUUGAUCUCCAAAUGAAGGAUUCCAGAUAAGCUUGAAAUAAAUCUCCAAAAACGCUAGACAUUUUUCUGAAGAAGUCCUGCGGCACGCUUGGCCGCUCGAUCCUUUUGGUAUAGAUCGACCAGGUGUUUUGCUGUGCGACAAUUGCGAGACCAGUGGCCUGUACAUCCACACCUGUAGCAAAUCUGUUUCUGCUCCUUCUCCCUCUCCUCUUUCGCCUUCUGAUAGAGUGCCACGAGGUGUUUCGCUGUGCGACAAUUUUCGGCCAGAUGGCCCUUGCAUCCACACUUGUCGCAAAAUAGGGGUCGCUUUGCUUUGUACCUGUCCUUGUUGUUUCUGUUGUUGUCGUCUCCCCGUAGCCCUCCUGCAGGUGCAGCUGCGAUUCCACCGCCUCUCCCCUCGCCGGGCCUGCUCCACGACCUCUGAGCAACAGCGACCUGUGCUUCAGGCACAGGGCGAGAGCUCGUCGGACGGCCGCCAUGGUUUUUCGAAGACCAUUCCUGCUGUUUCUGCGGCGAAGAAACCGGCUCAUGCUUGGGCAUGUGCUGCUGCUGGAGCACAUGCCUGCCGGCAUCCGGCACAGGCACAGGGUGUUCCCGUCUACUGCUAGCCGGCACAGGGUUAGUGGCGCUCAGGUCACGGCGGG